UUUUUUUUUUUUUUUUUUAAAAAAAAGUUCGAGUAGCACAAGGUAAUGAGUUGGACUUGUUUCUUCAAGAAAAGUAAUAUCAAAUAUUUCAUGUCACUUUUCCUUGAUAAGCAACUACUUCCAAAAUGACACCAAUAACAAGUUUUGAAUAUCUCUUUUCAUGAUCUGGUAAAUAACUAAUUAACAUAUGAAGUGAAGAAUGUGAAUCAUCCUCUGAAACCACCUAAACCUUAUGGAGAAAAAUAUGAAGAUAUAUACUUAUAUGAUUUACCAAAAAUAAGAUUCCUAGUAUUUGUAGUUAUUGUUAAUGGGUUUGGGUGGCAUCAAAGAUUCAAUCCUAGAUUGAAAUUCACAACAUUAUUAUUUUACUAUUAGCUAAUCAAUUGUGAAAUCACUACAUUAAUCUUAAAUUUUUUUUUUUGAUUUUAUAACCCUUUAUUUAAUAGAUAGAAAUGAGUUGUAGCUAAUAAAGAAUGUUUAACUAUCACAUUAAGAUUAUUUUAGCGAUAUUGAAAGAUUUUUAAUUGCAUUGAAACUUUUAGGCCCAUAGUUAAUGCCUCUCCCUGUUACACAUUUCAUGGUGUACCAAUGGAAUCGGGUAAUAGUGGAGUUGCUCAUGUUAUGGAUCUGUGUAAAAUUUAAGUUUUUUUUUUUAAAUAAAUAUAAAAUAAUAGUAGUUCUUAUAUAAAAUAUAAGAACCAAUUAUAAAAAAUUUGAAUAGAUGACUAAUUAUAAAAUCUGAAUAGAAAAUUUAGCAAAUAAAAAAAAAUUUAAAAUAUAAAGUAAAUAUAUGUUUUUUUUUAUAAGAGUUAUAUAUAUAUAUAUAUAUAUAUAUAUAUAUAUAUAUAUAUAUAUAUAUGGUUUGAGAAGUAUCUUUAAUAUCGUAUCCUCAAAUGAGGAAAAUAAUGAGAAACUUAUUUCAUGCGACUCCAAACGCAAUUGACAUGAAAAUAAUAUGAAAAUGACCACUCAAUAUAGGUACAAUCCCAAAUUCAAACUCAACUAACAUGGAAAUAAUUGAACGAUAUGGAUGUAAUCUCAACACGGAAACUCAACUGACAUGAAAAUGAUCGAUCGAUAUAGGUGUGGUCUCAAAACUUAAAUUCAACUAAGACAGAAAUGAUCAGUUGAUAUAGGCGUAAUCCCAAACUCAAACUCAAAUAACAUAGAAAUGACCAAUCAAUAUAGGUGCAGUCCUAAAACUUAAAUUCAAUUGACACGAAAAUGACCAAUCAAUAUAAAUGUGGUCCCAAACUCAAACCUAUCUAACACAAAAAUAAUUGAUUGAUAUAGGUGUAGUCUCAUAACUCAAACUUAAGCUGACAAGGAAACGACCAAUCGAAAAUAUUUUUAAAAAAUAAAAAAUAAAAAACUUAUCUUAUUUUUGUUAAAGAUAAUUUCUCCAUUUUGAUUUUGUAAGAAAAUAAAUUUGAUUUAUAUAAUAUUAAUCAAAUUUAAUUCAAGUCUUAUUAAUUAGUAAAAUAUAAAUACUAAUAUUAUAAUUUAAUCAUAAAUUAUAUUUUUGCAUAAAGAUGAUGCUAUUUUAGUAUAUAUUAUAAAAAUAUAGAUAUUAAAAUUUUCAUGAAAAAAACAUCAUUGAUUUUUUUAUUGUUAAAAAUAAAUAAUCAUAAUGUGUGACAUCCCAUAGCUUGGAGGCUAAGGGGCACCACGAUUAAUUCACGUUAAAACUCUACCAUCUAACGCAUUGAUGAUUUUAAUUAAUAAAACCAAAACUAUCUAAAAAAAAAUAUUUAAAUAAUAAAUUUAACGAUUGUCAAACACUUAAAUAAGAAUUAUAGAAAAAAACCAUAAUUAAAAAGUCUCAAGGCAAAAAUUGUAAAUAAAAUCAAAUUUAAAGUAUUUUCUCAACAAAACGCCCAUCCUAUGCUAUCCCUCUUCACCAAUAUCACUUAAUCCUGAAAAGUGAAAUAAUAAAGAAAUGUGAAUUCAACAACUCUGUAAAGGAAAAACGGAUUCAAUAAAAAGAUUAGCAUAAUACAAAAUUAAAUAUAUGAAAUANNNNNNNNNNNNNNNNNNNNNNNNNNNNNNNNNNNNNNNNNNNNNNNNNNNNNNNNNNNNNNNNNNNNNNNNNNNNNNNNNNNNNNNNNNNNNNNNNNNNAUUUAAAAAAAAAAAUCAAAGAUCGUUUAAUUCAAAAUUUUAAUUUACUUAUUUGGAAAAUUCAAUACUUUCAAUUUUAAGAUAUAACCAAAUAAUACACUUUGCAUAAUCAAUUCAUAUUUAAAAGACUUUUACAAAUAUUUUACUCUAGUCCACUAACACUAUGUCCAAAUAUUAGGACUUGCAUUAGAUGGCUAACCUUAAAAUUUCUUUUAUUAGUGGAUGAAAAAGUUUCCGAUCAAUGGCAUACCAAAGGUCAAUAACAUCUUUAUUGGUUAAGGUUGCAAUGCAUCACUACCCCCACUAAGGGAAAUGAAGGUCAACAACUUAUUCUUCCUUGACUAGGGUGAUUGAUAACUAGUGUUUCCAAAUCAUUUUAAUUAAUUAAAAAUGUAAAACUUAUAUAAAAAUCAAACAAAUAUUUAUUUUAUAAAUCAAUGAAUAAAUCAGAACACGUUUUAAAAAAAUAUUACUUGAUCCACUCUAUGAAAUUUAAACAUUUUGAUAUUUCAAAAAAUAGGGUAUAAAAUAACUCGCUAUACUAUUAACCCUUAUAUGAGUUGAAUAAACCAAAGAAACAAAAUUAUAGAAAUUUCCUAUAAUAAUUUGAGAAAUGUAAAGAAUCCUUCAAACUAAUUUUUUUGAUAAAUAUUAUAUUGUAAAUAUACAUUUAUUUAUUAUUUAACUCUAUACCAAAAUUAAGUAAAUUAAUAUUCCUUUCGUAAAAUAUCCAAUUUCCACUACUUAAGUUCACUUAACUUGUUUUUCUAAAUAAUUACCCAAAUUUCUUUCCUAAUGAAUUUUAACCAAUGUUUUUCUAGCAACCCAUCAACCAAAUUAUUUAUUUAACUUUUUAUUAGAAUUAAUUCUUAUAUACCUCAGAACCACACCAAAAACAUUUCUGCAGGCUUAAAUAAAUAUCUAUUAUUUUCAAACAAUAUCUUAUUAUUUUUCAACCUAAAAUACACUUACAAAAAUCUUCAUAAUCACAUUAUAAUAUUCUCAAAGUUUCCCCUAUGAUAACCCUAACUAUAAAACGUUUUGAAAGAAUAUUAACCUUAAAUAAUGAAAUCAAUUUAGGUUAAAAGUACCAACCUUAAAGUAUACAAAUUGAUACGAAGAAAACUCCAACUCCUACAUAGAAUAUUAAAAGAUAGCCCUAUAUAUAUAUAUCUAGGGUUUAUAACGGGUAAAUAUAAUUUUAUUUUUAUUUAUUUAUUAAUUUUUAUAAAGCCCAAAAUAUAUGCAUACAACUCAAGCCAAGCCCAAAUUUUUAUUUUUUAAUUAAUUAAAAAAAUGACUUUACCCUAAGGUUGGAGGUGUUAAAUAAUGUUUAAUAAUCUUUUAUUUAAAAUAAAUUUAAAAAUAGACAAAAUUUAAUUUUUUUUAAAUGGGUAAAUAAGUUAAAAUUUUCAUACAUGUGCAUAUUUAGUAUUUUAAACAUAUUUUGAACUAAUUUUGAUUUAUUAUACCGUUAAUUGAAUCAGUUUUUUAAAUUCUAAAUUAUUCUUAAAUUUUUUUUGAGGUGGGAGGCUUUUUAUAAAGGAUAAUAAUUUUUAAAAUAAUUCUAAAAAAUAAUUUUAAAAUUAUAAUAGUUUAUAUCAAAUUGGGUUCCACGUGGAACUCAUGUCUUGAGUACAAGAAAAGUGUGUGAAAAAAAAAAUGAAUUCAUAUUGAAGACAAGGAAAAAUUCAAUUUUAAAGUAAUCACGUGUAGCAUUUGAAAAAAAAAAAAAAAACAAAAAUUUGAAAUAGAAACAAAACUAGCCCUACACGUCCUCGCUAUAAAAGGAGUGAAUUGAUAAAGCGCCACGCCCACCCAAACCAAAAGGAAAAAGCGAGAGUGGGUUUUCUUAGAGAGCCAAAACCACAGCACCCUCCUCUCUUCUACCACAUACAUCAACCGUACGCUUUGAAACCCUAACCCUACUCUCUCUUUCUUUGUUUUUUUUGUUUUCCGUGUUUUAGAUCUGUGUUCCCACCGCUCAGAAUCUAGGUUUUUUUUGUGGCUUCUGCUGCAUUGUGUUGUUGGUUUGUGAAAUUUUUUCUUUGUUUUGAGGAAUGGAUUCGUGUGGUUUGACGUUUUUGGUGGUUUUGCAGAUGGAUCGGUACCAGAGAGUGGAGAAGCCGAGGCCUGAAACUCCGAUCAACGAGAAUGAGAUUCGCAUUACUGCUCAGGGCCGUAUGAGGAACUACAUUACUUAUGCUACCACUCUCCUUCAGGUUUUCUAUCAGUGUUUUUCCAUUUGUAUACGCAUAAUACUUCUGAUUUGGAAAUUAGGCUCUAUAUGAUUUAUGAGAUCUUCCUUCGUCUGUCUGUGUUUGAUAUUGCUUCCACUGUUUUGAGAAUUUUGACCUAUGGUAUGUGUUAUUUGAAAAAUAUGGAAGAAUUGAUAGUGUUGCGUUGGCUUGUCACUGCCAAUGUGCUUGGAUAAAUUUGGCCCCCUUUUUUUCUGUUGAUUUUGACUUUUUUUUAUUGUUGUAAUGAGUGAAUUUUGCUGUUCUUUUGCAACUCAGUCUAAAAUUCAGCUUUUGGCGCUUUUGGAAGUUAACUCGUUUAGUUUAUUUUGCAUAUAUUUUAUGAGGGCUUUGUGUUUUUUGGUUGAGUUGAUGAAUGCUGGGUGUAAAAUUUAAUGCUUUCAUUAAUUGUUGAAAUUAUUAUUUCAAUUUUCUGUUGUUAUAUCACCUGAGAUUGGUGAGAUUUUAAUUGAAUGUACAUUUAGUUCAUAAUAUUUUUAUCAGUAGUGUUGUUGUUAAGUCUUGAAAGCUAGUUCAUUUAUUGAACUGGAAAAGGGUUGGGUCUAAGAGUUACUAGUUCUACUGUCAGGUGUAACAUCAUUAUGCUGCCAUAAAUGUAUUUGUUAUUAGUUAAUAAAUUAAUUAAUUGAUUCACUAAAAAAAUGCAUGUAAGUAAUCUAUCUAAAAAAGAACUAUAUCCGGCCAAUCUACCAAACAAAAUUGGAAUUUUGCAUUUUUGUAUGGAUGACUGGUUAGAUGCAGAAACUUUGGAGCAGACUGAACCCACAUUUUUGCUGCAUUUGUGACCGCAUAAAAUAAAAAAGAAUGAAGUUGAUGCGAAAAAAAGUGCGGUUGACUUGUUAUAUAUCAUUAUAAUUUAUGAGAUAUUUUUUUUUUCCGGAAUACAUGGCAGCGCCUUAUAUUGUCGGAAAUGCCCUUGAAGGGGGGCCCAGAAGGAUUGAUAAACAUUCCAAACCUGUUGUUGGAAGACAUGCAAAGUUUCCGCUAUGUCGUUUUGUUAAAUGAAUGGUGUGGAACCAAAGUGACUCUUGUGAAAAAUGUGUGUGAUGGUUUUUAUUAAAGAUAUUACUACAGUAUAUUAUUACAGUAAGAAUAAUAAUAUGAUGAUUAGUGGGAUAUAGCAGCUGGAGCCAAUUCAAAACGUAGCUUCUAUUGAUGCCAUUAUAUGUUGCUUUCAAAUUCCAUUGUCCACUGUCAAUCCCAUAUCAUGCCAAGUUCCUACCCCAUUAACAACCCCAUUCAACCCGAGUUUCAUAGCCUUUAGAAUUAUCAUCCAUCUGUAAGAAAUUUUACAUCACAAUUACUAGUUCCUAGUUAAGAUUUCUCUCUUGCUCUCUCGUAAUCAGAUCUAGCCCCUCAUUAACACACAUUCCAAUUGAGAGUUCCUUCCAAGUUAUGAAGGAAUUUGUGGUGAUGAAAUAUUACAGCUGCAUACAAGGAGACAAUGGUGUAUUGUCCCUUCGUCUCCCCUCUUUCUAAUGCAUGAUUUUAUAUUUUUUUAUAAAAAUAAAAGCCACUAAAUUUAAAUUUGAAACUGCAUUUGUAUGUAUGUGUCUCAUCUUCCCUUUGCUUGUUUAUAUGCAAUAUAUUAUCUCUUGAUUUCCUAUUUGAAAGUUGAAUAAAUCAAGUCUGGUAAAAUGUAUACCAGGAUGGGUAAGUCCUUCCACCAGAAACUUUAAUUUAGACCUAUUUUGGUAUUCAUUCAAGUACUUUGAUUCUGGUGUAUGGGCAUUACUAGGUGCUAAAAACUCAUAUGUGGUCAUAAAACCUCUACUUUGAUUACAUGGGAUUUUGUACAAGUAAUUUUUUCGACCAUUUUUCUUCUCAUAAUCUUGAUCACUUUUUUUUUUCUUUUUUUGUUCUUGUUAUUGAACUUGUGUCUGAACCACAAUAGGCUCUUUGCCACCAAUCCUGAAAAAUCACUAAUGUAUAACUGCGUUAUAAGUGGUGUAAUUUUGUUGUUUGUUGCAAAUGACUUCCUCUCAUCUUGUGCUUCAUUGAUAUUAGCUUUAAUUUCUUUUGAUCAAUUUAUCUCUAAUUUUAUCAGUGACUUCCUCUCAUGUUGUCCUUUGUUGAUGUUAGCUUUAAUUUCUUUUGAUCAAUUUAUCUGUAAUUUUACCCUUCAUGUUUUGAUUAUUACUAUCUAUCUUAGAUCCACAUUUAAAUUAUAUUUAUUUUGUAUGUUUUUUUAUGGGGUCAAUAUGUUGUCAUAAACCAUAGCCAACUCUAGCCAUCUUUUAGAGUUGUCUAAAAUUUUCCUUAUUUUGGUAUGUUUGGGUCAUAUAGAUGAAUUGUUCUCCUGUUUUUAGUUUAUUUAUAAUGUUUCAUUUCCAGUUCUUCUCUCAUGUUUGAAUGGAUCAAGCAACAAAAACAAUCACUCUCAGAUAUUAUCACAUCUCCCUCAUUCACUAUAAGUAUGCUUUCAAGCAAUCUCCUCUCCUCACAAUCCUUUUAUUCUUAUUGGUUGUUGGAUCUUGCGUUAUAAAGGCCAUUCGGUUCCAAUGUUGUGUGCUUCUUUUCAUUUUUUUAGUUGUGGUACUUUGUGUUUGGCUCCUUUCCUUUGCUGGGGCCUAUUCGUAUGACCCUGUGCAUUUGUGUGUAUUGGGGUGGUUUUGUUUGGGUUAUGUGGGUUUGGAUAUUUUUGGGAUUGGAUGCUUCAAAGCUGAAGCUUAAAAGAGAGAUUCUAUGUUUUUUGUGUGUGAACAAUGGAUCAGCAGUUGAAGAUGUUCCUUCCUGGAAACUCUUAGAUAGUUUAAUUUCUCCUGGCUAGAAGGGCCUUGUUCUUUUCAUAUAGUUUUUAAUUGCUCCCUUUUUGUUUUCUCCCACAAGUUCUUGGGGUUUAACAUGCAUAUUUCUUGUGUACUUGGUUGUGUGGCCUUUACUUUCAGUCUUCUGGUCUCAUUGCCCUUUGCUUGCCAUUCCCUCUCUCUUUCUUUCUCUCUCUCUCCCCUUCUCUCCUAAAAUGGAAGAACAGCUGGUUGCUGGAAGCCUAGUUUUCUCCUUAAGGUAUUUGGCUGUUAGCUGGGUGUUGGAGUCCAUGCAUGUGAUUAACUGGGCCCAUUUGAGUGUCCGUUGUUUCCAUGGAGAAUACUGACCAAACUGACGUUGUUUUACCUGUUCCCAUAAAAAUGUGGAUCACUACAUUUCUUUUGCCUUCAAUUCUGGCUCUUUUGUUAUUUAUUUUGUAAUUAAGAUAUUAUAUUUUGCAAGUAACUGGAAGUCUAAUUGUGAAAAAUGAUAUUCUUCAUAAAAUGUUCCCCUUCUCAAUUGACUUGAAGCUGAUUUUGCCAUUGGAACUUUUUGUGGAUGUGUGGUGUUUCAAUUGUGACUUUAAAUGAAGAAAAAUAAACUUUCUUUUUGUGUUUAAUUGCUGGUUACAGAAGCAAGUGACAUCACUUCUCUCUUUCUUUCUUUUUCUUUUUCUUUGUUUGGAUCAGAAGCUUCUAUCUUUCUUGCUAAUUGUUUAUUUAUUUAUGUUUAUUAGGAUAAAGGAUCUGAUGAAAUUGCUCUCAAAGCCAUGGGCAGGGCAAUCAACAAAACUGUGAUGAUUGCUGAACUAAUUAAGGUAACCAACAUUAUUUGCCUAUUUUUUCGGUCUAUUAACAUGGGUCAUUUUGGGUAUAUUACUUUUUGUUAUAUAUGUUAUAUAUGCUCGUUAACAUUAGUUUCUCUCAUUCAGAGAAGGAUUGCUGGUCUCCAUCAGAACACAUCGAUUGGUUCUACUGAUAUAACUGAUAUGUGGGAGCCACUAGAAGAAGGCCUUCUUCCGUAAGAAUUGAAGCAGCUUCUGAUCCUCCUCAUCCUUUUUUUGCAUAAAAUUCUGUGGGUUAUCAGGCUGAUAUAUUUCUUACUGAUGCAGUCUAGAAACCACUCGCCAUGUUUCAGUGAUAGCCAUCACUUUGUCCAAAAAGGAGCUGGAUAUAUCCUCCACAGGGUAAAAUAUGACUAGAGUUGUAGUUAAAGUUUACUUCAUGUUUCUUUGGCCGAAAUGAUUUAUAGCUUAGUGAUGUAACUGUGUGAUUCUUUGGCUCUGAGAGAUUUUGACAUUGACUUGUAUUAGGAGGGGUUAAGGAACAUCUCAUGCAUUUUUUGUUAUCACAUUUUUUUCUUUUAUUGGGUGGGUGGAUGGAUGUGUAUUUAUUUGGGUUUGUGGUGCUUGUGCAGCUUGUGCUUACCAAUUAAUUUUAAGAGGUCUAGACUUAAUUUAAAGCCUCAUAAUAAUGCAAAUCACCAGCUUUGAUGGUUUGAUUAGUUGGGAAUAAUUCAUGUUCUUAGGACAAGAUUAACCUUGUGCCUUGUAGAAGUAGUAAAUAAGACAGUGAUCUCUUGACACAAGGCUGAGUCAAGGUUUUUUUUUUUUUUGGUAAGUAAAGAAUAGCAUUUGUAUUAAAAAGAGGUGCUAAAAUAGCAGUCCAUGAAAUAUAAGAAAGAUACACUCACCCCUUUACAGCUGAAAUAAAAACUUUCCAAAAGAAUACACAAGAAACAACCCCUCCUCCCUCAAAGGGAGCCCACCCAAUCAAUAAAAUCUAUUAACGUUGAAGGACUAUCUUUUAUAAAUAUCUUAGUCUCCGAACAUAAUAAGUACACAAAUGGGGUUUUUUGCUCAAGAUUAUGAAACAAAAGAUUCCAUAAUUCCAUUCAGUCCUAGUUGAAAUCUAUGUGCUGCAUGGGAAGCAAGUAUGCUGGUGCAAUAAAGUCCUUAUAAUGAUAGACCAACCUAUUUCUGAUCUCCAAUUAUUAGCUUAGAGAGCUAAUAACAAUUCUGAUGACCUUGACAUUCCGUGGUGCACUUGGACUACUCUCCUUUAAUCACUUUAUGUUGUAUUUUGGCAUAUUAUAAUCACAUCCUGUAGCCUUGUUUGGGAUAAUGUUUAACUUGUGCAUUUAACAAUAGAAAAAGUAGACAUAAUUACUGCUAUGGUGUGAUUGAAUUUUAUGGGAAUGGUAUUUGAAAAAUGCUUUUAUUAGAAAUAAGGAUAAUUAUGAUAUUUUUUAAAAUUUUAUUUUAAUUAAAUGAAAAUCUGCUUCUUGCAUCACUUUUGAGGAUAAGUGUUGAGUCUCCCUGCUGCUUCCAUAUGCCUUGCUGAGAAUUGUUGUGUCCAUGAUUGAAAGUUCUAUUCAAACUUUUGUAAAAUUUGUGUUUGACCUUUGAACACUACUUUUAGGGGUUGAGAAGCUCUCGGAAUUCGGGCUUUUAUCUGCCAAAGCAAUUCCAUUUAUGUUGGCACUUGGAAGCAUCGUGAUGCAUGUUCUUUGCUAUGCUUUUCAAGUUAUUUAUGAUUUGGUAAUAAUCAUGUCAUUGGACCAUCUUUGUCCAAAUGCAGGUACCAACCACCAAUUCCAGCUGAUCAAGUGAGACCGUGGACUGAAUAUGAUUAUGAAGGAGGUAAAAAAAUGCAUCAUUGUUGUUUACUAUAAUUUUUUAUUUUUUGAUAGGUAUCAUUGUUGUUUACUACAAUCUCAUUGCUUGACAUUUUUAUAACUUAACACUUGUGGAAUCAGAGGGCUCUCCUGCGAUGAGGGGCAGAGGUCGUAGUGGCCGAGGAAGGGGUAGAGGUAGAGGUAACUUACACUGCUCUUUGGUAGUGCUUGAAUGUUGUCUUGUUUUAUGUGACAAUAAGAAUAUUUUAAUACUUAUUGUAGUUUUUCUGGGUAACUAAACUGACAGUUGUAUAUUUACAAGUGCUUAUCUGGGUUGCCUUUUACCUGCACUGUUGAAAUUGAAGGUGUAACAUAAAUAUUGCAAACUAGAGCCUGAGGCUGAUGAAGUUGGAAGCCAAAAUGAUGGUUUUGCUAACAAAUGAAUGUAAUUAGAAAAUCUAAUUUUGCCACAUAAAAUGGGUAAAUAUGCAGUAAAUCAAAACUGUAUUUAUAAGAUUUUGUUUUGUUAAUUCUUUGUUGCACUGCAACAUUUUGAUGAUUUUUGCAAAAAUUGAACAUAUAUUUUUGUUAAGACUCAGAUUUUUCAGAAGCAGCUCUAUAUUGCCCAGCUUUAAAAAGUUAGGUGGCGGGCGGGUUAACAAAGCAGAUUAUCUGUUGAUUUGCAAUUACUUGUUUAGAAUAGUGAUUAUUUCAUUUGGUUAGUAAAUAUAUAUAAUGAAAAAUAAGAAGAUUCUUUUUUCCCUUUACCAUUUUGCUUCUGAUCCCUAGAACUGAGAAUGAUCUGGGAACAUAUUUAUCUAGGGAUGACAUGAAAAUUCUUUAGCUAUUAAUUUUUCAUUUUCCUUGUUAAGUUUGAGAUGAACCUCUCUCAUCUGCAAGUUAUUUUCCAUUUUAUUUGUCCAUUUGUAAGCUUGACAUGUCAUAUACCUGGCAAAUGUUUUAGUGAAAUGGGUGUUUUUGUAUAUCUGGCAUAUUGAGCUCUGUUUUUGAAGUUUUCAUGAGGAAGCAGACACAGGCUUUUGGUUAUAUUCUGCCUCAAAAUGCUUGAAACCUAAGGGCUUAUUUGGCAAUGUUUUUGAAGUUGGUUCUCAAAAAACCAGUUUUUAGAAACAGUUCUUCAAAAUAUCUCUUAAUUGUUUUUUAAACCAAAAUUCUAUUUAGGAACUUAAAUAUGAAAAACAGUUUUCUCGGUUUAUUCUCCAUGAAGGUACUAUGCAUUUGUGCAUAAUGCCUAAAUUUGUCUAAGUAUCAUCCAUAUUUUCAAUUGUUUUUCAGCAUACUCUAAAAAAAAUAAAAAACAUUAGAAAGCACCUUGGAUUUGUUCUAAAAAACUUGUUUUCAGAACAAGUUUUCAAACAUUGUUUUCAUCAAUAAUUUCCCUAAUGUGAUUUUUGAGCUAGAAAACUGUUUUUUGUUUUAAAAAAAUAUAAAACUGUUUUCAGCAGCUCCCAAACAGGCAGUGAAAAGGAGGACAAUCAUAGACAAGUUUUCUUCACAGCAAGUAUUAGCUUGACACUUAAUUUUGGUAUUUCGGUUGUCAAUCAUUAGAAGGCUUUCUUUUUUUUAUUUCUGUCUCUUAAGUUUAUAAGAGAGACAACUUUUUAUAGUUGAGAUUCAUUGCCUUGUUGCUUGAAUAACUGUCCUCUGGUAACUGUGUAAAGCAGUUACAGUUAACAAUGUUGCUGUCAUUGUUGGUCCAAAUGACUUCUGCUCCAUGGUUGCCAUUUUUUUCAAUUUAUAGCUUGGUUAUUGGCCUGUGGCUAGAGAUCUCAGGAGAGAUACAUUUUAAAACCUCAAUCACCCCGUAAAUUUCACACACUGAAAAUUGAUAAACCAGCUGGUAGAUUCUUUGCCUAAAGUGGAGCAUAUUGGGGAAAAAUACUAAUAGCUAAAUAUGUUAAAUUAGCUGGAAGAUCAAUCUUGCCAUCAUUGACACAACUUUUUGUUUAUGCCUGGGUGGCUGCUAAUGUUACUUUAUUCUGUUUGGUUGUAUUUUCAUUUAGCAUAAGCUCAGUUAUCCCUCUUUUGUCUUAAAUGUGUUUUCAGGGAAUAAUAACAAUGGGAUGGUAGAAUACAAUGGUGAUGGUGGCUGGGAUGGUGUGCGUGGGGGGUAUGGUGGCAGAGCUCGAGGCCGUGGAAGAGGCCGUGGUUAUCGUGGGCGUGGAAGAGGCUAUGGUGGUGGAGAUAUGCAACAAGAAAUGGGCGGUUACAAUGACUAUGGAUCAGGGGCAGUGCCUGCUCAAGGCCGUGGUAAGCUCUUAGAUUUAUGUUCUGUGAAGUUUCUUUCUGCCCUUUAAUAAAAGAAGGUUCAUGGCUAGUUAAAUAGGGAAUGUCUUAAUUAACAGAACUUAACACCAUAUGUCCUUUGUCAAGAGGCCUCUCUAGUAUGGAAGGCUAUUCUUUCAUGUUAUCUCCUUUGAUAAGGCUUUCCUAAGGUUGCAAUGCAUGAGAUUGCAAUGAAACACUUGCUUUAUGUUAUCACCACACCUAGUUGUAUAUGUCAGUGUAUAAUUAUGAUGCAGAUGCAUAUUUAUUAUGAAGCACACCCCUUUGUCAUGGGUUUUUUCCCCUUGAAGAAAUUGUUUUGCAUGCUUUAUUUGUUGCUUGAUGUGUUUUCUAUGGUAACAGAUUUCUAAGUUUUGCCAUGAAUAUUUGAAGUACAUCAGGCACUAGUGCAGAAUUGCAUUUGCUAGUGAUCUUCCACAAAUUUUCUUUGGGCCCAUUUGGGAUUGAUUCUCAUGAAAGUGCUUGUAGCCUGUAGUGCUUCCAUAGGAAGCAUUUUUAUUAGAAAUACUUUUAUGGUGGAUCGGUUAAUGUUAGUCGAAAAAUCGUUUUAAAUGAUUCUUGUAAGGAAAUUGCAUUAGGAAGUGCUUUUAACCUUUCAAGAAUCACUCCUAAGUAAACUCUUAGUUUUGAAUCCAUAUUUCAUCCUCAUCAUAUUUGCCUCUGUAUAGCUUCAUCAAGAGUUAUUCAAAACAAACCAAAGAGUUUGAAACCUGGCACUGAUUUGGCAGUUAAAUCUAGAAAGAAAAAUAGGAAAGAUCAAAGCUUUAUCUGUGGCAUUGAAUGAUGCUAGAUAACCGAGUAAUCAUUGCAUCUGGCACCAUGAAGGUGCUGAUUCCUCAAAAUAUGUGGUGGAGGAACUCAUAAAAUCUACCUUGGUGGAUCUGCUAUGUACCCAUGACAAAAUAUUCUGCUACUCAUGUUAAAAUUAUUUUGAUCUUUCCUAAAUUACUGCUUAUUUGAGUCUUGCAGGGCGUGGACGAUGGCGAGGCAGGGGGAGGGGCCGUGGACCUGGUCGGGAUAUCAAAUCAGAUGGCCCAGUCCAGGCAGCUGCCUGAACCCCAUAGGUUUACAUUGCAGAUAGUUGUGGAUGCCUGCUCUGCUGAUUAUGUGGUGGUAUCUUUAGCUGGGGAGUGUUGGUUUCAGUGAUGAAUGUUUAGGCGUAUCAGUUAUAGUGGGCUGCUGCCGCCAUGUGGCAGCUGUGUUUUUGUAGGUUCAUACUAGGUUUUAUUUUAAUUUAUUGCUGACAAGAACUCAAAACGUUGUACACCUUCCAUCUUUUUAGGGAAUAAUAGAGCAGUACAUUCUUUCAUUCUUAAUCCUAGCAUUUCUGAUGUUCUUAGCGCGGUGAGCAUUCUGCUGUAAGUUUCUUCCGCUCAAAGCUCUGCUUCGGUUGUUUAAAUUUUAGUUGUACUGUUGAAGUAGGUAAUUUUUACAACAUAUAGGGUAAAUGAGCCAUCCAAUUCCCUAUUCCUUGCCCCAAAUGUUAGGCUCUAAUUGAGUGUUUUUCAAAACAGUUUUUGGAAAGUGUUUUUAAAAUAAAAGUCUAAUAUUUGAGAAUGUUUUCAAAAAUAAUUAUUUUUUUAUAUAUACAAGUUUAUGAAAUGUUUUAAAAAAUUAAUUUGUUUUCAAAAUAAGCUUUUUAAAAAACGGUUUUUGAUGGAAGUUUGACACGUAUUUGAAUUUUUUAUUUUUAAGAAUAGAAAAUUGUGUUCAAGGACAGGUUGUAACUUUGACUUUUCUUUCAACUUUUAAGUUGCACAAGCACGCCAUCUCGGGCGAGAAAAUAAGAAGCAUUAGUUGUGGCUGUGGCAUUUUAUAGGCCCAAUGCCCUCUAUAAAAUUUUCCAAAUUCAUGCGCCUUCCAAUCUUCAAACUCUCAUCAAAAGAAGUGAAGUCGACCUAGUCUUGAAGAACGCAAAUUCAUGCGCCUUCCAUCAAAAUUACUCGACGACUCGUCUUGACAUAUCCUCCGCAUGGGGAUUAAUUAUCGGGAGAAUUAGCCAAUAGGGUGGGAUGGAUUGGAAUAAUUAUUAAAAAGGGUGUUCCGUCUAAUAAUUUUUUGGAGGACUUUAAUAGGUUUAAAUAGCAAAACUAUCCUUCAAUUAAAACUUUUCAAAAAUUAAUAUUUAAAGUACUUCACUUGAUUUGUCAUGACGUUUAUGAUAUGGGGGUCUUAUAUUUAUUAUAAUUAUUGACAUUUAAAUUUUAGAUUUAACCCUUAUAAUUAUUAUAUAUAAUGAUAGUGUUGUAAAACAAGGACAAAUAUAAUGCAAAUCAAAGUAGUAGAGAUAAAAUAUAUCUUACUUUGAUAUAUAAUAUGGAAGAAGGAAUCAAAGAAGAGAAUUGAGAAAGUGAAAGAAAGAGAGAGAGAGAGAGAAUGAGAGGAAGAACUUUCUUUUUUUUCUCGGGAUGCUCUUACAUGGGGGGGUAAGAAGCCUUUUAUAGGCUUCAUAAUAUGAACUCCCAUUACUCAUCUUAAAGAUGAGUAAAUGGAGUUCAUAAUGACCAUCAAUGUGGUCAUUCAUUUCCCUUAAUUUACAACACUCCCCCUUGGAUGACCACCAUAUUAAAAGAAUAUGCCUCAUUAAAACCUUGCUAGUAAAAAACCCUAGUGAAGGAAAAAGAGUACAAUAUUCUUUUCUUGGUAUAUUAGGACUGCCUCGUUAAAAACCUUGCCAGUAAAACCCAGUAGGACAAAACCUGGACGAAGGAAAAAAGAGUAUAGUACACUAACACCCUUUUACAAGCAUACUCCCCCUUAUAUCGAUAUCCUUGAGUUGACGCAUUCCAAUCUUGUGUAUUAACUUCUUGAAUGUUGAAGUUGGCAAUGAUUUUGUGAAUAAAUCUGCUAGAUUAUCACUUGAGCGUAUUUGUUGCACAUCAAUUUCACCACUCUUCUGGAGUUCAUGUGUAUAAAAGAAUUUUGGUGAAAUGUGUUUAGUUCUAUCUCCUUUAAUAUAACCCCCUGUUAUUUGUGCAAUGCAUGCAGCAUUAUCUUCAAAUAAUGUUGUUGGGUCACCUUUGAUAGAGGAGAGUCCACAUGAUUCCCGAAUAUGUUGGAUCAUAGAUCUUAGCCAUAUACAUUCACGACUUGCUUCAUGAAUUGCCAGUAUUUCUGAAUGAUUUGAUGAUGUGGCUACCAUUGUUUGUUUGACAGAUCUCCAUGAAAUAGCAGUACCAUUGUAAUUAAACACAUACCCUGUUUGUGACCUGCCUUUAUGUGGAUCUGAAAGAUAUCCUGCAUCUGCAUAUCCAAGCAAUUGUUGCUUUGAUUCCCUUGAGUAAAAUAAACCCAUAUCAGUAGUUCCGCGAAGAUAACGCAAUAUAUGUUUGAUACCAUUCCAAUGUCUUCGAGUUAGAGCGGAACUGUAUCUUGCUAAUAAAUUGACAGAAAAAGCAAUGUCUGGACGUGUACAAUUGGCAAGAUACAUAAGUGCACCAAUAGCACUAAGAUAUGGUACUUCAGGACCAAGUAACUCUUCAUCCUUUUCGCAAGGACAAAAUGGGUCCUUUUUCACAUCAAGUGAUCGGACAACCAUUGGAGAACUUAAAAGAUGCGCUUUAUCCAUAUAAAAACGUUUCAAAACUUUCUUAAUGUAUGUUGAUUGAUGUACUAAAACUCCAUUUGGAAAAUGCUCGAUCUGCAGGCCUAGACAAAAUUUUGUUUUUCCAAGAUCUUUCAUCUCAAAUUCAUUUUUCAAGUAAUUUGUUGUUCUUGUGAGCUCUUUAGGAGUUCCAACAAGAUUUAAGUCAUCAACAUAUACUGCAAUAAUUGCAAAUCCGGUUUCUGAUUUCUUAAUGAAGAUGCAUGGGCAUAUAGGGUUAUUCACAUACCCUUCUUUUAGCAAGUAUUCGCUAAGGCGAUUGUACCACAUGCGUCCAGAUUGCUUUAAUCCAUACAAGGAUCGUUGUAACUUGAUUGAGUACAUGCUACGAGGCUUUGUAUUAUUUGCAUCAGGCAAUUCAAAUCCUUCGGGGAUUUUCAUGUAUAUAUCAUUAUCCAUGGAUCCGUAUAAAUAUGCUGUAAUAACAUCCAUGAGACGCAUAUCCAGUCCUUCUAAGACUGCCAAACUAAUUAAGAAACGAAAUGUGAUUGCGUCCAUGACGGGAGAAUAUGUUUCCUCAUAGUCAAUACCAUGUCUCUGCGAGAAACCUUGUGCUACUAAUCGCGCUUUAUAUCUUAUGAUCUCAUUAUUCUCAUUGCGAUUUCGUACAAAUACCCAUUUGUACCCAACAGGCUUUACAUCUUCAGGUGUUUGGACUACAGGUCUAAAAACUUCUCGUUUUGUUAAUGAGUUUAAUUCUGCCUGUAUAGCUUCUUUCCAUUUUGGCCAAUCAUUUCUAUGUCGACAUUCUUCCACAUUUCGUGGUUCGGGAUCUUCAUCAUUUCUUAUGAUAUCAGAAGCCACUUGGAAAGCAAAAAUAUUGUUAAUAACAAUAUUAUUUCGAUCCCAUUUUUCUCCCGUUUGUACAUAACUUACCGAGAUCUCACAAUUUUCAGGUACCUGUGCCUCUUCAGGGGCUUCUUGUUCAAUAUGUGGAUCUUCAGGGGUUUCUUGUUCAAUAUGUGCCUCUUCGGGGGCUUCUUGUUCAAUAUGUACCUCUUCAGGGGCUUUCUGCAUUAUUUGUGUCUUUUCUAGGGCUAUAGAUUUAUCAAUUUUAAACUGAUCAGUCAUUUUGAUGGUCUCUUCUAGAGUGCCAAGUUUUUCUUGGGUUCUCCUCUUCCGGGGAGUUACAUCCUUUGAGCCGACAGGUUUACCACGCUUUAGGCGUAGCUUAGAUUCAUUUGUUAACUGUCCUAUAGGGACAUCAAUCCGUGCUGGAGUAUUUGCAACCGGGAUAUGUGACUUUGUCACUUUCUUUGUAUCAAUGAAUGCAUCUGGUAAUUGAUUUGCAAGAUUUUGCAAAUGAAUGAUCCUUUGAACUUCUAGUUCACAUUGAUUUGUACGAGGAUCAAGAUGGGUCAUAGUAGAUGUCUUCCAACUAAUUUCUCGUCGUUCUUCAGGAAUCGACUUUUCUCUCCCUAAUGAUGGGAAAACACUCUCAUUAAAAUGACAAUCCGCAAAGCGGGCUGUAAAAACAUCGCCUGUCAAAGGUUCAAGAUAUCUUAUGAUAGAUGGAGAAUCAAAACCUACAUAAACCCCAAGUCUUCGUUGGGGACCCAUUUUAGUGCGUUGUGUAGGUGCAAUUGGUACAUAUACUGCAUAACCAAAGAUUCGUAAGUGAGAGAUAUUUGGUUGUUUUCCAAGCACAAGUUGUGAAGGGGAGUAUUCAUGGUAAGUUGUAGGUCGAAUACGGACUAAAACUGCAGCAUGCAUAAUAGCAUGUCCCCAGGCGGAAGUAGGUAAUUUGGUUUUCAUUAGUAAUGGUCGAGCUAUUAAUUGGAGACGUUUGAUGAAGGAUUCUGUUAAACCAUUCUGGGUAUGAGUAUGAGCAACAGGAUGCUCAAUAUUUAUCCCUACUGACAUGCAAUAGUCAAUGAAUGUUUGAGAAGUAAAUUCGCCAGCAUUAUCAAGACGUAUUUUCUUAAUUGGAUAAUCUGGAAAUUGUGCUCGUAAUCUGAUUAUUUGUGCAAGGAGUCUAGCAAAGGCUACGUUACGUGUAGAAAUGAGACAAACAUGUGACCACCUAGUAGAAGCAUCUAUUAAGAUCAUAAAAUAACGGAAUGGUCCACAUGGUGGAUGGAUAGGCCCACAUAUGUCUCCAUGUAUUCUUUCUAAAAAGAUUGGUGACUCGGAUAUGACUUUAGUAAAAGAUGGUCUGAUUAUCAAUUUACCUUGUGAGCAGGCAGCACAUGAGUAUUCAUUGGGCGAAAGAAUCUUCUGGUUCUUUAGUGGAUGCCCAUGUGAGUGUUCGAUUAUUCGACGCAUCAUUGAAGACCCUGGGUGACCUAGCCUGUCAUGCCAAAGGACAAAAACUUUUGGGUCGUUGAACUUAUGGUUCACGACAACAUAUGAUUCAAUAGGCUUUAUAGUUGUAUGAUACAACCCAAAGGAGAAAGCCGGCAAUUUUUCCAUUAUAAGCUUCUGGCCAGAUAUAAUGGAAGUAAUGUAAAGAUAUUCUACAUUAUCUUCAUUCAUAGUUUCAAUAUGAUAUCCAUUUCUGCGGAUAUCUUUAAAACUGAGCAAAUUUCUUCUGGAUUUGCUAGAAUAUAACGCGUCAUUUAUAUGGAAUCUAGUUCCAUUUGGCAACAUUAUGUUUGCUCUUCCAGAGCCUUCAACUAAGUUUGUAGUACCAGAUAUGGUACUUACAUUAGCUUUUAUUAAUGUCAAUUCGAGGAAAUAUCUUUUAUCUCGAAGAAUUGUGUGCGUGGUCGCACAGUCUGCGAGACAUACAUCAUCCUCAUUCAUCUUGAGACCAAAUAACACAUGGAUUUCAGAUAUAACAAAAAAAACAAGGCAUAAUGUAAAUAACAAAGUAAAUCAGAUGUAAAUAUAAGACAUAAUAAUAUAUUAUUUUAUAUAUAAAGUAACAUCAAUCAAUGUUGAUUUUUUCAUCAUUUAUCAAAUGGUCUGUUUUUUCAUUGGGACCUCCAAAGAAAUCAAUGUCAUAGUAGGUUAGGUCCAAUCCAUCACCAUCGGUAAAGUUCAUCUCUAUCUCUUUUCCUUUAGCUUUUAUUGAUGCUUGGUAAAGGUCGACCAAAUGUUUGGGCGUACGACAUGUACGCGACCAAUGCCCCUUCAUACCACAUCUAUAACAAUUAUUCUCAUGGUUCUUAGGAGGUUUAUCUUGUAAACGCUUCCCAUUUUCUUGUAUUGUCUCAGUAUUGUUCCACUUCUGGUGGUGCAAUGAGGCUUUCAUUUUAUGAGAAUUAUUACUAUAAGAACCAUGGUAUCGGGGAUUUCUUCCACGACCACGACCACGUCCUCGUCCUCGUCCACGUCCACGAGUUUGGGACGAUAUUGCAUUUACUUCAGGGAAUGGUUCAGAUCCAGUUGGACGAGACUGGUGAUUUCUCAUCAAAAGCUCAUUAUUUUGUUCAGCAACAAGAAGACAUGAUAUUAAUUCAGAAUAUUUUGUAAAUCUACGCUCUCGAUAUUGCUGCUGCAGGAGCACAUUCGAGGCAUGAAACGUAGUAAAAGUUUUCUCUAACAUGUCUUCCUCUGUGAUUUUUUCUCCACACAGCUUUAAUUGAGAGCUGAUUUUGAAAAGUGCAAAGUUGUAUUCACUAACAGUUUUAAAAUCUUGCAACCUUAGGUGCAUCCAAUCAUAUCGAGCUUUUGGGAGAAUCACAGUUUUCUGGUGGUCAUAUCUUUCUUUCAAAUUACUCCAUAGAGUAAAAGGGUCCUUUACCGUAAGAUACUCAUUUUUUAAACCUUCAUGGAGGUGAUGGCGAAGGAAAAUCAAUGCUUUUGCGGGAUCCUGCAGGGAUGCUUGAUUUCCUUGUUUGAUCGUAGCUCCAAGGUUCAUUGCAUCAAGAUAUAAUUCAGCAUCAAGGAUCCAAGAUAGAUAGUUCUUUCCCGAAAUGUCAAGUGCCACAAAUUCGAGUUUUGUGAUAUUCGACAUUGUCAAAUAACUUCAUAUAUAUGACAAAACAAUAUUAUUAAAAUCAGUUAUAAUAACUUGAUAGCAUUGGUAUAACUUUGAUUAUAAACAAAAUCAAAUAAUUUGUCUAUAACUUUUAACAAUAUGUAACAAAACAAAUCAACAAUAAUAUAAAUAACUUCAAGUUUAAGAUACGAGAAUUACCUUCAGAGCAAUUCGUGUUGAUAACGUGUUGUAAAACAAGGACAAAUAUAAUGCAAAUCAAAGUAGUAGAGAUAAAAUAUAUCUUACUUUGAUAUAUAAUAUGGAAGAAGGAAUCAAAGAAGAGAAUUGAGAAAGUGAAAGAAAGAGAGAGAGAGAGAGAAUGAGAGGAAGAACUUUCUUCUUUUUCUCGGGAUGCUCUUACAUGGGGGGUAAGAAGCCUUUUAUAGGCUUCAUAAUAUGAACUCCCAUUACUCAUCUUAAAGAUGAGUAAAUGGAGUUCAUAAUGACCAUCAAUGUGGUCAUUCAUUUCUCUUAAUUUACAACAGAUAGUAUAAUUUGUUAUUUAAAUUUACUAUUUAAAACAAAAAUAUUUCUAAAAAAUAUUUUUAAUAUAUUAUAUUUUUUUUACAUUUUUUUAUUCUAAUUUUUAAUUUUAUUAAGAAAAAAAUAAGUUUUAUAAUUAUAUAAUAAAAAUGAUUAUUUUUUCAUAUAUAUAUUAAUUUUAAAUCAAUAAAUUAUGUUUUUGUAUUAAAAUAAUUUUUAUUUUUUAUAAUAAAAUAAUUUUUAAAAAUUUAUAUGAUUUUUUUUUCCUUUGCCUAGUGUUUUUUUUUUCUUAAUUUUCAUAUAUAAUUACAGGUACAACAAAAAUAUUAUAUAAUUACAAUAUAAAUACACUUACUUUACAAUAAAACCUAAUUAUGAAAAUUUUGAAAUUUUUUAUAAAAAUGAUAAUUUUGUAUGAUCAUACCAUAUUUCACAAUAUAUUUAUAUCAUAAAUAAUUUCUGAAACCAAAUGAAAUUUUAAUUUGAAUUCACGAGACUCGUAAUUUUUUUAUAUAUAAAAUUAUUAAAUAAUUUCAAUUAAUUGGAUGAAUGUUGUUAAUAUAUUGAUACAAUAUGUUAAUAUCAAUAGAGUACAAAUAAGCAUUUUUAGAAUUAUUACUUUUAUAAUGAAAUAUAGGUACAACAUAAAUGCAUUAUACUUACAAUACAAAUACAUUAUCAUUACAACAUAUUACAAUAUAAUUUGCUAUAUUACCCAAUGAAUAAUUGUGAGUUAUUCCAUUUAAUAGUUGUGUGUUUGUCAAUUGAAUAUUUAUAUAUUAUUCAAUUGAUGAGUGCUUAUGAAAAAUAAUUAUUUAUUAUGUUAUGGUAACAAAAUUUUUAAUUGUAUGUUCCACAUAUAAAACGUUAUAAUAACCUUAGAAUAUGGUUUUUAUUUGUGAGGUAUUGAAUUUGUUUUUUUUUUACAAGGUUCUUUAAAAAAAUUCCAUUUUUUUUGAAAAAAAAAGUAGCAAAUUUUUAAGUAGUUACUUGAUUGUUCAAAAGUGAACAACAAUUUUUUUAGGCUUGAAAAAUGUACUAUUGAUUACCUGUACUUAUCAUCAUAUAUGGGUUUCACAUAAUUGACCGUCUCAAAUUUAUUUAUAAAUAAUAUAAAAAACAUAUUCGAGGAUAAAAUUAUAUUCUAAAAAUCCUUGAGAUGAGUGAGCUUUCCUAAUAAUUAUUCCAACCAAUUGAGUAAUUCUCCCUACAUGAUUCUUGUAUCCUUGUGGGGCCAUAGAUUACUUUUCAGAGAGGAUUGAGGCUGAACCAAUUGUCUGAAUCUGAGAACAGGGAGUGUGAGUACGUUUUGUAAGGAAAAAUAUCAACCACCAAUUCAGAAUUUCUUACCCCUCAUUGUUUCAAACUACUAGGGAUUCAAGCAAUUUUCGAACAUGGGGGAUUUAGUGUUGCAAAAACCCUUCCAAAACAAAAUGGAUACCAAAGAUGGAAUACUUCUCUCAUCAAGUGUAGGAAUGUUAUUUUUAGAUUCUCAAUUCUAUUUUAAGGAGAAUAUUAAUCAUUUCAAAAGCUAUUUUCAAAGCUUUUUUAUUGAAAAACAAAAUACAAUAAACAUAUCCAACCAAAAUACAAGUUUUACAUAUAAAAAGUCAAUUUUCAUCUUCCCAAAAAAUCAGUUUAUUAUUUUCAUACUGUAAAACAAACAAGAAGAGAAAUAAAAUACAAAUUUGAUUUUGCUUAAUUGUGCACAUGCAUAUCUAAAAACAUCCACCCAUUGACAUCCCUGCCUACACUGCUUCCAACAAGUCAACUAGAGCAAAUUUGUUACAGUCCAAACAAUUAGCAUGCACCCCUGAAACCUCCUUCUCGCACCCCAAAAUCAAACUUCAGAAAAAGUUUAACAGGGAGUGCCACUGUGGAAGCAGCAAACAUAUACUAUCCAUCUAAAUUUAUUGGCAGCACAUGCAUAAUUUGCAUGUCAAUCACCAUACUUCAAAGCAGCAUUAGAAAAGGGAAGGACCAAAAGACAGAAUUAUGAAAGAAAUUCUGAAUAACUAGCAGUUCAUAAUAUCUCUUGGAAAAGAAACAAAAAUUGUGCAAAACCAAGACUGCUCAAAUCCUCUCAACGCUUCAGACACUCAAAAUAUUAACUGUGAUGUCUUAAUGAUUAUAGACUAGAAGGAAAAUUUCAUUGCAAAAGAAACCAUAAUCACCCAAUUUGCAGCAAUGGUCCAAAAUUCACCAAAGAUAGGCAAAAUUAUGCUUUCAUCCGUCCAUAGAACUUCUGCUUCUCUUGUGUAGUCUGGAAACGCCCAUGCCCAAACUUUGAGGAAGUAUCAAUGAACUUGAGCUUGAUCUCCUCAAGGGCCACACGAGAUGUCUGCUUGAGCAGAGACUGACGAAGCGUAACAACUCUCUUCUUAGGCCCAACACAGCAACCCUUGAUCAUCACAUAAUCAUCCUUCACCACACCGUAGUGAGGGAAACCACCCAUUGGAGUUAUGUCUUUCUCGGUCCUGUUUUAUUAUCCAAGUAAAGAAACAAUGAUAUUAGUUACGGUAGCAAUGUUGGCAUCCUGUGAGAUUGAGUAUACAAACAUAGGGCUAUUAUUACUUAAAAACAAUUUACAAAUCCAUUAAAAAAUGAUAGCAUGUGUAUAACAGGGGCAUUUCAAAUUUUCAUUAGUGUUUCUAUUCAGCCAUGACUUCGAAUUCAAAGGUUCAUAUAAAUUCUUAAAACAUUUCUAUCACUGCUGCACAAAAGGGAAAAGGCUCUAAACUGGGAAUCAAAACUAAAAUAAAAUAACAGAAGUGAUUGACACUGUACCAUGCCAAUAAACAUCUAUUUAUGGACAGAAGGAGAUUUGAGGCUAAGAGCUCUUUUAACAAAUGUUUUAAUGACAUCAACAAAGGCCUUGCCAAAGUUCAGUAAAUAAGUUACUAACCUGUCAAACUCAGUGAGGGCGGUGUGAGACUCCUGCUCAAUCUUGCCAAGCUUGUAAAUCUUCUUGUUCAUUUCAGUACGAUGGUGGUAUCCAUUCUGACCAGCCCUGGCAACUGUGAAUGAAACUCUAGCAGGAUGCCAAGCACCAAUACAUGCCACUUUCCUCAAACCCCUGUGAGUCUUACGGGGAAGGCGGGUGACACCCCAACGGGUGACAACACCUUCAUAACCCUUACCUUUAGUCACACCAAUGAUGUCAAUCAUCUCAUCCUUCUGGAAAAUGGCAUCCACAGGGACUUGUUUCUCAAAGAAACCAUAAGCAUAAUCCACUUUCUGAGCAAUGGUUCCACCAUUGACCUGGAUCUCCAUCAAGUGUGCUUUCUUCUGCUUCAAUCCCUUCAUCUUCCUAAUCUAUAACACCAUGACCAGAGAAAUUAGUUAGAGGAUAAGGAUCAUUUAGGGGAUAUGAGAGCUGGAACUAAAUUUUGAAGUAUUGACAAGCGUCAAAUAAGUCAUGUCCAAUGAUGAGCCAGAUCAGAGGCUGAACAGGUGAGAGAGAGAAAAUCAAUGUUCAUUCUCCUUUUAAACAUCACAGUUCAGUUGAGGAUGGAAACUUAUAUUGGUUUCAUUCCCCAUAUGGCUAGGACCAAAAUCCAAAUGAGCAAGUAUGUCAUAUGAGUAAUUGGUAUACAAAAAACUUUAGAGAAUUAGAAAAACUAAAUCAGAUUCAGCAGACAACAGUACAAGCAUCAAACAAAAGUUUCCCAGUUCUUGCCUCCAAAAAAAAAUUAACAUAAAUAUCAUGUUAUUAAAAAGGUCUAAUAACAUGAUAUUACAUCAUUGCCUAUCAAAAAAAGGAAUGGAAAACCUAUUUAAAUGAUACUAUUACUAAUUCCCACUACUUCGAUGGGAAACUGUAUUACUACUCAGCACAGAAGGAAAUGAGUCUUAUCAUUAAAAUAAAAAUAACAAGUGAACACGACAAGCAAUUGAAAGAAACUGAAUUAGCAUCAAAUAAUGAAAUAAUGUAGUACAUCUUAAAAAAUAGACUAUCAGUACCUGAGUGUGAGCCAAAACCCGAAUGACAGAAGCAUAUUUUUUCAUUUUCUCCAGUUGUGCUUGGAUGCUUUUCUUCCCUUCUUCAGUCUCAUACUGCUUGGAGUACUUGGUGAAAGCCUUCUUCUUGGAUUUGCACCAGUUCUUAUAGAACCUACGCUUCACCUCCUCACUCAGGUGCUGAGCCCAAACUGUGUUCAGAGAACGAAGGCCACGUGGAGUCUUAACAUAAGCCACCACUCCAACUAUGACCAUAGGAGGAGUCUCAACAAUUGUAACAGCUUCACAUGUCUCCUUCUUGUGAAGCUCUGUAGAAUAUUAGUAUUAUUAGAUACAGCACUAGAUUUAAAUUGUGCAAGUUGGAAAAAAAGUUUCAAGCACCGAUGUGAUACUAAGAUGUAUUUAAAAAGUCAAAGAAAAACCUAACCAAAACUGGCUACAUGAUCCAAAUAAACUACAAACAUAGAAGGAAAUAUUUUCAACGUCUUUAGUGCAAGAAAUAAUUUCUAACAAAAAGUUCGUUUUACCAUAGGACAACAAAUAUUUUCAUGACAUGUUAUAGAUAAACUGGUGGCAACAAAUAAAAUAAAAUUUAUUCAAAAGAACAAAGUCCAGGUCCACAAAAGAAGUAUUAUUUAAGUCACCAGUCGGUUGUUGGACAGAUGAAUAUAACAAUGAAAUCAGAUCAUAUUACAUGUCGAUUAAAUCUGUAUUAUGACUUUAAAUAUUCAAGCAUUCAACCGCUUCACAAGAUUUUCAACUAAUGCUUGCUUUACAAAGAAUAUUUUGCCCUGAUCAAAGAGUGAUCUACUCCAAACAAAAAGUCUGGUCUCCAGUGAGGAAAACAAAAGGAAAGAUUCUAAAAGACAAUAUAGUACAUCAAAUUCCAAGGAAAAUUUCCUUCAAUAAAACAAGGGCAAACAAGAAUAAAUUAACCAGAAAAGUUUCAUACUUGAUCCAGGUUUUUCAACCUCCCUGACAAUGUGGGUCAUCCCAGCUUUGUAACCCAAAAAGGCAGUCAGCCUGCAAGGCUUGCUUGGGUCAUCCUUAGGAAAAGCCUUCACUGCAUGAGUUCAAGAUAACAAUGGAUUAGGUUAAAAAGAUGUAAAAUUUCAUCGUAUUAAUGUCCACUUAAAUAUCAACACUGAAGAAUCUCAUUAGCAAGAUCUAAUUUCUGAAACAUUUCAUGUUUCUUUCACGCAACUCACAUAUAAUAAGUACAGUAAUAUCCCAAACUCAGAAGUGUAAUAAGGUUAAUGUACUACUUGGAGGCAGAAAAGUAAUUAUCAUAAUCAUCAACAACUCUGAAGAAAGAGCAUGUCAUUGCUAUAAACAAAAAAGUAAGCUCUCAUGAAAAAACAUUAUGAUUGAUAAUAUGUAAAGAAGCCAUGUAUACCUUUUCCCCUAUGACGAGCAGCCCGCUUCCUUGGCAAAAAUCCAAGAGAACCAUGCCUGGGAUGCUCAAACUUCCGGUGCGACAUUCUUCUCCUCCUUCACCAUGGGAAUAAAAAAAAUAUUAAUCCUCAAAUGUUCAUAUUUACAUGGAAAACUAUUACAUUUUCAUAACUUUAACACCUAGCAUUUUUCCAUUUUGUAACAGAAUAUUAGUGGAAUUCAUCAUAAAAAAAAAUUAGAGCACAUUUAGUAAUGGAAAUAAGAACCAUUUUACAUUAUCCAAAUGGAAAAAGGAAGAUUUCACAGAAUGUCUUCUUUGCUUUUCCUUUUUUUUCUUCAUUCUUUAUGAAAUCAAACUAUAAAAUAAUUUUUUUUUAAAAAAAAAGAAAAAAAAAAAGAGGAUUCUGAAGAUGUUUGAUUGUUCCUAUUAAAUAAUGACUCCUUUCAGCCAACUAUUUUCAGUUCCAUCACCCCCACAAGGUUUUUGAGUGUCUGGUAGACAUUUUUAACUUCUCAAAUUUUCAGAAAAGAGAAAAACAUUUUGAGAAUAUGAUUCUUCAUGAGCUUCUUAGAACCAAAAGGAAAUAAAAAUGGACAAACUUAUUUCAGAAACACUUAUUUAGAAAUUAACUCACAAGCAUGUUUUUGCCACUAUUUCCAUUUUCAGAUUCAUUGAAAGGGAAAAGGGCUUUAGAAAAUAACAAUGACCAGACACUUGAAAAACAACAUCAUAUCAACGUUGGAUUCACAAGCAUUGAACCUUAACAAAAUGAAUAAUAUGAACCAGUAUCCUUAACUAAAGAGAAAAAUUAAACGGGAAAAAAAAUCAUCAGAGAGCCAUCGUGUACAUCUAAAAGCAAGUUAUAAUAUAAUCUAUGACUAGUGCCCGUAAUUCCAAAAAUCAAAAACUAAACCAUACGAUGGAACUGAAUAUGAAUGCGUUUGACUAAUACACGAGAAUCCUAAUUCACAGGAAUCGCUCAGCUCCUGAAAUGCACACUACUUUCACAUAGAAACCAUUGAUCUAUUAAGAAACAAAAAAAAAAGGACCAUUUCUCUAAUAACCCCAUGGAUUGCGAGGAAAUGCAGGAAAAUGAAGAAACCGAAAUGUUUGAACCUAAGGUUUUCCAUUGGAUCAGAUCCAAGGAAACCAAAGACUCUAACUCGAACUGAAUAUAGGAUUACUACAUGGCUUUUCGAGUCCCGCUUCUACAACAAAACCAAACAAAACAUGGCUUGAAAUAUUGUUUUCUUUACUUCUCCUUGCAUUUUCUUGGGCGGCCAAACAUAGAAGAGAAAGCUAACCUGAGAACCGCGGUCGAGAGAGAGAGGCAGAAGCUCUUGCGGCUACUGAAGCGAGGACAAAACCCUAGGUUUUUUCGCUCUUAUAUAGUAUAUACUAAUUUAAAUUUACAAUGCUGCCCAAUACUCUUUUUUCAAAUUACAAAUUCGAGCUUUUGGAGUUCUUAGCUAAUGUUUGGGCCUGACCUGGUACAGUAAUUCUAGCCCAAAUUGGGUUUGGGCUUCAAAUGAAAAAUCUGGCCCAGCCAUAAGGUUUGCAAUGAGACUCUACCAAUCUAGAUGAGGUCAAUAAAUUUCAUACUAUGUUUUUUGAGGUUUAAUAUAAUUAAGAUCUAUUUUAUAUAUAUAUAAAAAAAUUAUUGUUGAUUUUUUAUUUUCUAAAAUAAUCCUCAUCGAAUACAUUUGUCGGGGAGUCAAAUUAGUUAGUUUUUUUAUCUAUAAUUUUAUUUAUUUUUUUAAAUCUUACUAGAUUUACUUUACAUAUUUCCUCUAAACUAUAUUAAUCAAUUCAACAUAUAUGGUAAGGAAAAAAAAACAAGUCUUGAUAUAUAUACCUUAACUUAAAGCAAUAUAUGUCAAUAUUAAGUAUUUAAAUAAAUAAUUAUGACAUAUACAACUUAGUUCAAAGCAAUGAUGACAUAUAUAAGAUUUGUUGUACUGUGUCAUGACUUAUGAUGAUGCAACCUUGAAAUCAAGUCAGGAAAGACUCGAGAUGAUGUUUUAAAUUUCUCAAAGGCUUCUUUGAUAUGUCUCUAAUUCCAAUGUAGAAUCCAUGGAGGAAGAUACAUAUAUUAGCAUAUGUUUAAAGGAGCCAUGACCUAUUUGAAUACGAACCUUUACAUAUUUAUGAGUGAUAAAAGGUAGCUAUAUUGAUAGGGGCAUAGUAGUAAGAGGGCACUUUCAUUGACAUUUUAUAUAUGUCUAGGUUGCUAAUGCCCAUACCUAAACACUAUGAUGGAUGACAUAUAAGAUCAAAAAAAUAUAAUGACAUAUAAUGUAUACAAUGACAAUUAGUAGUCAUUAAUGUAGGUCUUUUUUUUUUUUUUCCUUGCGUUGCAUAUAUGAUUUUCAAAUAAGUAAGAUUUGAGAGUGAUUGGUAAAGUUAAUGGAAAUGAAAGAAACCAUAAACCAAUUUGAUGUAGAAACAAAUCAAAAUGAGGCUAGAAAUUGGAAUUUUCAUGGGAGUGCUCUAGCAACUAAGUGUGAAUUCAAGUGUCGAGGCUAUUUUUGGAUAAUUCUCAUUUUAUUUUGUUUAAAAAUAUUUUUGAUUGAGUCCGACAAGCUAGGGUUUUCAUUAUACAAAUAUGUCUCCUCAAUUUGAAAAACAUGUGUACCCUAAUCUAAGAAUGUCAUUAUCUUAUCACAUAUUCCCAAGACUUUAAAAUGCAAAACUCAUAUUCGAAAUAAAGUUAGGGGUGGUUGACCACAUCCUCUCAAGGUAUUGCUUCAUAGACAUAAAACCAAGUGUCGAUGCGAGCUAAUAUAAGUUCGUGUUUUUUUAUAUUAUGAAACUACCUGGAGAAGGGAGUGAAUAUGUAGUCAAAUAAAUUUUUACUAAUUUUCAAUUUCACAUGUGAAAUUCUCAAGGUCAAUAAUGUUAAUCAUUAAGGAGGAUUAAAAAAAACAACCACACAUAAAGACACCAUAUAUACAUAGAAAAAUCAUUUAUAUAGUCAUCUAGAAACUUUGUUCGUGUAUAAAACUAACAAUCACACGACCACAAAUAAAUUCAUUAACAGUGCGUUUGAUAGUGAUUUUAAGAAAUGUUUCUAACAUUUUUAAUAAUUGAAAGAUAAAAAAUUUCAAAUGUUAUAAAUACUAAUAACAAUUCUUAAAAUCACUGUCAAACACACUUUAAAUAUAACAAGAAAAUGCAUAGUUUUACCUUAUUGAAAUGCACCUACUCUUAGGGUCUUAUAGUAAUCGACUCCUAUACUCUUUUUCCACAUCCACAACACAACACAUCGUACUCCUUUGUAGAUCACCUCAACUCCAUGCAUAAGCUAGUAGAUCAAUGCAUCUUGUCUUUCCAACGAAAAGACCUACAAGAAAGUUCUUGAAAGAUUUGGGAGUUGAAGGUUUAGGAAGAAGUAGUGGUUAUUCAUGUGCACAAUUUUCUAGUCUUAAAAUUUUAGGUUUUUAUAGCAAAAUCCUAGGAGGAUAUUUAGAAUAGGUUAUCAAAAAUGAGAUUUAUCAAGAAGUCCUCAAAAAUUUGAAAGAUGGGUUUGAAAAACAAAAUGAAAGGAUCAACAUUUGAAUGCCCUAUGGAAACAUUUGAAUGCAAACAUAUGUUUGAAUGUUCCCUUGGAAGAUGUCCAUCAAUACAACGUUUGAAUGUUUCUUGUGUGAUUUUCGAAUGACCAUACUUUGAUUUGUAUGUUUAACUUCAUUUUUCAAUAUUCUCUCUAACAUUUCACCUAGUACAUAUGUAAUAGUCAUUUCUCAUAUCUUAAUACAUAUAAUGUAUAUAUGUCUAAAAUAUGAAUCUUGCUCUAAAGUAGUUCAAACUUGAUUCUAACCGAUAAGGCCAUUGGAAGUAUGGUACAUUAGACUCAAUGCAAUAAUGAAAUAAAAUUGUCAACCUAAUAUUUUACAUCAACAAUCUCCUUAUUUGGUAAAUUGUGAUAAAUAUUAUAAUGAAACCCUUGAUUUCUCAAAUAAUCUCAUGGAUCCUAAUCUAAAGCAUAUCUUAACCAUCAGACACCCCACUACAACACUCUUAUCAAUAGACUUGUAAUAUGCACACUUAAAUAACACACUUGUAAAAAAUAAUAUGUGACAAAAAAAGUAAAUAAAUUACAUUACUACUCCUUUUUGUUACAAAAAUAAAACGACAAAGUAGGAAGAAAGCAACAAUAAAAAACCCAUAGAAAUAAGAGAAUAAAUAAGAAAAAAACAGUAUGUAUAUAUAUACCUAUCUAUGAAUGAUAAUCCAUAAAAAAAAAUAAAAAUUAUAGUAAUUCAAACUAAGCAUUUAACUAACUACCUAUCCAAAAUCAACUUUCUAUUUACACAACCUCAAUAUUAAAAAAAAAUAUCAUUCUCACCCAAAAUCUAAUAUAUUGAAGCCUAAUAUCGUACAUUGGAAGCAUCUAUAAUGAUGAAAAAUGUCCUAAGGAAAAAUGACUUUUUGUCUUUUAAAAAAUACUUAGAUAUUUAAAAAGAAUAAUUGAUCUAGGUUUUUGGUAUCCUAAGUGCACUAAUUUUGUUCUACUUGGUUAUUUUGAUAUAGAUUUUCUUAGUUGUAAAAUCAAUAACAAAAACUAGUGACACUUAUCACUUCUAUGUCAUUCAUUAAUGUAUUGGCAUAAUAAAAAGCAAAAUUUUCAUUACAUUAUCAAUGACACAAGUCAAAUAUAUUAUUGUCUAUUUGUGUUAUACUCAAAUCUUAUGAAUGAAACAAACCUUGCAUGACUUUGAAUUAACUUAUAAUCAUGCACCAAUUAAAUGUGAUAACAUUACUAUCAUAAGCAUAUUUAAAAACCUGGUUCAACGUUCUAAGAAUAAGCAUAUUAAGGUGGCGUUUGUUUUUUUGGCUUUUUGCUGAAAGUAAUUUAGUUUUAGAAUUUAGGUUGUUUGUUUUUUUACUUUUUUAUGACUUAUCAUAAACUUUUUACUAAAUAGAAAAAACCAAAAUAUGUAGCUUUUUUUAAAUAGAAAAAAUAACAUAUUGGUUUUUUUUACUUUUUAAUACUUUUUAAUACUUAAUAGAAAUAAAAUACUACAAAAACAAACAACCUAAUAUUUAACACUAUUAAGCAUUAAGGUUUUAUUUAGAAUUAAGUAAAAAAACAAACACCACCUAAGAUAAAAUAUCAUUUUCUUAUAGACCAUGUAUAAAAGGUCAUAUUCACUUGAAUUUGUAAGCAUUAACUAUCAAUUAAUAAAUAUUUUUACAAAACCCUUAAAUGAAGAUUGAUUUGUUGAAAUUAGAAGGAAACUAAGGUGGCGUUUGUGUUUUUUGAUUUUUUGAAACCUCCCCAAAUACGAUUUUCAACCCGACCGUUGUUCUACGGCAACGUCGUUUGGUGUGAGGAAGGCAGCCCUGAGAUUGGGUGGCGGUGCGACGGUGAUAGAGUGUUCGUCGCGGUCACAAAAGAAGGCAACGUCUCACCACAUGAAAACUUGCCCGCGUAAAACCCAGCCAUGGGAUAUUAAGUGUCGCCCCACAGUGUAUGCUCCGCUGCCUCCUUUGCCUCCCGAGUGGACUGUCGUUUCAUCUGAUGCUGACGCAUCCGAUGCAGCUGUUCCUCCUCUAACACCCUAACCUGCAACUGAGUAGUGUUGGUUUCUAUCCUACGGAUCCAACAUGUACGUUUUCAAAUUUUCUUUCUAUAGUUUUGUUUGUCAUCCUCUCUGGUUGUUUGUUUGAUUAAUCGUAGGAUAUAUGUUGAAUUAAGGAAAUGUCUACAACCUGUUUGAUGAAAUGAUUCUAAUGUCUAAAAGAGAUGGUGAACUAAUCACAUGUCUACAACCUGUUUGAUUUAAAUCCUAAUAAAACCAAAAGUGCAUUCUUGAGGCGAAGUUUGAGUUGGGCUGGGUUGAGUUAGUUGUCCAAAAGCCCAUUAACUCAAUAUGUCAACUUUGAGAAUUUAGUACAUCUACGAGUUUACAAAGCCCCAGAAAUAACUCAGUUUUUGAAACCUCCCCAAAUAGAAAAAGCCAGUUCAUAUUAUUAAGUUUAAAUAUUUUAUUUUAAUUAUAUAAAAAAUAAAUAUAUUAAUUAUUUUUUGUAAGAAUGAUAAUGAUAAAUUAUUUAUUAUAAUAAUUUUAUUAUUUUGAACAGAAAUACAUUAAAUUAUAUUUUUUUUAAUACAUUAAAAUAUUAAGAUAUUGGUUUUUAGUAUAUAAAAAAACAAACAGUUUAAUACUUAAUAGAAAUAAAAUAUUAAAAAAACAAACAACUCAAUACUUAAUACUAUUAAUCAUUAUUUAAUAUUAAGUUAAAAAUAAGUUCUAUUUAGAAUUAAGCCAAAAAAACAAACGUCAUCUAAGACAUAUAAAAAUUUAAAACUAUUGCAUGCUUUGCACCAUUUUGAUAUUUGUAUUUCAAAUGCUUCUUGCCUAGUCAAAGUUUGUUUGUGUACUAUUUGAUUGAAUUUGAUGGAUUUUAUGCAUAAUUUUCUUAUCAUAUUGCACAUUCAUAAUAUUUUAGUUGCAAAAAAGUCGUACAAACCUAAAUAGAUAUCCUUCAAGUUCUUAAAGUAUCAAUAAGAAGGCAAUAUAUGAGUAAAAUCAAUAAAAAGAGGGGAGUUGGUUAACUAAGUAGUCAUUCGCUUAAAGGUUGAUUGAUGUUAAGCUAAACAACCAAGUGAUACUGUUAGGUAUGAAAAUUUUAAAAGCCUUGGACACUUAAUUUCUCAAAUUAUUCACUUUCUGACAUUUCCCUAUUCCCUCCAAAUUACUUAGGUUAAACCUGAUCUAAUCUUCAAAUCCUCUAAUCCUCUAAAACCUUCGCAAAUCCCCAUUCUUCUACUCUUUCCACACUUCCUUAUUGAAUUAAAAACCACCUAAAACCCAUUCUACUCCUCAAAUAUGCAAAAAGACACUUACAAAUAUCAUUGGAGACAAAGGGAAGGGAAAAAAAAGUUGUUGAGAAGACUUCUCUAGAGGUUAGGACUAAGGCUUAGUUUGACCCAUUUCUCUUUCACCUCCUUAGAACAACAAGAUAGGCUCUCCUAAAUCUUCUCUCAUAGGCCUAUUAUUUUGGGUAAGAAUACCAAUUUCAUAAAGUUUAAUAUUUUAACUUUGUCAAAUUAUUUACAAAGACGGUGAAUGAUUGUCAUUAGUUGGUUUACUUGAAACAAUAUAAUUGCAAUUGGUUUGAUGUUUUAAUUUGAAUGUACAGUAUGAAUAUGGUGUCCCAUACAGACUAUGGUAAAAAAAGUGAACAUAAAAUUAUCUAUGGAAAAUUUGAAUGAGAUUUUCGAAGUCCUAAAUGAAAGGGUAUGUAUAUAUAUGAAACAAAAAAUUAAUGAAAAAUUAAAAGAUUGUCCUCCAUUAAUGAGGUAUUGAAGAGGAUGUACAAUUUGCCUUUCAAAUAGUACUAGUUUAAGUCCUUGUCCAAUUAACUCACUCUUCAAAGCUAAACGGUUGCAUCACAUGAUGGGGUAUGAUGUGCACCACAAUGAUGUUUCAUUUCAAGAGGCAUUUUUGAUAAAUAGUAUUAUUGUGGGAGGGUCCAUGAGUAUAAGUUAUAUUAUUUUAGCAGCAUAUGACAGUUUAAUAUAAGAACAAAAGCUUUGUAUUGUCAUAUGAGACAUUCAUCACCAAGAUUCUAAAGACUAUAUAAGUAGUUUUUUCAAUGUCGUCAGUUGAACAACUUGUCAUUUAUGAUGCCUACAACCAAUAGAUUUUUAUUUGUAGGCAUUUAAGGAACUACAUAGUGGAUCAUAUGUUUCGAAAGGAAAACGAAAGAAAGUUGGGGAAAAAAAAAAGACCAAUUGUUUAUUACAAUUGAGAAGAUGUAUUGAGAGAUCGUUGGUAAGAAAGAGAACUUUGUUCUAAUAGACUAAACUACAAAGCUUCGAGUAUUACUUCCCCUACCUAAAGCCCAAUGCUACGUUUAAAGAGAUUUCACCUCGCAUUACACUUACGAAUUUGCUCCAUCUAACAAUGACAUUCAUAAAUAAUUACAAAUUUUAUCCAUGUCCAUUGAGUCCUUAGGCAAUAGGAGGAAAGACUUUUAACUUUCAACAUAACAAUUGCUUACAGGAGAUGAAUAGAAGAAUGGCAGUAUUAGAUGCUUAGACGGGAGAGAUUUGAGCUAAUUUUGGUGUCACCAUUACUUAGUUUGAACCAUAUCACAUGUAUAUACUUGACGUGCUCCACCUUCCACUCAAACCUUCUCUAGAGUGUCGAUCCUAUUCGACUAUUACACUAUAUUUUUUAGUGUCCCCUAAAAAGGGAAGACAUGAUCAAUAAGGGAGCUAAGGAAGGGUUAGGGGAGCCCCCUUCUUGGCCUAAAAUUUCCAAUAAAACAAAGGGCUCCUUAAAUAUAUACAUAUAUAUUGAAAAAAAAAAAGAAAAAAAAAUGGAAGUCUACCCUCACUAAAAAAAUUGAUUUUUCAAAAGCUAAGAAUAUUUAUAAUCAAAUGUUAUUGACAAGAUUAAUGAUACUUAUCUUUAAUGUUAACUAUAUAUUAGGAUUUCAAAUAAAAAAAAUAGAAUAUUGUGAGAAUUUAUUUAAUAUUUGUAAAUUUUUAAUUUUAUUUUCGUUCUUUUUCCUCUUAUUUAAUAUUAGGAUUACCUUAAUUUAUUUUUUAUUCAUUUUUCAUAAUUUUUAUUUAACGUUUUAUUAAAAUAAGUUUCUUAAUGUAUUGGCUUCAAAAUGAAAAUUCUAAAUUAUUUAUUUUUUAAAUAAAAACUAAUUUACAACUACAUUAUAUAAUUAUAUUAAAUUAUAUGCUAUUUAAUUGGAUAAAAUUUUAUCUAAUUAUUCAUAUUAAGAGAAGUUGUGUUUAAUUUAAAUUAUAGAAGACAACACAUAUAAAUUUUUUAAUAAAAGAUUUCGUCAUUUUCAAUUAAUUUGUAUUUUUAUUUAAAAAAAUAAAAAAUUCAGAUUCUUUUUACCAAAAAAGAAAUAUUAAAAUCAUUGAAAAGGAUUUUAAAAAAAUUAUUAAAGAAAUUGUAAAUUAAGUUUUGAUCAAUUUAAAUUUCAGAGAUAAAUUUAGAUAAUAAAAACAAUAAAUUGUGGAAAAAAUUGAAGGGGGUGGACUGAGGAAGCCAUGUAACGGUACACCGUUCGGCACCAAAUGGAUCCUCCGAUUAGGGCACACGUCACUAUCUUCUAUAAAUAGCCCCUUCCCAUUUCUUAAGACUAUUCCGAUCCCCAACCGUAGCCGCAUCUCUCUGUUCUUCCCUUUUUCUUUUUCUUUUUGGUUGAAUUAAGAUUAUUGUUAUUUAGUUUUGAAUGAUGAAAUCUUUGUGCAAACGCAGCUCCUUCAAUUGGGCGCAAUGAGCGGCACAUUCCACACGAGAUUUCUGACUCAUUUUCCCAUAUUUUUCUUCUUUAUUCUCUGUUUGGCUGCUGAGAAUUUGUAGGAUAAUAAAGGAAACUACGAACCUGAUUUUUCUUUUUCCUUUUUUUUUUGUCAUUAUAUAUUGAUGAACUCCGCGACCGAAACAUCGUUGUUCAAUUUUUAUGUUUACAUAUCUAGUGGUGGUUUCAGAUCUGUGGAUGGCUUCUUUUAUUUGACGGAAACGUGGGAAAAAAUGAAUAAUAGGGCAUAGUAGCUCUGUGCUCCGUUUGGAUGGAGAGAAAAUUUUCGGAAAAAGAGAUUAACGUUUCCUAAAAUCAUCAUUGGUUGCAACCUUGGGAAAAUGAAACCUUUCACUUAACUCUGCGUCGGGCAAUCAUUAGGCUGAGUUGAAUUUGAAGCUUUUGUUGUCCAUGAACCAAAACAGUGUUUGGAAAGUAAUUACUUCUAUGUUUCUUUCAGAAAAGCUUUCUCGCCAAGCAAACAGCGGGUUAAGUAAGAUUUUCUUGAUUAGAAAAUUGAGGUAUUUAAAUUGUUGAUCUUUGUUAUUUGUUAUAGAUGGUUUAGGGGUUUGUACGCUUAUUUUCCUUUAGGAAGUGGGAGCAUAAACGCAUGCCAAGCUUUUUCUCGGGUACAAUUUUCCAUACCUUUGCUGAUUCCAGAGGAAUGAAAGAAUGUGUCCACUGGGAAUUAUGGUUUUAUUUGAUAUUAUAUUUCCUUUUCCUCUCUUUUAGUGGCCCUCUGCAAGGACGAAAAUAUCGGACCUAUAUCAGUGAUAUAUCGGCUGAGGUGAUACAAGCAAAAUAUAAGCCCUAAAUGAAAAAUAAUCUUUGAAAUUUUGGACGCUGAAAUUUUCUCCUAAAUAAAUAAGUUAAUUUUAAUUAUGUUAUAAUUUAUUUUGUAUACUAAUUAAAUAUAAAAUAAAUAUAAAAUCAUAAAUAAAAUUAUCAAUAUUUUUAAAUAAAAAUAUUUUGUAUCAAAAUAUACCAAUAUUUUUAAAUAAAAUUCAUAAAUAUAUUUAAAUAACAUAAUUAGUAUAUUUGUAAUAAUUUGGUUUUAAAUUAAUAAUUUUAUUUUAUUUUGAUAUUCAAGAAUAAAUUAACUUAGUACAUUUUUAAAUCAAUAUAACAUUGAAUUUAAAUUAGUAUAUUUUUACAAUUAAUUAAAAUAUUUUUAAUAAAGGUAAGUAAAUUAACUUAAAAUAUUUAAAUCACAUAAUUAUUAUAUUUGUAAUAAUUUAACUUUAUAAUGAAUCAGUCUAUACUUACAAAAUUCACAUUUCUUAUCAGUUGACAUUAUAUAAUUAAAUUUAAUUUCGCAAAUUAUAUCAUACAUAUAUUAAUUUUUUCAAUAAAACAACUUUAAAAUGUCUAUUAUACUUAUAAUUUUAUUUUUAAAAGUUUUUUCUUACAUUUUCAUAAGUUUUGAUGAAUAUUUGGUUUAUCUAUAUUUUGUGUCAAAAUAUCCGUCGAUAUAUCUCCAAUAUAUCCGUUAUUACUAAUAUAUUCAUACUUGCUUGUAGCUAUAACAACACUGCAUGAGUUGAUACACAUAAUACCUAAUAUCCAUUGUUUACAGCUAGGACAGUGGGAUAUCUAAUCUCAUUUGCUCCCCAAACUUUUGUCUCUCGUUGUCAUUGUUGGCCAAUAGAGAUCUUUUCAAUCUCUACACAUUUCACCGCUCCACCAGAAAUUCCUUCUGCCUCUAUCGUACUCCACCUUGGCAAUUUCCACACCUUGUUUAUCUUCAAAUUGAUAAAUGGUAGUUUUUUCCAUUCAUGUAUAGAGUAUAUAUAGAGGGUAAUCACCAUUCUAAGAAUGAGAAGAAAUGAUACAAGGAAAGAAUGAUAUAAGGAAAUAACAACUAAUAUCCUAAUAUCUCAAUAUUCUUAAUAUCUCAACUUUCCUAAUAUUUAAACAUUCCUAAUAUCCCAACAUUAAAUAAUAUAAGGAAAGAAUGAUAUACGGAAAACAUUCUUAAUAUCUCAACACUCCCCCUCAAGUUGGUGCAUAGAUGUCACACAUGCCCAACUUGUCUAAAAAUUUUGAGAACACUUGACUUGAGACAGCUUUGGUGAGGAUAUCGGCCAAUUGAUCUUCUGAUCGAAUCUUAGGCAAUUCCACAAUCUUAUCAUCCAACUUUUCCUUAAUGAAGAAUCUAUCCACAUCGACAUGCUUUGUACGAUCAUGUUGUACUAGAUUAUGAGCAAUGUCACAUGCGGCUUUAUUGUCACAAAACAAUCGGAUUGGUUGCCUAGAUAGGUAACCUAAAUCCUGUAAGAGAAGUCUUAGCCAUAAUGCCUCACAAAGUCCUAGAGCCAUACCUCUAAAUUCUGCUUUUGCACUUGAACGAGCGACGACAUUCUGCUUCUUACUUUUCCAUGUCACAAGAUUACCACCUACAAAAGUAAAGUAACCAGAUGUAGAUCGCCUAUCAUCCACUGCACCGGCCCAAUCAGCAUUAGUAUAUACUUCUAUACUCUGAUGAUUAACAUUUUUAGCAAACAAAAUUCCCUUCACAUGAGCAUUCUUCAAAUACCUCAAAAUACGCAUAACUGCAUUCAUAUGUUGCUCUCCAGGAUUAUGCAUGUAUUGACUCACUACACUCAAUGCAUAAGCAAGAUCUGGUCUUGUAUGAGCUAAGUACAUUAAUCUCCCCACAAGUCUCUGGUAUCUUCCCUUAUCGGUUGAUACUUGAUUAGAUUCAACACACAAUUUUAGACCUUCUUCUAUUGGUGUAUUAACAGGUUGACAUCCCGACAUUCCAGUCUCCUAUAAAAGAUCUAAGACAUACUUUCUUUGAGACAGAAAAAUUCCUUCAUUUGAUCGAGAAAAUUCAAUCCCAAGAAAGUAUUUCAGAUGACCUAGAUCUUUCAUUUCGAAUUCUUUAGAUAGAUAAUUUUGCAGAACUUUUCUUUCUUCAGGAUCAUUUCCUGUAACUACCAUGUCAUCCACAUAUACGAUGAGUGCGAUAAUCUUAUCAUGUUGCUUUUUCAGGAACAAAGUGUGAUCUGAAUUACUUUGACGAUAGCCAAAAGCUCUCAUUGACUUUGUGAACCUUCCAAACCAUGCUCUCGGGGAUUGUUUCAACCCAUACAAUGACUUUUUCAAUUUGCACACCCUUUGACAUUGCUUUUCUGACAUCAUGCAUCCUGGUGGAAGAUCCAUAUAUAUUUCUUCAGAUAACUCACCAUGCAAAAAGACAUUUUUCACAUCGAACUGUUGUAAUGGCCAAUCUAGGUUUGCAGCUAAAGACAGUAAUACUCAAACUGUGUUGAUCUUAGCUACAGGUGCAAAUGUCUCUGUGUAGUCAAUUCCAUAAGUUUGAGUGUACCCUUUUGCUACCAAUCUUGCUUUAAAUCAUUCAAUACUACCAUCUGUCUUGUACUUCACAGUAUAGAUCCAACGACACCCAACUGGCUUUUUUCCUGGUGGACAUUCUACGAGUUCCCAUGUUUCAUUCUUCUGCAAUGAUUUCAUCUCUUCAUUCAUAGCUGCUUUCCACCUUGGGUCAGCUAAGGCUUCCUGCACACUAUUAGGAAUAGCUACAGUAGAUAAUUGAUUUACAAAUGACUUAUUUGAUUCAGACAAACGAUGGUUAGACACAUAAUUGCUCAUGAGAUAUUUGACUUUGGUAGACAAUUCAGGUUCAUAUGUGGGUUUAGGAAUACCUCUAUUAUGACGGUGUGGUAACCGUUUCAUGAAUGAAUCAGGUUCCAAAUUAAGAACACCUUCAACAAACAAUGAUUGGUUUGGUAUUUUAGUGAAGACAUCUUCAGACCCAAAUUGUUGACCACUCAUAUCCAACUCACCCGCUUCUUGGUUCACUAGUUCAGAUUGUCCAGAUUCAUUAACUUCAGGGGGAGUACCAUAAGGAAAUUCAGACUCAGAUGAAAAAUACAUUGAAUCUUCAUGAAACACCACAUCCAUUGUAAUAUACAUUUGUUGAGUUGGAGGAUGGUAACAUCGAUAUCCCUUUUUGUGCAAUGCAUAUCCAACAAACACACAUUGCAAUGCAUGGGAAGUUAACUUGGUGCGUUGGUGUUUGUGUAGAUGCACAAAUGCCACACAACCAAAAACACGAGGAGGUAGAUUUGGGACAGUUGGGGUAACUACGGCAUUAGUAAGAGCUUGGAGAGGUGUUUGGAAGUUAAUUGAGCUGGAAGGCACCCGAUUGAUCAAGUAUGCGGUAGAUGUGAUUGCUUCUCCCCAAUAAGAUAUCGGUGUUUUUGCUGCUAUCAAGGAAGCACGAACAACCUCUAACAAGUGCCGAUUUUUCCGUUCAACGACUCCAUUUUGCUGGGGUGUAUUGGAACAAGUAGUCUGAUGAAUGAUGUCAUGUCCUUCCAAAUACUUUUGAAGAUCAGAACUUUGAUAUUCUCCACCAUUAUCACUACGCAGAACCCGAACCUUUGCAUUGUACUGAGUUUCAAUCAUUUUAUGAAAAUUUUAAAACAACAAGUUCACUUCAUCUUUGGUCUUCAUCAAGCGUAACCAUGUCAUUCUGGUACAAUCAUCAAUAAAAGUAACAAACCAACGUGAGCCACUCAAAGUUGGGACUUUGGAUGGGCCCCAAACAUCGGAAUGUAUAACCAUAAAAGGAAACGGACUUUUGUUCAAAAUUAACGGAAACGAAACACGAUGGCUUUUAGCCAAUUCACAAAUAUCACAACGGAAACCAAAAAUAUCACUCUUUGCAAACAAACUAGGAAACAAUUUUUUUAAAUAACCAAAGGAAGCAUGUGCCAGACAUCGAUGCCACAACCAAAUUUCAGACUUUUUAUUCUCCCCCUCAGAUCCAUCUGCCAUCAAGGCUUGUUGCAACUUAUUUGAAUCCUUUGACUGCAAGUCCAAGUAAUAGAGUUUUCCCCGCUUAAUACCACAACCAAUCGUCUGUCUUGUUUGGAUGUCCUUAAUCACACAAAAUUCAGGCCAAAAAAUGACAAUACAAGAUAAGGCUGCGGUGAUUUGAGAAACUAACAAAAGAUUGUAAUCUAAAGAUGGAACAACUAAAACAAAAUCCAAAUUCAAAGUAUCAGUAAAAGUUAAGGAUCCUUCCCCAAUGACUAGGGUUGUGUUACCAUUGGUUGUGGAAACAAUUUUUUGUGAGGAAGGUCUAAAGGGUGAAACCUGUCUAGAAUCAAAAGUCAUAUGAUCUGUAGCACCAGAAUCAAUUAUCCAUGCACUAUUAAUAACAGGUGUAAAAGUAUUUAAAAACUUACCACCAUGAUCUGUAGCGGCUACCAAUGCAGAGGCUUUCUCAACAACAUUAACCUCUGUUUUUAUUUCGGCAACAGUUGCAAUCGAGGUUUUCUUGGAAUCCUUCUUUUGUUAAUCACGAUUAUUAUCAUUAAUAACAAAGUGUUGAUAGCCUAAACAUGAUCUAAAGGUCCAUGAUUCAAACCCUCGGUUCCUCAUUGUUUUCCUGGUCAUACCAAGAGUUGUUGCUUUGAAAUUGUGGGAUAUCCAGAUUGGUGGGAUCAAUCUUAUUGCAGUGAGUGCAUUUGAAGGUUGACUUAUCAAUAUUAGGGCUUGUCUUAGGAUGGAUGAUCGCUGUCGGACUACCAUAGCGACAAAAUAUCCAGGAUUUCAGUUCUCUGGCUCUGAUACCAUCUUCAAAUUGAUAAAUGAUAGUUUUUUCCAUUCAUACUUUCAUUCGUUCAUGUACAGAGUAUAUAUAGAGAGUAAUCACCAUUCUAAGAAUGAGAAGGAAUGAUACAAGGAAAAAAUGAUAUAAGGAAAUAACAACUAAUAUCCUAAUAUCUCAACUUUCCUAAUAUCUCAAUAUUCCUAAUAUCUCAAUAUUCUUAAUAUCUCAACUUUCCUAAUAUUUAAACAUUCCUAAUAUCCCAACACUAAAUAAUAUAAGGAAAGAAUGAUAUACGAAAAGCAUUCCUAAUAUCUCAACAAUCUAGGGUUGAGCGCUGGGAUUUGACGACAGAUUUAACAUGACUUAAAGUAACUUAAUGAUUUAAUUUAAGUUAUUAAAUGAAUUAAGCAUGUUUGUUAAAAUAACUUAAUAUUACAACUUAAAGUUAAAAAUGAUUUUAAAUAUUAAAUCAUAAUAGUUAAUUUAUUUUUACUUAUAUCUAAAAUCAUUUUUAUAAAAAAAUCAAAAUUAAUAUAAAUUAAGUCAAUAAGUCACUAAAUUGAUUUAACAAAUAACAUGUACUUACUUUUGAAUGAACCUUUUAUUCAAAAAGUAUAUAAAUUAGGAUUAAAACUAUAAACUAUAAUAUUCAUUUCAGACCAACACUUCCAUGAAAACUUAAACAAAAUCUAUUGACCCAAUAAUUCCAGUUGUGAUCACAACAACGCUCUCAUGUGAUAAUAAUGUCAUUGCGUUUCUUUUACUCAUAUGUCAAUCCUUCUUUUUUAGGUGCCUUUUUAUGUUUUUUUAUUUUUAAAAAUAAAUAAUAAUAAUAACUUUUAUAUAAAGUCCAAGAAUUAUAAAAGAUCAAUAUUAAAAAUCCAAUGAUUUUUAAAAACUGAUUAAUAGCCCGUUUGGCAGUGAUUUUUAAAAGUGUUUCUACCCUUAAAAACACUUAAAGUGUUUUUGGGAUGAAAAUAAAGUGUUUGGCAAUUUUUAAAAAACACUUUUGAAAAUCUGGAAAAACACUUGAAGUGAUUUUUAGAGAAUCACUUGACAGGUGUUUUUUUAAAAAAAACACUUCAAUUUUUUUGAAAUAUUCCAAAAAUGCCCCCAGUGAUUCCCGAUAUCUUUCUUCUCUUUCGUUCAUACCUCUCUCCUUUAUUCUCCUCCUCCAUCGCUCUCCAUCUGAGACAACAUAGUAAACCUCUAUUUUCAUUCGAGAUCGUGGAUCGAAGGUAACCCUCUAUUCUUUUUUUGUUUUCCUUUUCCAUAUUUUUUUUAAUGUCUGAUUGCCUUGAAAUGUUAGUUAGGGUUUUGGGUUUUAGGAUUGUUUGGUUAGGAGGAAAGUAUGAGAAAAUGAAAUCUGUAAAUCCUCAAAUGUUUUUAUAAAUUCUCAAUCAGCAGUAGCUUCAGAAGGCCACUCUACUGCCACUACUCCCCAAUCUCUGUUUCUCCUCGGAUUCUCUCUUCUGUACGUUUAUUAUUUAUUUUUAUUUCUGUUUUGUUUAUUCAAUUCUUGUUUUUAUUGUUCAAUUUCUCUCCGUUUAAUUACAAUUUCUUUUUAUGUUUUUCUUUUUUAUGUGAAAGAUGUUAAAAAGAAAUAUCAAACUAUGCAUGUUUUUCUCUGUUUUUCUUGAUGAGUGGUGGGGAAACUGUGCUAUAGAUUAUGUAUAUGCCCUUUUGCCUGUUUGGUUGUUGAGAAAAUGUGAUAGAGCAAUUUGAGAAUUGAAAUUGUGAGCGGGUUUUUUUUUUAAAAAAAAAAAUUAAUUAGUUUUUUUAUUUUUUGAGAUCCCAAGAAAGUAAACCUCACUUGGAAGAGAUUCAACCAAUCAUUUAGGUUAGUUGAGUUGAUUCUUUGUUUUCAGUGUUUCCUUUCUUUUCUGUCAUUUUCUGGGCUACCAAGCAGAGGGGUUUGGGGUUUUUUAUCCCCUUAUAAAAGUUGCAAUUUUGAAGUAAGACACAAUGGUAUGUAAUUAGAGUACAUUUAACAUUCUCUCUCUCUCUCUCUUUUGUUACUCUUUUUGAUUGAGGAUUGUGUUGAUAGUGAUAGAAAGAAACUUGAUACUGAACUUGUUUCAUGAAUUCCCUUUUGUAAUUUUCUUUUAAUUUAAUUUGGAAUAUACCCUUGUUAAAAUAGAAUAAAUUGAACUGCAUUUUAUUACAUAUGGGCAAUGUUACCAAAAAAAAAAAUUCAAGGAAAAAAAUAAGCGUUUCCAGUUGAUCCCAAUCAGCCACACAACUCAUUCCAUCAUCUCAAAAACCUAAAUAGUUAAAAACAUUACUGAAAAUGAUACCCGGGAUAUAACCCAAACCCAAUCAAUCAAUUUUUGAUCGGGUUGUAUUCAGGGUUAUGAAAAAACCUUUUGUUUGGCUCAAUGCCAGGCUCAACCUAAGAAUUCUUGUAAGUGCAAUAGAGGGAUUAAUGAGACUACAGUUUUGAUACAAUUAGGUUGCCCCAGUUGGAUGGAAGAGGGAAAGGAUAAGCCAAGUCCAGUUCUCGGUAGGUCAGCUACUAGGAAACCUUUAGUCGAUUAUAAUUGGACCUUUUUCAAUCUUUACUAGUGUGUUUGAUGUCAUAGAAACUGUGGUUACACUGAUCUGGCGGAGCCACAGAAUGGCACCAUGUCAUUAAAGAUUCUAUGACAUCACUUUCAGUCUUUUCUCAAAAUUUUAUUUUAUAGUAAUAUAAUUAAAAUAUAUUUUUUUUAUGUACAGACCAGUGUUCCAUAUGUAAGUUAAUCGUCCCUUCAUCAUCUGCAUAGUAAUUGUGCAGGUGAUGUAUUCAUCAAUUGUCAUGAUUGCUUCACUUUAUUAGUAGAGACCCGACUUUAGGGACUUAGAGGGGUGCUACGGUCUUUACCGUACCUUCCCGAUAAGUAACCUGACCCUCGAACCCGAUCCGGUUUUUUACAGACCACCUUUUCCAAAACAAGGAGUCAUACUUAGGGUUUUUCUUUCUUAUUUUGUUUACCCUUUAAAAAUAAAACAAAAAGAGACAAAACAGCAGGGUUAGCCAAUGAAGUAAUUGAUGUUUGGUUCGAUAUGAAGAGUGGGUUAUAUUCAGAACAUUAAUCCAUUCUGCAUUACCUAUUCUAGAUUAAAGCAUGGUCCACACUAGCAAAUUAUGGAAAUUCUAAACUUUGCACUGAUUGUUUAUCAAUUAAUGGACCACAUAUAUUCUUGAUGUUUUGUUCCUUAAUUCUUUCUUUAUUCUUCAUUUUAAUUGUGUGAUUCUUUGUUUGAAAAUUAUUAUUUCUCUAAAAUAUAUAUAUUUUUAAAUAGAGAAUGUCUAGCAAUAUUGUUCAACCAUUUCAACAACCAAGUGGUGGAGAAAGUGAAAAACAAAGCAACGCUUAUUGGGAUGAUAUUACAAUGGAUGCUUUUAUCAAAGUUUGUGUGACUGAGACUUUGGCUGGAAAUAGACCAAAUAGUCACUUUAACAAGUUGGGAUGGAAAAAUGUGAUAAAAGCCUUCAACAAUUUGACUGGAAGAAACUAUCAAUAUAGGCAACUUAAGAAUAAAUGGAGUUCUCUUAAAAAGGAUUGGCAACUUUGGAAUACCUUGAUUGGGAAAGAGACUGGCCUUGGGUGGGAUCCUAUGAGACAAACCAUCAAUGCAAGCAAUGAAUAGUGGGAUAAGAAAUUGAAGGUAUGUUUUGUUUAUUCAUUAAAUUUAUUUGAUUAAUUUAUAUAUUGGUUAUGAAAUAUGAUAAAUUAAAUACUCUUGUAGGAGAAUCCUGAAGCAAUAAAGUUUAAAACAAAAGGCUUGAAAAAUGUUGAGCAAUUAGACAUACUUUUCAAAGAUAUUAUUGCUACUGGUGAAGGAGCCUGGGCACCAUCACAAGGCUUUGUAGGACAAGAGGUUGAUGAUUCAUCUAAUGUGGGGGAACACGAAGAUAAUAUAAUAGAAGACCAAGAUGACUCUAGUUGCAAUCCGCCACUUGAUACUAUCUUCAAUGGUUUUGAAGCUACUACUCAACCUUCUAUGGCAAAAAAGAAUAAAGGAAGAAGAAAGAGGAAAAUAAAUGAAACCAAAUCUGAGCUUGUGGCUAUCCAGUUAGAGCGCAUUUGUAGUGCUGUGGAGAAUAGGUCUUCUAUCUCAUCUAAAGGAGAUAAGCCAGGUUGUAGCAUUUCUGAAGUGAUGAAAAUCAUACGUGGGAUGCCUGAAGUGAAGAAUGACUUUGAGUUAUAUAUGAAAGCCACAGAUAUCAUGGUUGUCAAGGAAAAUAGAGAUAUGUUUGUUGCAUUAGAAGACCCAAUUGAUCAGAUGGCAUGGCUUAAACAUAAACAUGUUUGAGUUUUAGAGUUGUUUCUUGUUUUUAUAUGGAAACAUAUUUUUGUUACCUAAUAUUGUUUAGUUGUUAGGUUGAGGGGAGGAAAGAGAUGUUGGUUUGCUUUAUGUUAGUUGUUAUUUUAUAUUUCAUCUUAGUCAUUUAACUUUUUUUUUUAGGUUUAUUAUUUCUAUAAGAUAUUUUUUUUAAUACAAAAUGUCUAGUAAUGGUAGGAAUUCUAAACUUCAAUUGUGUACUUUCUAAUUUUUUAAAAUAACUAUAGUAAUUGAAAAUAUACAUUAUUGUUGUUUAUUAACAUAUUUCCUUUUUUAUUUGUGUAGAUGCCUUCUAAUAAUAAUGAUCAAAAUUUUGAUGAUGAAAGCGAUGAUGAACAUGAUUUUUAUCAGUUGGUGGUUGCGGGUUGUGCUGCAGCUGCAACAUUUACUAGUUUCAAAGAAAAAAAACCUUGUAGAACUUCUUCCCACACAUGAUACAAGUUUGUAAUGGAUGUCUUAAAUGGCCAUGAAAUUAGGUGUUUUGAGCAAUUUAGAAUGGAAAAACAUGUGUUUAUGAAUUUAUUAGAAACACUUACUAAAAGGUAUGGCCUAAAAGAAGGUUUUGAUAUGCCCUUAAUAGAGGUUUUAACAUUGUUUCUCACUACAAUAGGUCAUGGACUAAGCAAUAGGAUGAUUCAAGAAAGAUUUCAACACUCUGGUGAAUCUGUAUCUAGAUGGUUUGAGAUUGUAUUAGAUGUUGUUUGUCUUAUGGCUGUAGAUAUUAUAAAACCAAGUGAUCCACAGUUUAAGGAAGUCCCUGAUAAAAUAAGAAAUGAUGAUCGGUAUUGGCCAUAUUUUAAGAAUUGUAUUGGGGUAAUUGAUGGAACUCAUAUACCUGUUGUGGUUCCUAGAGAUAGAAAAAUACGAUAUAUUGGUAGAAAAGGUGUGACUACCCAAAAUGUUAUGGCAGUAUGUGAUUUCAAUAUGUGUUUCACAUUUGCAUGGGCCGGAUGGGAAGGUGCUGCUCAUGAUGCACGAGUCUUUUUAGAGGCAUUAAGAAGGCCAGAAUUGGGUUUUCCUCAUCCACCUAGAGGUUUGUGAAUGAUAAUAUCAAACUUGUUUUUGUGAUCAAAUUUUUAUUAUCUAAUAUAUAUAUUUUUUUUUUUGUUUUAUAGGUAAAUAUUAUUUGGUCGAUGCUAGUUAUCCUCAAAUGAGUGGAUAUUUAGGCCCUUAUAAAGGCAAGCGUUACCAUCUUCCAGAUUUUCGACGAGGUAGUUCACCUAAAGGUAAAAAGGAAAUAUUUAAUCAUAGGCAUUCAUCCUUGAGGUGCACAAUUGAGAGAACGUUUGCCGUUUUGAAGAAUAGAUGGAGAAUGCUACGAGAAAUGCAUAGUUUUCCUCUUGAGAAACAAGUAAAGAUCAUUAUUGCUUCAAUGGCUCUUCACAACUUCAUAAGGAUUAAUGCUAGAAUGGAUAUGGAAUUUAAACCUUAUGAUGAUGAUCAAGGGUUGCUUCCACUUAAUGAAGAAGAGAGUAGAGUGGAUUCACUUGUUGAGGAAGAUGAUUCACAUCAUACAAGAGAGAUGGAAGAACAACGUGAUCGAAUUGCAAAUCUUCUCAUAUCUCAUUGAUGUUUGAUUAUGACUCUAAUAUGUAAGAAUAUAAUUUCCCCCAAUUUUUUUGCUAUGAAAACACUUGUCUUCUUAUUUACUUUUAAUUAUAAUUUUUUUUUUUGGGAAACUAAUAGGUAAUCAUAUAUUGUUUUACUUUGAAAUUUAUCUUUUAUUCAAUGUUCUUUUUUAUUGAUUUAGAUAUUUUUUGUAAAUAUUUUUAAAAAUUUUAGUAUAUUGAUAAAAAAAAUUAUUAUUUUUAAUUAGAAAAAUCUUUUUUUUUUUUAGAAAUUAAUAGGUGGUCAUAUAUUGUUUUACUUUUAAAAUUAUCUUUUAUUCAAUGUUCUUUUUUUUUUAUUGAUUUAGAUGUUUUUUGUAAAUAUUUUUUAAAAUUUUAGUAUAGUGAUAAAAAAAUUAUUAUUUUUAAUUAGAAAAGUUUUUUUUUUUUAUAGAAAUUAAUAGGUAAUCAUAUAUUGUUUUAAUUCUAAAAUUAUCUUUUAUUCAAUGUUAUUUUUUUAGUGAUUUAGAUGUUUUUUCAUUAAUAAAAAGUUUUUUUGUUUAUCAUACCAUUUUUUUUAAUUAAAAUUGUAUGUCCUUUUUGGUAAUUUAUUAAUAUUAAAAGUGUUUUUAUAUUUAUACAAUAUAUUAUCAAAAACACUUUAGAAUCAUUUUUUCUGAUUAUCAUAAAAGUGUUUUUCACAGAAACACUAUAGCAGAAAAUACUUCAAAUAAAAACACUUUCACUAAAAUCACUACCAAACAGGCUCUAAGAAAAUUGAAGUUUUUAAAAAAAUUUACCUCAAAUUUUAAAAUUUUCUUAAAGCAAUUUUUGAGAAUAUAAGGUAAUUUUAUAUUUUUUAUAUCAAAAUAUUUAUUUUUAUCAUAUUGUGAUUGUAAUUAUAAUAAUUUUUAAGGGUGAAUUUCAUUAACCUUUCCUAAAAUUUUAAUUAAAUAUAUUUAAUUUUCAAUAAUUUGAAAUUUCAUCAAAUAUCCUUUCUAUUUUUUGCCCUUUAGAGGAUAAUCAUGACCCAUGUCGAGCCUAGUGGAUUGAUGCUUGACUACUAAAAGGACUUUCAAGACAAGUUUUUGAAAGGUUUGGUAGUUUAGGGUUUACCAUUACUAUAUAUUCAAUGUAUGCAUCAUGUCAUUCUUAAAUUUAGACAAUAGGAUUUGUUUGAGAAUUAUUUUUUGUAAAAAUAAUUUUUUUGUUCUUAAAAAUAAAAAAUUAUUUUCCAAAUUUAAAAAAAAAAACAUUUGGUGAUUUUUCUUAUGUUAUUUUGAAAAAUGGAGUGUCUUUUAAAAUAUAUUUUAAUUAAUUUCAACUAUUUUCAUAUGUUUUCUAGGGAUUAUUUUAUAAAAUAAUUAUAAAAUAUAAAGAAUGAUUGACAAUAAAAUAAUAUGAAUAAAAUUUAUUUUUAAGAAAUAUUUAAAAACACAUAAAAUAGGAUGAUAAUAUUCAAAGUAGCCAAAUAAAUUUUUAUUCUAAAAAAAAUAUUAUAAAACUAUUUUUCAAUACUAUUUUUUUAUCAUUGUUUUCACAAACAUUCCCCAAAAAAGCCUUAUAGAUUUUUAUAAAGAAACCCUAUAUAACUUAACUCAAAGUUUAAAUAAUUCUUUUUUAUGUAAGUAAAUUACAAAGUAGAGUAUCUACAAAUUCAAUUAAAAGAUGAGUCUCGGCAAUCUUCAAAACCAAACUUUAUAAUAUUUCUUGAAAAUUUUGAUCUCCAAUUGAUAAACUCUAUAUUACAAAUACCUUUAUUACCUAAACAAUCUAUUGUUCUAUUUGUUUCUUAGUAAAUUUCAUGACAAUUAUAAAUAUUUAGAUCAUGAGUUCAUUUUCAAACAUCCUUCAUUAAUAAUAUAAUAUAAUUAAGAAUAAUGCUCUUUUUUUUUAUAAUAAUUUAUUUUUACUUUUAAGUAACAUUCAAUCUCUAAGUUUAAGAAGUCAUUAUUCUUAGCAGCCAACACGCCAUCUAUUAAAACCAUAGAUUUCACAAUAAUUAUUGAUACAUUACCCAUAUACCUACUUACAUACGAAUCAUGAUGUAAGACUAUCAGGUUGUCAUUAGUAUACGGUUACACAUUAAAUAAGACUUACAAUGAAUUAUAAAUAAGACAAUCGAGUUUGUCAUAAUUCACUGAGCUACUAUAUUGCAUAGACUUUCAACAUUAAAAAGAUAUUAGGCCUAUGUUGAAAUCAACAAGAAGAUUUGACUUAUGGGGGUGACUCUUAAAUAGUUAUAUAUUUCCUUUGAAUUAAGUCACUAUUAAUAAAGGUUGACGACAACAAAUAUUCUCAAUAGAGACAUCAUGAUAUCUCAUGGGAUUGAGAUAAUGUAUUCCUUUAAGAGAUCCAAAUGACAUGUAAUUAUGAAAUUUGUGGUCAUAGUAAUUCCUUAAGUGGAAUUUGACAUAUAUUCUUUACGAAUUAGAGUAUGUCAGUUGAUAACAUAAUCGAAGAAUUUAUAAUUUGUUUUAUAAGUUAGAGAAAGUACACAAUUUUACUUAAUUCACACGUAUUUAUUCUCCAUAGUUUUACUUGAUGCCUUGUGCUCCCUAAUAGAUGACCUUAACCCCCUAUUGAAGCUAACGAAUCAAUACACCUCCAUGCCUUUCUAUUGAAAAGACUUCUAAGUUCUUAAAAUGUUAGAGAUUUUAGAGUUUUAGGAUAGAGCUAUGAUUGUGUAUUUAAUAUGUACAUCCUCUUUUUCGAGUUUAAAGACUAGAUUUUUAUAGAGAAACCCCAUAUAACUUAUUCAAAAUAGGUUUUAAAAGUGCAAAAUUACUAAAAGGUAUAGUUUAAAGAAUUAAAAAUCAUUGAUUUUUUUAAAAAUAUUAUUGGAUAUUCAAACCACUCAUAUAGGAGUGUUUGAAUGUUGUGAGGCAUUUGAACUUUCCAUGAGGUAGCAUGCAAACAAUGUAGGAUGUUUGAAUGCCCUAAAAAGGGCGUUCAAAGGUCCUUUUGUGUUUUCCCACCUUAUUUUAUUUUUCGUCAUAAAUUUACUUUGAAUUUCAAUUCAAUUCCAAAUUUAAUAUUUAUUGUAAUAUCAUAACACUCCAAAUAUAUAUUUACCUCAAUCAAAUUUCAAGUUUAAGUAUAUUAAACUUACUCAUGAUGGUAAAUGACAAAAUCAAUGCAUAAAUGAAAUACAAAUUGUCAAACUAAUCUAAAACAUCAUCACGUAGUUGUGAUAUGACUUUAUUUUAUUUUUCACUUUUUGAGUCUAUGCAAUUGAAAUAGACAUCUUUCUUCUCCUUCUUCAUUUUGACAUUAAUAUCCGUGUAAUCGCGAACACACACAUAUCUUAAAAUUACACAUACAUAUAUCUUAAAAUGAGAGUCAUUGAGAGCUUGGAAUGGUUGACAUUUCUUGAUGUUUGUUAGAAAGUAACAUCAUCUCUUAUAAGCUAAUUUUAGUUUCUAAUACGUUGCCUUCUUUAUUGUGAUUUGAAGUAUUAUUAUUAUUAUAAGAAAGUGAUUAUUAUAGGCAAUCGCUUUUAUAUCGUGAUUAUUAUAUACAAUCAACUUUAUACCGUGAUUAUUAUAUACAAUCAACUUUAUACCAUAAACACUCGAACGUAAUAAAAUUUGUCAAUGACAGAUUCAUCAACUUGUUUUGGAUAACGAUCUGAAAGACAAUUUUUUUCCUUUUUAUUUUUAUAACUAAUUUUAAUUACACAUUGAUUUUUAAUAAAAAUGUCUUUAUCAUCUUCCGAUCUAACUUCUAUUGCUACACAUGGUAAGAAACCUACGAAGACCUUAAGUGAUGACGACAAAAGAUAUUCUGUCUCCAACUCUAAGUCUUAUUGAGGUUUUGUACGGAGAUGCCUCCUAUUAACGAAGAGUGAACUGAUAAUCAAGUGUAAACAGCGACUGAAACUUGGGAUCAUUCUAAAUUUUUGUGCUAAGGACUAUACUUUAAAUGGUCUGAACAACAUGAAUAACAUCCAAUAAUGUCAUGAAGGGCUUAUGAAUUGCAGGAAGACAACCCUACUUACCUGAAAGAUAAAAGGCAUGUUUGGGCCCUCCAUUUUAUUGUACCACUCGAGACCCAUUUAAUUUGAAAUAUAAAAAUUUAGGAGAUGGCCCUUGUGAUCUCAAAUUUUGAAAUUUGAAGCUAUACAACCAAAGGAAUAGAGAGUAGUAAUUAAAAUAUUUUUUAUAUUUUUAAUUAUUUUUUAACCAAAUUAAAAUAAAAUCAAACACUAGAAAAAGGUUAUAAAUUUCUUCUAAAAAAUGGUUUCAAAAUAGACCUCAUAAUGUUUUAUAAUUAUGGAUAUAAGUAUCCAUUUUGAUACAUUUUUAUUUUUUUGUUUUCAAAAUAUAAAUAAUAAUAAUUUUUAUAUAAGAUAUAAGAAAUUUUAGAUAUUUUCAUCGAACAUGUAAUAAUUUUAAAAAAUUAAGGCAUUUAAAUUUUAAAAAUUUUGCAAGUGAUUUUAAAGAUAUAAGGUAAGUUUAUAAUUUUUUGUGGUCAAAGUUUCUAAUUAUAAAUAAAAAAAUUUAUUCUAAUUAUUUUUUAAUAAAGUAAUAUUUUAAUAUUUAAGAAAUUUAAUUUAAACAAAAGAGAAUGAAAUGAAUUUGAGGAUAUCACUUUCCUUUAUUGGGAAUCGUGUUUUUCAAAACAUUUUUCUUUAGAACCCGACAGGACCACGCAACUUAAACCUCAAGCGGGUCUAUCCACGUGGCGACCACUCUAAGGUUCUCAUUCUGAAAAAUACCGAAACACCCCCAAAAGGAGCACGUGCAUGCGCGUCGCUCCACAUGUCCAGAUCCGUUAAAGAGCGGGAAAAGCCAUUCAUUUCAAAUUCAAAAAUUUCAAACGGUUCUAAGCCAAAGCACAGUAAACACCGAUACCAAAAGCUCUUCUCUCUCUACAGUUUCAUCGCCUGCGAUUUCUACCAGUAUGAGGUAUUUCCAUUUGCAUAGAUCCGUUUCUUUUCUUCUUCUUUUUUUGCAUUUUUUAUUGUAUUUUCUAUCAUUUUUGUUCUCCGCAGAGAUGGAUUUUCGCGGUAUGAAGAGGAAACAACUACAAGCGCUGUGCAAGCAGCAUGGUGUUCCAGCGAAUUCGACGAAUCUUGAGAUGGCUGAUAGGCUCUCCUUGUUUUUUAAGGUUUGGAGUUUACCUUAGCCUUGUUUCCUUUGAUUUUUCUUCUUUUCUGAGAAUGUUCAGGAAAACACAAGAAAUUAGAAUUUUGUAAUUUUGUUUUUUCUCAACUGUUUUCCGUGUCACUAAAUAAGAAUCUUCAAUGAAAUGUGUCCGAUACAACUAUAUGUGGAAUAGAACUUAUAAUUUAGGAAAAGACAAGGAACCAAAAAAUUUAGUGAUUAAAUUUUUUUAUUGUUUUGGAAUAAAGCAAUGAAAAUCUUUACUAUAAUGAGUCCAAAUUCAAGUGUAUGGAACUGAAAUAAGGAAUAUGUCUCUUUUUGGUUGUGAGAAAAUUCAGGAAAAAAUAUGAAGUAAAAUAUUUAGGUAAUUCAGCUUUUCCAUUGUUUGAGGUUUGGGAAACAAGAGUUUUCACUGAAAUGAGUCCUUUAAAACUAUAUGGAAACUGAAAUAACAAGGAUUAAGUUCAGGGAAAGAAAAGGGACUAAAUUUUUUUGUACUUUUGCUUCUCAUCGAGUGGAACCUGGGAAAUAAUUCACUGAAAUGGGUGAAAUUCAAUUAUAUGCAAGCUAAAAUAAAAGGCAAUAUGAGAGUUAGAAGUUUGUUUUGUUUUCUUAAUUUACUUGGUCUCCCUGGCAACCUAACUGAGGUUGAACUUUAAUUGGGAAAUAGAUGCAUGAUUUUUUUCUGUAAUUCUUUGUUGCAGGAAAAGGAAAAACCAGUGACGCAAGGUCGGUCUUGCUUGAAGAAUCUGGAUGGGAUAGAUAGCCUAAAUGAUUCUAAUGCUGUCACCUGCGAUCCCAAGAGAGUUAGGUUUAGUCCUGAAAAUGAGACGUUUGAAUUUGAGGAUUCUGAGAUAGACAGGGAAAACACCCCAGCAAGAACAAGGGCGGCAAGGGCGGCAAGGAGGUCUAGGGUGAGACUGGCUAAAGAGAAAGUGAGUCCUGUUGGUGCAAAUGCUGGAAAUAGUGAGUCCUGUGAGGAAACUAAAGGUACUCUGAACAGAAUCACGAGGCACCAAGGACAAAAAAUCAUAGAGGGGCAUGCAGUGAAGUCUUCAUCACCUCUUGUUAAGGAAAAGGGGGCGAAAAAAGGCACAAAGAUCAAAAGUACAGUUUCAGAAAUUGUUGAUAAAAGUGCUAAGUUAUCCCCAGUAUUAGAAAUGGAUGACAAUGCACGUGGUAAAGAAAACGGAAGACCGAUAAGAAGGCAAUUGAGGAGUAGGGAGGUGGUAGUUGAGAAUGCCAGUGAACUAGGAAAUGAAGAUUCUAUCAUUCCAAAGAAGAAUCCAGUGCAGACAAGAUCAAAGAGGAGGAAUCCGAAAGAUAGUAAUGAGGUUCUUACCACAGAUGAAAUUUCCGAAGACAUUAUUAGUGAAGGAGAAGGUGAAAAAAUUGAAACUGGAAAGGUCUUUAGGCAAUCUAAACGGAAGGCGAUAGAAGAUGGCGAGUGUGAACUGUUUGGUGGGGAAUUGGGGAAAAGGAAAACGGUUGGAAGGAUCACAAGGUUCCGGGCCCAGUUGGUGGGGCGAGAAGCAUCUGCUGUUGAAGGUGAAAAUGAGACUGGAGAUGAAUCUGAAGUCCAGGUUUCAAAAGACUCUGAAGCUGUUCUUCAACUCAAAGAGCCUGCUAAGUUAGGUAGAAACACUUUGAGGCAGAAAUCUGCAAUUUCUCAAUCAGAUCCAUCUGUGAGAACAGAGACCAGAAAACAAUGGAAGGGCACAAGUUUGGAAGGAGGAGCCUCUGAGACUGAAGUGAGUAUGAAAGAGAAGGAAAAGGUUUCUCUACCUAAUGGCCCUCUAAGGAGGUCCAGACGCAACACUUUAGCAUUUAAGUCUACUGUUUCUCCUGAUGGAGGGUUGGUAACUCAUGAAGCUGUUGGAAGGAAUCAGCAAUUGAAGCACUUGGGAGAACCAAUUACAGAAAAAGAAGCCUCUAAACCUGAGGCAACUGCUGAAAUUUUGAAAGAAAAUGAGAAGGUUUCUCUACACAAUGGCCGUCUGAGGAGAUCCAGACGCAACACUUCAACAUUUAAGUCUAGUGCCCCUGCUGCUGAUGGAAAUUUGGUGACUGGCGAAACUGUUGGAAGGAAUGAGCAGUCAAAGUGCUUGAGAGAAUCAACUCCAGAAAAAGAAGCUUCUGUAACUGAAGCACCUUUGAGAAGGUCCAAGCGGAAUGCUUCUAGGCAUGAUUCAAUAUCUGCAUCCACAGGAAUGGAUGGCAUUCCUAAUGCCAUUGGAAAGAAUAAGCCACAGAAGAGAAGUCUGCAGCCAAUUCUCGAAGAAGAAACUUCUGUGAUUGAGAAGGAGCCUCUAAUUGAAGAACUUCCAAGACAAUCUAAAUAUAAUGCUUCCAAAUGUAACAUAGUUGGACCUGCUAGAGUAGCUGGUGAAGUUAAGGGAAAGAAGAAGCAGCGGAGGAGAUCAAAAUUUCCAAGCUCAAAAGGGGAAGCUCCAUUAACUGAAAGCAUGUUGGAUAUUGAAGAAACACCAGGCAUAGAUGUUGAAUUGUCAGAGCCAGAAGCUGCAGGAAGCAAAAGUUCAGUUUUGAUCCACCAAGAAGGAACUCCUAAAGAUAAAGAUACUAGUAAGAAGAGGAAGAGCUCCAGGAAGAUAUCUAGUGCAAAGAAGCAGCAACAUGGGUCAGUGGAGGUUUGCCCUGUAAUUUCUGACUUAGAGGAAGUUGAGGAUCGCACAACAGUGAAUUUCAAGGAUAUUCCAUCCCAAUCUGCAGCUGCCAUAGAGGAGGAUAUUGUUGAGGAUCUCACAACAGUGAACUUGGAGGACAUUCCAUCUCAAUCUGCAGUUUCUGUAGAAGAGGAUAUUUCAAUGGAAAAUGAUAAGGAAAAUUUGGUUCAAGAUAAAGUUAAUGAAGGUAACAAGGUUGAUAAAGAAUCUCAGUUCCACAACAUGAGAAGUGAUCUUGAUUAUGAUAAUUCAGUUGAACCACAAGGAAAUCAAUAUUCAAGUAGAGUUAGCAAGGAACUGGUCUCUCCAGUCUUUGACUUCUCAUCUGUCCAGCAACCAGAUUACACUGGUAAGUGUCUGUUGGCUUUUGGGACCAUAAUCGGUUUAGUAUUUUUUUCAUAUAAUUGAUUACUCAGUGAUCAACAAUUUUCAGGAUCAUCUGCUAAUCAUGUGAAGUUGCAGAGAGAACUGGAAACUGAAGAAGAGCUAUCUGCAGGCAAGCAUAUAGAUCCAGCAAGUGAUAUUUUUGUUGAUCUUGCAGCUGAAGAUGACAAAACUUCAGUUGAAAAGGAGCAGAAGUUAGGACUAGGAGAGAUGAAUGGUUGUGCUGAACCAGUCAUGCAUGAGUUAGAGGAGAAUGUAACUGAAUCUAAUGAAAGUGGCAGCUCAAAAAGGAACUUCGAAACUUUCAGUGAGGAAUCUGGAGAUAUUGCUUUGCUUAACCCCUCCAAUGGAGAACGGGCCACUCCAAAUAUAUCAGGGAGGAGAGAUAUUGAUGAUGCUGAAGAUCCUGAGGCUGCUGUUGAAUUUCCAGAAAAUGCUGUAGCUUCCCCUGUGGCAGAAAUUGUUGCAGAACAGGUUACAGAAAUCCAGCUUGCCUCAAGUGGUCAAUGGUCUACAGAGGAGACUCCUGUAAAGAUUGUUAUCACACCAGAAUGUCAAAGUAAGUGUGUACUGUAUCCUUUCUUUGUCAAUCAUUAGCCAUCAAAUGGUCUGAUGAUGUUAAAGUUAUACAUAAUUCAAGAAAUUCAUUUGGCCAUUUUCUUCUUUAUUGCAUCUGCUGUUAUAGAUGACAAAGUGGUUGGUUCUUGUUUGCACACUGUCUCAGCAGAUGAUGGUUCUCAAGAAGGUUAGUUCCAUUUAUACAGGGCACUGCAAUCUCCAGUGAGUUUUCUUGCUAAUUUUCUUUUAUUAAACAUGCAGAAGGGUAUCAACUCAAUGCUCAACUUGCUGCACAGUCCCCUGUGCUUGGAAGAAGCAAUCCAAAUCAUGGUGAAGGAGAAAAAUCUUAUAGUUAUGGGAAUGUUAUCAUGGAUGGAACAAUGUGCGGAGGUGAAUUGUCUGUUAGUGAUGCCAGGGAGCGAAGAGAGCAUCCUGUUUUAGACGAGUUAGAUGGUCAAAUUUCCGAGAAGAAGGAAAGUGUAAUGUCAAAGGGAAUCACAAGCGUUUCUAAGGAAAUAAAAGAGACAGGUAAACAUAUACUUUCCCAUAGAGAAGGAAUCUGUCCAAUUACCUCAGCAAAGAGUGAUUGAACUAUUCCUAUGUUAUUGCUCUUCAAUGACAGGCCAUGGGACACCCUCAUGCUCACUGUUAUUGCUUUAGUAACCGUAAAUUGUAAGAAAAGCCUAAUACCAUUCUUGUUCUUGGUUUCAGAUGUUUCCCACUUGGAUUUUCUAUUUGGAACAGCUUCUGGUAUUGUUGAAAGAAGUUUGCCAUCUUGUGAGCACACUCACUUGAAAGACAAAGGUGAAGAGGACCAAGGUUAGUUCCAUAGUUACUUGCUCAGCAUAGGUUACCCUUCAGCAAUUAUUUAAUUAACUCUUUUCUAUUUGAUGUGCCAAAGAUCAACUUAAAAUUCUGUUUGGCAUACUGGUUGACAAUACAGAUCCUAUGGAGCAAGAUGAAGAGUCUACGCAUGUAACUGAAAUGGCGAGCACAACAAUAUCUGCAGGCAAAACUUCCAGUAAUAAUUUGGGAUCUGGAAGGUUCCAUCAUGAGAAGUAUCAAGAAGAUGCAGGAGUAGGGGAAAGUGAUCAUGAGGGAAUAUCUAAUAUGGGCAAUCAAUCACCAGAUGUUAAUGAAGAUAUUUAUAAUGAGGCUUCCAAAGGGAACUUGGAAGUGGAAAUUACAGGACUGGAUGGCUGUGCCUAUCCCUUUCCAAACAAGUUCUCUAAAGAUGAUCAUGCUACAGUCGACAAAGAAAGUGGAGGCUCACAUGUUUACUCCAGAAAUGCUUCAGGAGAGGGCAGAGGUACAAAUGUGGUUGAACUUUCAGUUGGUGAAGGAAUGCCUCCAGGUGUCUCUAUUAUGGAUAAAACUGGAAAUGCUUCUGGGGAGGUUGAAGGGACAAAUGUGGAUGAACCAUCUUUUGAAGGAAUCACUCCAGCUAUCUUAGAAGAGAGAGUUAUUGCUGAAACCAGAGAUUUUGAAGAGGCUGAUAAGCUACUUGAAUUUAAUGCAGAAUCCCAUGUAACACCUGGAAGCACUGCUGGAGAUAUGGAGAAAGAAAUCUAUUUUGCCGAAAUUACUCAAUGUUCUGGUGGAAGUGGAUUUGAUCUUCCUCUCUCACAUGUCUAUGCCCUCGAGCACCAAGGUUUGGAACAAGCUAAUGCCUUCCAUUUUUUGGUUUUUAUUUUAUUUUUCAUUUUACUCUCUGGAAAUCCUUUCUCAUCAUGUUUUUUUUUAAGUACUUUCUCAUGUAACAUUCACAUUUUUAUUCUCAGCCUCUGGUAACGUCCACAAAGAAAUGUCUUUGAGCACACAGAGUCCUCACGUCCAAAAACAAGGUUUGUUCCAUUCUCCAGUGUCUUUUCAGGAUUGAAUGACCAGGCCAAGGUUUAAAAUAUUCUAUGUUUCAAUGUGCAGAAGGGAAUCAACUUGAAACAUUCUGUGUCAAUGAGGUUUUGAGCCAACAAACUAGUGGGGUUAAAAGUUUCACUCUGGAGGCACUUGCAAUGAGUAGUCCACCGUUGUUUUUAGAGAAGCUGUAUGGUCAUGAAGAGGAGGAUUCAGAGAUGAACUGUAAUGCUAAUACUGUUGUAGAUGAGCCUUUUAGCAAACAUAGUGUAGUAACUCUUGAUGGGAUUGAUGGCAAAGGCAUUGAAGAACACAUUUGUGUGACUAGUAGCAAUCUUGUCACAAAGAAAGAAAGUGCAGAGGUUUUGCCUGAAAUUGAGGUUGGUAAUGUUCAUGAUGAUCACCAUGUGGUGGUUGAACAAAUGAAUUACAAUGUUGAUGCAAGUUCGGCAGAGAGAAAUUGUAAAGAUAACAAGAUGUCUGAUGAAGCCAUUGCAGGGUUUUCUAGUGUUGGGUAUGUCACUCUUGUUCCUGGGGAGAAAAUUUCUGAGUUUGAGCCAGGAACUGAGCUUGGUGACAGCCAGGAGGUGACUGCACAGGCAAAUAUCAUCUUUGAUGCAAGUUUGGAUGAGAUCAUUUGUAAAGAAAGUGAAGCACUGGAGAAGACAACAGCUGGAAUUAAGAAAAGCACUUUGGAAGGCAUUGAGGAAAUCACUAUGCUGGAGGAAGAAAAUGGAGAGAUUUCAGCACCAAUUACUCAAACAAAGCUUGAUAGGGAGGUCUUAGAUCAAGGAGUUGAAUUUAUAAAGAUUAAUGGCAGUGCUCAGGUUACUUUGGUUGAGACUGUACAUGAAAAUGAUGAAGUUCCAGAAGAGAUUUUAGAUGAAGUUACCAGUGAAAAAAUGAUUUUGCUCCCUAUGGAAGCAGAUUUUGACUGUAAUGAAUUGAAUAUUGUGGGGGUAAAGAAUGAAAUCUCACUGCAACGUGAUGAAUUGAAGUCUAUUGAUCUUGAUAUUCAUGAUGCAAAGGAUAAAAGCAUCUUCAUCAAUUCAGACCAAUGUAGCUCUGCAGAUAGAGAAACUAUAGAUGAAAGAGAACAUUCAAGAAUCUUGGAAUGCAAAUUCAAUUUUGAAGGUAAUUGUUCUGACACAAAGCACACAGAUGUUGGUGCUUCACCACUGAUCAGUCUAAAAGAUUUUGAUGAUCAGAUAGAGGACGAGGAAGUUGCACACAUGCAUGAUAGUGAUCAUUGUCUUUCAUUGGAUCUUUUGAGCAACAACAGUAGAAUUGCAGCAACGAAAACACAUAAAACCAUUGCAGAAUCGGUUAUGCUGGAGGCAGAAAAUGGAGAGGCUUUUACCCCGUUUGGUUCAGAGGGGCUUGGUCAGGAGGUUUCAGAUCAUGGAGUUGAAUUUCCAAAUUCUGCAGCUUCAGACGUGAGUCAAGCUGUACAUGAAGCUGAUGAAAAUCUGGAUACAAAAUCAGGUGGGGGUGUAGAGAUGAUUUGGAAAGGGGAUGAAGUGAAGUUUGGUGAGCUUGAUGAUUCUAGAGAAGAGGUUCUCCCAGAGACUGACAAGAGUUCUUUAAUUGUUCCACAUGAACUCACUUCCACAGAUGGUGAAGCUGUGAAUGGAACCAUGAAAGAGAAUAGUCACUUUGAGGAUGUCAAUUUUGAUUCCAUGAAGGAAGAAGAUGUUAGCAAUUCACCUAAAGUAAAUGCUGGGAAUUGUGAUGAUCUCUUGGAAGAGGAGUCUGCAGAUGUGAAACACAAUGGUCGUGAUGUUCAGAUAGAUCUUAACUGCAGAGACAUUGGAGGUGCAGCAGACCUAGUUGUUGAAGAUGGCAUGGUUUGUGAAAUUGGUUCUGAUGAUAGGAAUGGUGACAAUAUGUGGGUUCAGAAAGCACAGACUUCGCCAUGUAAAGUUGAUGAUGGUAAUAUAUCUUCUUCCGAGCCUGAAGGGGAUUCAAUUAGUGCCAGUGUCUCACUGCUGAAUGUUUCAUCAUGUCAAGGUGAGCAUCUUCACCCUUUCUUUUUGAUAUGCUUAUAUAUAUAGUCAAAAUGAUAAUCUUCAUCAACUAUCUCUGAAAGCCUCAAAAUCUUUAUCUGCAAAUUACCAGACAUUCAAUAUGUAGAAGCUCUGUAAGUUUAAUAAAUCAUUCUACCAGUUAGGCGGUGGGGAAUUAAUCUAUUUGAGACCAAAUGCAGCAGGUGAAUAUGAAUCUCAUGUAAAAUGUGCAGGAAGCAGUAGCAAAACAGAAAUCAAAGAAUUGAUUGAAGUUGUUCCAAAUGAUGAGAUUAAUGAUACCAAUGAGGCUGCAGUUUGCUCUCCUGCACCGGUUGAUUUUUAUGAGGAUAAAGGUAUUUAGAAACUUAGCUUGUAAACUACAUAACACAGUUACAAGAAUGUAUUUCUAUCUAACAUCUAUUGGCCCAUUCACAAACAAAUAUGAUAUAACACCUAGUUACUUUCAUAAUUUCUUAGGUGAUACUCUUAACUUUGUGGGUAAAUCCUCAGAAGUUAUUAAUAUUACAAAGGAGAGAGGCAUAGCAGAAGAGAGCAGUGCUGGGAAGGCUGAGGAAGUACGUGGUUCAUCACAUAAGUUUGAUGAUGAGAUGGUCUCUUCUGGUGAUUCUAAGGAGCCUCCAAAAUUUGAAAAGUUUGUCGAGGUUUCUUUAUUGGAAGCUGAAAAGGUGGACUGUUGCUCUGUUGUUUCACCAGUCAAUGAUUCUGUUGAUCAUGGUAAGUGCUUAAUCCACUAGUCUUAAAAAGUUUCAGCUGUUUCAAAUUCUUAGAUAAUCAUUUUCUCCUUGACAGAAUGUUAUUCCUAGUUUUUCAUUACUAAUGAUUUUACAGCAGAAGUUGCUUCAAGGAAGCACUUGACAAGAUUAGAAGAUACCACUGAUGAUUCCUCUCUGACCCAUCAGAUUGGUGUGAAUUCCAGUCUUGCCUCAUCGGAGACAGCAUCCUAUGAGUUCACUGACUGGGAAAUAGAUUUAUUUUCUCAUAAUCAUUUCAGUAUGGAAGCAGUUUGUGGAACGAGUUUAAGGAUUAUAGAUCAAUUCCCUGCAGUCACUGAUUCAGCUCUGUAUAAAGGUAUAGAUCAUAUUUAAUUGGUCUGUUCUCAGAAAAGGUUAUCUAUAUAUAUUUAUGGGGAAUAAUUCUUUAGACUUUCUCUAAUUAUUUCUCAGCCUUUGCAGCCGAAGAUGUCCGCACUGAGAAUCUGAAGUUGGAAACAGUUCAGAAGAAAAGUUUAGAUGUAGAAGUGGAAGAAAUCAACCAUUUAUCAUCUCAGCAAUUCAAUUCUUCUAUGAAAAUGAAAAAUAACUUGAAAAGCAGCAUGACCCAGAGAACUCCCAACAAGUUCUUUAAGGCAUUCGAUAUGAAAGAGAACACCCCAAGCAUCAAGAUGGAGCAGAUGGGUAAUUUCUCAGCAAUGAAAUCAGGGACAAGGAGGAAAGCCUUGGAGGACCUUCAAAAAACUAGAGAGCGGAACAGCACUGCUCGCUGACCUUUUUUCAAGGAUUGGAUGUUGUAAAUAUGGGGCCCCAAAAGAGUGGCCCCUCAGUUGACGACCCUGAGCAUACCUCAUGCAAACAUUUGUGGAUGAAAACCCCACUAGUGGGUUAUUGUUAAAUGAGUACUUUGUUGUGUCUCCUUUAUUGUAUUUGUAGCAAAUGAAACUCCAGAAUCAGUGUCACUUCUGCUUGAUUUGCAGUUUGACAGACAUUAUCAGAGAAAAUCUACCUUCUUUAUCCAUGAGAAGCACUACAUUGGAAGAGCUGGUUUAUUGCUUGAUAGAGCAUUGAGAUAAGAGUUUAAGUUUACAUGUGCUAUUAAUUUCAUCAGAUUGAUCAUAAUAGUCUGAGCAUAAGACUGGGAAGAAUGAGAUCUUCAGUAUGUAAUUGUAAGCUGAAGAGUCCCUCGAGAAAAAUUCAAGGACAUUUAUCACAUUAGGCUCUCAUUCUGCAGGAGAAUAUCCUUGAAAUUUUCUUCUCUAACCAUGGAAAUGAUGCAAAUGGCUAUAGAAGAUCAUUUCCCCCUGCUUUCUCACAACAGAAAAUUUUCCUUCAUCAUACUAUAUAAGAACAAAUUUGAACAAAGUGAAGUAUUCCAACGAGGCAAUACACAACGGACCAACAAUUUUUUAGCACUAAUUCAUCAAAACCCAAGUACCAAAAGAGGAGAAAAAUCAUUUGAAGGAGCCCAUAUAUAUGAAGAAGUCCCUUAUUGAGAAGGGGAUAUAUUUAUGAUUAAAUCUAACGUAUAUUCCUUUUGGGAUUACAGAAUGAUCCAACCCCAUCCAACCACAAAACCAACGUGUAUAAAAAAAGAAAAAAAGAAUGAAUGGAAAUUCUGCAAAACAAAUAACCAAGUCAUAUCUCAGUCCUUUUUAUCUACACAACCCCCCGGCCCCCCCCACCUCCAUUUCCUUCACAUCUCAACUCAUCUGAUGAUUCUCAUUCACAACCAUGCGAGUGUUGAGAGAUAGCUUCGUCUUCGAUCAAAAACACAUCCCUCUUCUGCAAUUCCCAGACAGCCUUUCUAUAUAUAGUUCAAACCAUCUAAAAUUUAAAUUUCAUGUAAUCCUAGUCACAAUCCAAUCCACAGACUUCUAAUACAAUACCACCUUUUGAUACAAAUGGGUUGACUCUGACCCAUAGAAGUGAGAAGAUUGAGGCUAGAAGAAUUGACCACACAACAAUAAUGGUGGGAAGCCUAUCUUGUUUCCCCAUUAACCCCUUGAGGAAGGGGUACAGGUGAACAAUGACCCAUAAGGCAAAGAACAGCUUACCAAAUAGAGGGCCCCAUUCUUCAUAACCGUUAUUGAUGGCAUCUGAAAUCCCAACCAUGACCCCAAUUAUAUUCAGGAUCAGUAACGUCAGGGGAGGGAUCAACAAAGAUGUCCACUUAAAAAGGUAGAGCUCCGAAAACUCUCCAUCAUCUCCUCCUUUGGAUGUAACAGUGAAGUUUGUGUUAACACCUGCCAAAACCUUAAGCAGACCUUGGAAGAGAGCAAACAGAUGUGAUGAAGCACCACCAAUCACCCAGAACUGCUCAUUUCUCCACCAGUCAUCUAUGGCAACCCGUCCCCACUGCAUCUCAAGGACACCAGUUGCAGCUAUAGAUAUGAAGAGGGCCAUGAAAAUAAUACUGGCAUAGUUGCUAAUCUGCACAUCAUGCAAAAAAUUAGGAUUAGCUGAAACCAUCACAACCCACAACUAAUGAAAACUAUGCUAAGCACAGGAUCCUUGUUUUGGCCUAUGGAGAUGAAUGAAUAUUCAGGUUUAUGAAAAGCUAUAGAAUCCAGCUACCAUCUUAAAUGAAAACACCAUGAUGUUGACUUCAACAAAUAUCUAGUAGAUAGGAAACAAAGUUUGAUUUCAUGGAUAUCAACUGAAGACUAGUAUGAUCAAGUGAAACUUCUGAAAUUUCAAGGAGGAAAGGAAAUUUCAAGGCUAAUGAAAACUAGAAAAGCAACCUGGAGAUUGAACUUGACACGAGAUGUCAAAAGUUCCAUUCUCCAAUGGAAAACCUUGCCUGAAUAUUAGUAGAAAUGUUUUGAUGCUUGUGGUUACAAGUAUUCUAUCAUGAACCUACAACUAUAUAAUCUUGUGGUUCUUCCAAGGAAAAGAAAAGAAGAUCUCAAAAUGGACAUUACAGAGAUUGAUAUUUAAGAAUGAAAUAGAGCUAGAGGUUACCUCGGGGACAAUGAACUUCCCAGUGAGGAGACAGAAAGCCGGCAAGGUACAGUAGGCAAUCAAGGGAAUGGACGUCCACGGAUAAACAACUGAGUUGAUAUAAGAGAAGCGCUCCAACCAUUUCAAACCACCUCCAUAGCCAUACCAUAUAGGGCAAUACCUACUGAAGAAAAUCUCAACAGAUCCAAGUGCCCAACGUAGAACCUGGUGUAAACGAUCUGACAGGUUAAUGGGAGCUGACCCCUUAAAUGCCGGCCUCUUGGGUAUGCAGUACACUGAUCGCCAACCAUGGCAUUGCAUCUUGAAUCCUGUUAAUAUAUCCUCUGUAACAGAGCCAUAUAUCCACCCAACCUGAUUCAUAAUUCAAAAUCUGGAAUUUAGAUACAGAUGAAAAAAAGUUUACACCUUGUUUGGAAGGGACUGGAAAAGCUAGAAGCUUUUAAAUUUUAGACAGAUGCUUCUUACCUCUUUCCCCCAUUCUGUUUUAUCUUCAUAACCACAGCUAAUGACAUGGAUGGCUUCUUUCAAAAGUGAAGCAGUGGUUGCUCCUUUUGGAACACCACCUUCUUCUAAAAGCGUGGAAGCUAUAAAAACCGGAGACUGUCCAAAUUUUUUCUCAAAUUUCACUUGGGGCAUGAGCAAUGAUCUGUCAUUAUCUAUUCCUGCAAUAUAAAUUCCACAGUAAUAUUACUACUUUGGCUUUAAAAGCAGUAGACCUGAAGCAAGAAAACCAGUGUCCCCCCAAUAAUUACUACCUUGAAUACACAUAUUGAGUUAACUAAAAAAACAAUAAUAGAAAAUUCAAAAAAUCAACUUCACAUGGGAAAAGUUAUACACAACAUUGUUGCCAAUUAAUUAAGAUAAAUUAGGAAUUUUGAAGGUCAUUUAAGAAUUACUUGAAAUAUCUAGAAUACAACAAAAAAAAUGCAGAUAAUAAGACAAUAUGAUUGCGGUUAAUGAUUAAAAAUUGGGAAUUUUUCAUAUUAUUAAGAAUUACUUGAAAUAUCUAGACUACUUGCAAAAGUAAAUAACAAUUGCAUAUAUUAGAAUAAGACCCAUAUUUCCUUCAAAGCCACCCUUACCUUCAAUUCCCUCUUCAAUAUUUUCGAGUGCAUGUAUUUGCUUUGAAGCUUCCCUGUUUUUCAUCUUCUUCUUUUUGUCAGUUGACUUCACUUUCUUGUUUUUCUUCCUUGAUCCACAACACAAGCAGCACCAUUUUGGCCAACAAUUACACGUCUUUCCUGGGGGUUUCUUAUUGACAGGGGCAUCAUAUCCAUAGAGUGCCUGCCGUCUGAAGACACAGCCAGUUCCAACAUAAAUUGGUCCCUGGAUCCCAUCCAAACCUUUCAUAUUGAUCUGUUUUUAAUUGAAAACAAAAAAUUAGCUUUCCUCAAUCAAAAUUUUACAAAUUCACAUCUGUGCAUCAUUGUAUCAAAUUCACACUGGAGUGCCUUACGUACAUCAAAGAAUACAACGUUGCGAUUUGAGUAUCUAUCAUUGCGAUCAAUCCCAUCAAACCUUUGAGGAAACUGUACAUAACAGAUUUUCUUUCCUGAUGUGGGGUCCAUCAUGAAGCACAUGGCUUCACGAAGGGCCUUACUGUUGUUUAUAUAGUGAUCACAGUCCACGUUCAGUAGGUAAGGAGCAUUAGAGAUGAUUGCUGAGACUCGCAUCUUGAAUAAACAGUCAAAACAAUAGCCCCCAAUCAGGAAAUGGGAAAACAAAAAAUGGGAUCCCAAAGAAAAAGAAUGAGAGAGAGAGAGAGAGCUCUACCAAAGCAUUCAUUGCCCCAGCUUUUUUGUGGUGAUCAAAUCCCGGUCUCUUCUCACGAGACACAUAAACUAGACGAGGCAACUCAUUUCCUUCAACAUCACGAACACCAUUAUGACCAAGAAAAACCUGUGCAAGGCAAAAAUAGAGAAAAAAAUCUUUUAAUGUCUCAAAUCUCAGUAUGUAGAAGGUCCAGCAAGAUGCAUGCUGCUCAGGCACAAAAAUCCAUGAAUGCACUCGAAGAAAGAAAUCACCCCCUCACCUGGAUCAUUCCAGGAUGGUCCCUGACAUUGUUCCCAGGCCAUGGAGUCCCAUCCUGCAUUGUCCAACCUUCCUCGGGGACCUUCUGGGCCAUAGAAACCAAUGCAUUUAUCCGAAUUUUGAACUCUUCAUACUCCCUCUGCACCAAUCAGGAACCAAAUAUUAUUGUUUUGAAAUCAACUUAUUGCUCUCAGCAAUGGUUAUCAUGGCAAUACUUUGUCAAAGAUAAAAAAUCAUCACAACAGGACAUCUUUUAUCACUAAAUUCUAAAACUUGUCCUCCACAAGCCAUUUUAAUGAUGCAUAUUUAAUGCCACUCUAUAUGGUUUAAGAUGGCAUUUUGUUUAACCCGCAUGCAGCUUAUAUAGAAUGCACAUUCAUUGGACCAAAAUAUGAACAGAUAAAGAUACAAGGUGUUAACCUUCAUUGCACGACGUUCCCUAACAAACUCCGGAUGCACUUUGUCUUUCAGAUAGUCAACCUUCUGAGCAAAGUACCAUUCUGGGGCCCUCGGCUCAAUGCUGAACUUCUUACAGAAUGGGACCCACCUCCUAGCAAACUCAGAUGUCUCAGAAAGGGCUUCAAAAGUAAGCAUGGCAGCACCAUCAUCUGAGACAUAGCAUGCAACUUUCUCGACUGGAUAAUCUACUGCAAGGAUUGACAGAACUGUGUUUGCUGUGAUAAGUGGAGGUUCUUUCAUGGGAUCAACUGUACUUACGAAUAUGUCUAUAUCAGCUAAUUCAGAUGGCUUCCCUUCUUUUUCAUACCUGAGAACAAGGUUUAAGACGCAUAGCUAAGAAAACAGUACCAUGCAUACAACCAAACAAGAGAGAGAGAGGGAGAGAGAGCACCCCAAAUACCUCAGUGAUAGCCUAUCAAGGUAUGUUUCCCGCUCGAUUGGGUACCACUUUGGGAACUGAUCCAGUAUCCAUGAUACAGCAAACCAUAUUUCACAAAUAACUGAUGUUAACCAUAAUGCAUAUGCAUCAUUAACCGGGUGGAGGAUUCUAUAAUGAAAGAAGAAGCCAAGAAUCACAAGCCGGAGUAUAAUUAUGAUUCUGUAUGGAUUUAUCUUGCUUGAAGGAAUUGGUAUUUUUCUAGAUAGAGGUUGCCUGCCUUCAUCCAUCCUACAUAAAAAAACAAAAAUAAAUAAUAAGUCCUUCACAUUCAAAUAAGAGAAAUGGGGAAAACACAAAUAAUGGAAAGAGGAAUGUGAUGUUCAGUUCCUAAUUAAAUUGAGAUAAUGCUUUCUAUACCACCUCUACUCAGACUAACACAAGGAAAUUUUAUUUCAUAAGAUAUUGUUACUGUUCCCAAUAGGUGAAGACUUCUAACUGUCAGCAAUGAGCAUGUCAGACAUUCAUCAACUUGACAAACAGUUCUGAUACCUGUUUACACACUGACAAAUGCGUCCACAUUCAUUUUUUGAAGAAACAUGGAGACAAACAUGUUUGUAGUGCAUUUUUGUUGCAAACACAUGAAAGCAUUUGCAAAACUAUAGAUGUAGCUAUCUCCCAAUAGCUAUGCUUCAGGAGUUUCAUACAAAAAUGUGCAUGUAGCUGUUUCCAAUGUGCAUUUAGCUUUUCUGAUUCUAAUGAUAAUUGUUUUCUAAAUGGAUUGUUAAUUGACUCACACCUACAUCCCUUCCAAGUUCAAGUUAACCACUUUCAUGCCUCUAACAUGUAUGAACAACAAUUAAUAUAUUCAGCUCACUAGCAAGUAGCAACCCCAAGUUCAAUCACAUGUUAGUUAACAAAUGUUUAACAUCAUAAAUUUCAUCACCCAAUAAUUUUGUUAUACAUUGAUCCAUAAGCGACCUAUUUCUCAUUCAAAUUCUGCCAAAAUUUUAACUUAUGGGCCAUGCCCAUAAAGGUGGUGCUCCACUGCUCACGUCCCUUCAACUUUCAAUGAACAGCAUCUAAGCAGUUUUAUUUUUUUUUCCUUUUUAAGCUUUUACCAUGUAAUACUAAAGUGGGCUUUCACGUCCAUGACAUGUUAGAUCUUCAUAGUAGUAGCGUUGAAUUUCUCAUUAACACAUGUUUACUUUGUUCACAUGCAUUGCAUGUGCCAUGGUCCCCUAAUGAACGAAUACGACCAAUUUACGGUUUUGAUAAAUGACAAAAAAUAUCUAGCAAAUGACCUCAUUUCAAUCUUGUCAAGGUUAAAAAGUUGAUGCUUCAUAUUGCUCCAAUAACUUGCACUCUUGUAUUACAUUUAAUCUUAACACAAAGCCACCGACAAUGCUCUAUUUGAGGCAAUUUCUUUCACCCAAGAAAAGAACAAAAAUAGAAAUGAUAAACUCGCAGGUGAAUAACAAUGCUGUUAGCCUGAGAGCUUAAGUUACCAAAAAACAGUUUGAUGCAUGAAAAGAAUUCAAGAAAUAGUACUUUAAAAUCCCAAAUUAUACUAAGCUACGAAGAAAAAAGUUACAGGAGAAGAUGCAACAAAUAGAAUAUGGUGAAGCAGUGAUUGAAAAAAUGCACCUACUUGGGCAAAUCAGGAUCAUCCAGUUCAUCUUCAUCAAAGUUUCCACCAUCAUUUCCUCCUUGGUGCUUAACAACCUGAAGUUUAUCAUUCUGCUUUUUCUUCCACUCUUCCAUUCGGUCCUUCCACGCAACACUUCCAUACCCAUAUACUGCCAGGUCUUUCUUAGGAUCCAUUGGUCUGGGUGGCACUGCAACAACAAAACCAGAAGGCACAAUAAAUAUGAUGAAGUAAAUGUGAAUAGACAUAACAGUGAGAAAAGGGUUCAAUUCCACAUAAAAACUAAUGAGGAAUAACAAGACUUACAGGACAUAGAAGAAUCAGGAAAUGGCAUAGGAUGGACUCGUUUUCCACGCCCCAUGAAUGGAGGAAUGAUAAGGGCGUGCUUAUCAGAGGAAAUCCCGACAUCCUUCAUUGAAAACAAGCAAACAACUAUUAUCAUAAAACAGGAAUCAUUAAUUAUAUGAACAUAGAAAUGGAACGAUGAAUAAAAAAUGCGAGUGUUAAAUCAACUUACAUAUUGGCCAUAGGUCAGAAGAGGGAUUCCUGAAGGGACUGAUGAAGAAUCCAGAUCCAAAGGCGUACUAAUCCCUGAAGUAUGGGCAUGGCUGCCGAUGUUCAGGUGAGCAGAGAGCAUAGCCUCUGCAACCUGAUGAGGAUCCCUACUGUAAUUGCUUCUGAAAUCAAACUCAUUCUCCAAAUCAUCAAUGUCAUCUUCCUCUUCAUCCCCUUCAACUCUGGGACUACCUGAUGUUUUAAGUGUGCUAUUAGUGGAAUCAUCACCAAGUAGAGUGGAGUUUGGGAUGAAAAAACACAGAGUAAUAGAAAAGAGACAGAGUCAACCAAGAAAUUAUAGAAACCCUUUACCUUUGAUGCGUUUGUAUCUGGUUUUGCAUUGAGGGCAAGCUUGAUUACCCUCCCUUCUUUCAUACUCGUAGCAGGGUCUGCAUACAGGGAAUGCACAUUCAUUACAGGCAACGAAUGGCUCCCCAUCCACAGUAAUCUCUAUCUCAUCCCCACAAAUCUGACAAAUCUGCCCACUCAAUUCUUUCACGGAAGUCACCUGUAUGUCACAGCAAAGUCAAUCGGCAUUAGGUCAUGAAAACUGGAUUUUUUGCUCAACAACCCCAGAUAGAAUAUUGAAGCAGCAUAUGAUUUUUAAACUACUCAUUCACACAUACAAAAACACACACACACACAUAUGCAGAAAUAAAGUAUAAAAUUUUGGUGCAGACCUGUAUGAAACAUAGAAAAUAAGGGGAAAGGUAUGGAUUUGUGAAAGUACAGAGUUCCAGAACAAGCAUGAGCAAAAGAGCUAAAAGAGUCAUGAAAAUGAAAAGGGAAGUAAAAGCCAUCCCAUUCAAGAAUCACACCUUUAAAAACAGGAACUUGGAUCAGAGGGAAAAAAAUUAAUGGAAGAUAGUGUCACUAACCCAAGAAGGAAAUGGCAGAACCCACAAAAGCUAAAUACAGAAAAUAAUGGAAAAAAAAUGUUAUGAGAACAAAAUAAAAUCACUGUAACAGAAAAUGAGCAAAUGGAUGUCUUCAAAAUCAAGAAAUGGGGCUGACAAAAAGUUUCAUAGACAAGAAGAACGUCGGAAGAAAAAAUAGAGAAAGCACAUUUUUAGAUAUUUUUCUUAAAAUCCAGAAAUGGAGUCGAUCAACGAGUUGAAAUAAAAAAAUAGAAUUAAAAAAAGGAGAGAUUUUGAAGGAACUUACUCGUCCAAUCUCAUCAGCAUUGAUCAGAACAAACUCGUUCCGGUUGUGUGAACCCGCCACGAGUCUUCCUUUGGUAUCCAUGAAAGCCCUCAAGAAUCAGACCCAGAUAGAACCCCAAAUGCUCGAAAUCAAGAAGACCCACCUCACGAUAUCAAUCUCCCAACCCCUCUCAUGCGCAAGAAGCAGACUUUUUUUUUUUUCUCUCCGCCUCUCCCUUUCAGCUCACUUUCUCACAAAAUAACCCAACCCCACAUCACACAAUGAACAAAUUCACACCCUAGAUAGAGAGAGGGAGAUGCAAACAAUAAAAAAGAAGAGUGGGGAAAACAACAAAAUGAGAAAAAAGUAUCACUGUUUUUGUUUGAUUGUUCCUCAAAGAAAACCCAAUGUUUUUAAACGUAACAGAUGGGUGGGUCUCUCAGAACUCAGAAGUGGGUAGAGCCGAUCCGUGACACGGGGUUGCAGAUGAUGUUAGAGAGAGAGAGAGAGAAAGAAAGGAAUCUAUUGGGGCGUUGAAAUUUCAACGCGUAUUGCACAAGAGCGCCCUCCUAAUUCAUGGCUUUAUCAUCAACAUUGGGGUGGGGCUCAGAUUUUGAUGGCAGUGGUGCCUCUGCUGGUGGUGGGUGGUGGUGGCCCACCUGAGCUACGGUGGCACACGGUGGGCGACGACUAGGGCACUCUCGUAAUUCUAUCCCUUUUGCCUCCCCCUUUUUUCUUUUUUUCUUUUUCCUAAUUUAUUUACUCAUUUCCAUUAAAACAAAAUAAAUAAUAAAUAAAAUAAAAAAUAAAAAAUUAGGUGUUUCCUUUUCUUAGAUGUUGAUGUGAUGUAUCUCCCUCACGGCUUUUGUGUGUCCUGUUGUGCAAUAAAAUUAAAAAUAAAACCCCCAAAAAAAAAAAAAAAAAGUAGAGCUAGAGAGAGAAUGAGAGUGGAGUUUUUACUUUUUAGAGAGAGAAGGUGGAGGGUUUAGAGAGAGAGAGAGAGGGACAGGAUUUUACAAUGGGAGGAAAAAAAGGGGCAAGUGACAAACAGCGGGGAGGAGUUUAUGAGUUGUAAAGGCUCCACGUGCGGCACGUGUGGAGGAACCCGAGAUCUGGGCGAUUUAUCGCGAUAAAUUGAAGAGGAAAUAGACAAAGUGACGGUGAUUGAUUCUUUCUUUGCAUUUUUGGAACGCCUUCACUUUUACGUGCAUUAAAAGACAAGGAAAGUCUUGGGUGUGAGUGCUCACUGCUCACGCCCCUUCCCCUUGGACCACCACACCCCCACCCCAUCAUCCUACAAAUUUUAAUCAUCCCAUAAUGUAGCAGUGACGCACCAUCGUUGUUAAUUAUUUUACCUAUCUUACGUAACGUCAAAAGGAUAUUUGAUAAAAAUAAAAAAAAAAUUAAAAAAAAAAAGUCCAAGGGACAUGAAAGAUCAUGGUAAAGGUUUUUCCAUACAAGAAGGCCAAGUAACCGUUGGCAAUACCUUUUGAUUUUCAGCAACGGUGGGCUCUUCAGAGUAAAGCUUUUAUACUGACUUUAUACCUAACACAGCACAUUCCAGCCCUUUACUUGACCUUUUCAAACAGCUUACAUACAAAAUAUGCAAUUUUCUACACUGGGUUGUUCUACAAAGUCCGAAAAGGAUUGAGCAGCUGAUUUGCAUUCGGGUUGUUCUUUAGACCGAGACAGAUAGUAUUUUCCAAGGCAAAAAGGCUUUACUGUGAAGAGACGGUGACAAGUAUUUAAAUAGUAGGCAAGUGGGGUGGUUUUUGGAUGGCCUUUUUUCCAUUAAUAUUUUGUAUUGAAUGGAGGGUCUGUGUGUCUAUUCAUAAGUCGGUGAAUAAACCGUACCAUGGUGUGGUGAGUGGUCUCAUGCCUCAGUGACAUCAAUGCACUCUCUCAUGCCCCCUGCAGAGGUUAAUAACUGUACUGAAUCCGUCCAUAUCCACCAUCUGAUCUAUAUACUAUGGGUUUCCACUGAUUGGAUGGGAAUGGGGGGUGGGGGGUGGUCUAUUGUUGUUUUCAGUGGUCCUGACUCCACCUGAUGGUGUGGAGUGGGUACAUUGAUGGUAACAAACUAGGGAAGGGCAUUAUCAGUUUGAUUGAAACCAAUCACAUUUGUAGUCUGUGGUCUACCUGCCUUUUGGGGUAUGGACUCUCAUUGAAUCUGAUGAAGUAGUUGGAGACUUUAUGUCUAUUAUCUUAAUGGCACUAAUUAAUUGGCAUCUGGGGUUGGUAAAAUUGUAACUUUUUGGGGCAUGGCUGUAUGAUAGAAACCAUAGAAUCAUUGUGUGAUGGGGUGGUAACAUUUAUUUUAAUGUUUUUUGACAUGCAUUAAAGUAAAUUAGCAAAAAACAAUUCAUGGGUUUUUGAAUUCUCACCCGAUGAGAUAUUGGGCAUAUUCCCAUUUUUGUCCCAAUUAGAAUCCUCACAUUGGAUUACAGUUGUUUACAAAAAUCAGACUUAUUUUUGUUCUCAGAGGUAGAUUUUUCAACCACAUAUUUCUUCAAAUUGGGAAAAUCUAAAACAGAAUUAUAGCUCAUUUUUUUCCAAAAAUAAAAAAAUAAAAUAUCAUUAUUAUACAAAAACCAGUUUAGGAAUAAUCUAAGUUUUCAAAAAAACAAAUUAUUUUUGUAAACCUUUCCAAAUUAAUAACUAUUUUUUAAAAUAAUUAUAAAAAAUAGUUUUUGGAAACAAUUUUUUAAAACUGUUAUUAAAAUAUGUUUGAAAACUUAAAAUGUUUUUAACUUAUUUUUAAUCAUUUUAAAUAUUUAUAUAUUUAUUUUUUAAAAUACCUCUAAAAAAAAGGUAAAAAUAACUAAAGUGUAUUAUUUAAAAAUAUUGUAUUUUUUAUUUUUAAGAAUAAAAAAUAAAACAUAAUUUUUAAUUAUUAAACAAAUUUUUCAUAUUGUUAUUUUAAAGAAUAGAAAACUGUUUUAAAUAUCGAGGUUGUUGUGAUUGCAUGACUGCUUGGUUAAAUUGUGGCUGCUAAAUUUGCAAAUGAUCAUGAUUAAUAUCUUAAUCGUGUGUAGGAAGCUGUCGCCUGUACAAGAGGUGAGAGUGAGACAGUGAUGAAAAUACGAGUUUUAGUUUUGAUGAAUGACAAAUCCCUCCCAUUUUCAUCACUGCCCUUCACCUUUUUCUAUGCAAACACUUGGUCCAAUAGAAAAGGUGAAAUCAAUAAUAAAAGGGUUGAAAAAGCAAAAGCAGAAGGAGAUCAAUAAUUGCCAGCAAGGUGGAUUGGGCAUCAGAUCUCUUAUAUGCAACUCAACCUCUACUUCUCCAAUUGCCCCCCUCCUUUUCAAGGGCAUGGUCCUAUCACCUAUGUGGGUCACUCUCCCUUUACUUCCAUCAUGCCCAAAAUCCUUUCCCUCUAGGCUCUAUGAUGCCCAAUAACUUAAGUAGAAGUUCACCUUUAUUAUUUUUGGGCAUUAUUGGUACUAACUAUAUGUUGUAGUUACAAGCCAUUCUAUUUAUGGUAACAUUCUUUUUUAUCACCCUUCCAUCUUAAUCCAACUCAAAUUAACCUAUCAAUUAUUUUGUGGUUUCAUUUUAUCUUAUUUUUGAGAAAUCUAAAACUUAUUCUUACGUUUUAUGCAGAUUUUUAUAUCCGUUUAACUAAUCUUAUUUAAAUUAAUUUACGAUUUAAGUCAAAAUCCGAAACUAUCCCAAAUGAGACGUGAGUAUUAUUUUAUUAUUCUAUAUUACGGGAUAAUUAAUUUUGCGGGUUUUAAUAAAAUUUUAAAUUGUUUACAAAUGAAAUUUAGUUGAACGAAAGGCAUGUGAAGAGCAUCCUUGGAUGUUAAUAGUAUACAAAGAAGGAGUUGAUUGACUGCUAAUACCAAUGAUCUUAACUUGCCUUUUGCAUUGGGCGGUCGGCUGCCAUCAUUAACUAAUGAUCUAUGAUUGAGUAUAUUCCAAUACUGUACACGUGUCCUCCAUCCGCUGCACUUCUACAAAAGUGGACGGUUCUCAAGUACCCAGGAGCAAUUUUUUAAUUAGCACUCGCUUUACCAAAUCUGCCGCAUCUUUUCCCAAACACCAGGGUUUGGCUUCGUAAACAAGACUCAGCAACCAAAUUAAAAAUAAGUGAGUGAAACCCUGAAGUACGACGACACGUGGGAUCACAGCUGGAGUAGCAAUCAUGCCUUCCACUGGGUAGUGUGAUAUGCCACGUUGGCAAAAAGUGGGUGUCCCAGAAAACGUGUAAUGAUGGUGGAUUAUAUUGGAAAAGCAACUUUUCCACGUGGCAUGGCACGCCACGUCGAUAGCGUAGAGGGCUUUAUUACAACUGGAAGACAUCUGGCACGCGUUUUUGUUGUAAAUUGUCUGGCAGAAGUGGGCCACGUGGUGCCAGAGUAGGUCCACAGACAGCUCAGCGACUGGGAUUGUCGGUCGCUUUCGCUAGCUGUAAAUCAUCAUAAGCGGAGAAGCGUCCGUAUGCGGAUGACGUCAUUAUUAGAAACGAUUUUAUAGAAAUGAAAGUAAUUUUUGUUGGGUGGUGGGUGAGAUUUUUGAAUGAAAGUUCGAGAAAGUAGGGAGGGAGAGAGAAAGGAAAAAAAAAGUUUAAAAAAAGGCGGGACAGCGUGGCGGGCAUUUUGUGGAGGAGGUGGUGUUUGGGGAGUAAUAGAAUAUGGGGCUGUUUGGCUAAUAGGAUAGGAGUUCGGCUACGUGUAUGGAUCUGAUUGGCUAAUCCUGACAGAGAAAAUUUUGCCUAGUGAGAGAUGAUCUCGGGAAAGCAAAUAUAUUUGUUCGAGAAAUAUUAAAUUUUUAAUUCAUUUGCAAUAAAUUCAAUAGCAUAUGAUAUGAAAUAUUUACAUUCCAUAAACAAAUUUUCCCUUAUUUUGAUUUAGAUUUUUUUUUUAAGGUAUGGUAUCGGUAUAUUAAUACUAGAUUUUCUCAUAUAGAAAUAGAAUAAUAUGAAUAACUAUGAUAUCCCUCAUAGUUUCAACGGGAAAGUUCUCAAAAUUGUUUUUUAAAACUGUGAUAAUUUUGGAUUAAAAGUAAAUAAUAUCUAUACGAUUGGAUGUGAGUUACGAUAUUAUAUUUUUAUUUUUUGAUACGUGGAUUAUACACACGUUUUAAAAUAGCAAAGCCAUAUAGUCGGUGUAUUAUUUAAUAUUUGGAUAUUUUAUAAUUGUUAAUAAUUUUAUAGUUUUCACAUACGUGUUCCCAAUUUUAAAUAUUAAAACUCGUUUUAGGAAAAAAAAAUUUAAUUUCUAUAUCACAAAUAAUAAAAAUUAAUUUAAUUUACCAUGUUUGAGUUUUUACAUAAGCCCGUCUAAUUCCAUUAAUUCAUUUGUUUGAAAUUUUAUUAAAUACAUUUUAUGUCAUUAUUUUCUUUAGUUAGUUUUAUCGCUCAAGAUACAUGAGUUAUUUUAUAAAAUUUUAACGGAUGAGGAUUAAAUGUAUUUAACAAAAUCUUGAAAAUAAAUGAAUGAAAUUAAUCAUAAAUAAUAAUGCCUCCCUUUUCCAUACAUUUUUUUAGAAAAUCACUUAAUUAAAAAAAUACAUCUAUAUUAAUUAUCAAAUAAUCUUUAAUGUAAAAGUGAAUUUAGGUGAGAUUACUCAAUAUAAAUGUUUAUAGUAUGAUAUACAUAUUUGAACUCAAAUCCUAUAAAUUUUAAGUUUUUCGAAAAAUUGAUAAUUCAAUAUGAUAUCAGAGUUUUGUAUGAUAUGAGAUUGUAAACUCAAGCCCCUUCUCCACAAUUUGUAUGUUCGCUUCCCAGUCUAUUCCUCCUCUCCCCCCUACCUAAUUUGCAAUUCCGUGGUAUAACUCAACUCAGAGAUAAUGGAGAAAAUCUAUCACUACUGUGGCUAUUCAUAUUCAUCAGUCCAAUAUAACUCCAAAAGAGGUCAUUUUCAAUGUCUAUAUAAUACCAUGUUGCAUGUAGAUAUGAAGAUGAAUUGGUAACUGCUAGAAUCCAAUGUGUUGCAAAUUGCACUUCAAUUAUUGUUUCUGGAUUUGCUAAUUGCAAAGCUGUCUUCAUUUAUUUGAUGCUUAUCAUUAUUUUUUAACCUAUUGGUAAAAUAUAGGUGGCAAAUUUGUUAGGACGGUGGAAUUUGUACAUUAUGAUUUGAUUAUUAAUGUAAAAUAAGAUUUUUGGGUUGUCUUCUACUAUGGUCAAAAAUCUUGAUUAGUUAUUUUGCAUAUCAAUUUUUUCAACUUAAGUCGUAAAUGAAAUUAUGAAUAUGAAAACCAUUUUUUUUUUUACAGCAAAAGAACUUUGACCUUCAUUUUAACGAAGAAAAAAAAAACUAAGAGAAAUGUUUUUCUAUUGUCUUAUGGAGAGAGAUAAAAAAAAUAAGAAAAAACAUGGUUUUUUUUUUUUUUUUGGUCUUUAGAGAGAUUUUUUCACAGAAAAAGAAAAAGAAAAACUUUUCUUUUAAUAGUAUCAUGCUCUUUGAAAGUUUUAAACUUCAAAACACAGCUCCCUCGUUUUUUCAUUUUCUUAUUUAUUGGGUUAAAUCAGGUCAACCCAUUUGGGUGCCUAAUCCUAACUCCAACCGUUAUCAUAAAUAAGUGUUUCAAUUAUUCAUUUAUCAUUAAUUUACUUUUCUAACGAAUGAUAAAACUUCUUUAAACUUUCAAUAACCUGACUAAAAUGGCAUCGGACAACUUACAUUUAAUCUAUAUCAUGGAACGGUUUCGUACAAAAAUUACUUGGCAUUAAUGCUUAAUCACAUUGGAGGGCUAACCUAUUUUGUUUGAUACAUUGGACACACUUCAAUUAUUUAUACAGGCAAAUAAAACAAAAUUGUUCAUAAUUUUAUUCCUACUUGCAAAAAUGAGACAACCAAGUAGCCCUUAAAAUACUAACAAGCAUAAUUUGUAGAUUCUUAAGAAUGUAGGAGGCAUACUGAAUAUUGAAUACAUCUUUCAUAUUUUCAAUCAAUUGACUACCUUGUCUUAUAUCCAUAUCUCACAUUCAUAGGGUGGAUUAGAUUUAGUCCACUGAAAAUGAUGAUCACAAAAGUUUAUUAAAACAAAUGUGAGAUUGUGAUGUGAUUGAUACAAUUAUUUUUAUUAAAAAAAAGGGUCAAUUGUAUGAUUCAAAACAUCCAUACAUAUAUUUAAUUAAUUAAUUAUUAUUAUUUAUAAUUCAUGACCUCGAUUUUCCACUAAAGGAGUGGGUGGAAUUCUUGACAACCACUAAAAUAUGUGGGCAAGUUGUACUUUUUAUAUUUAUUUAUUAUUGUUAUUCAUUUUGUCAAUCCUUGAAUUGAUUAAGUCUAUGUUAUGGGAAAGUGCCAAUUUCUCUCUCCACGUGCAUAGCAUAUGACUAAUUUAUUAAAUUAGUGAAGCUUGAGAUCAACCUGCAGCUGCAUAAGGUAGGGAGAUUACAACUUUUGGUUCGAGGAAAUCAAGGAAACCUUUGAAGGAUUGAUAGAAAAGGGUUUGGUAUUAAUCAUUUGUGUAGCUUCUAUGCUUGAUGCUACUACUCCUAUUCAACCAUUAAUAUAUGGUUUUAAUUUUUUGUACUUAAAAUAGUAUUAAUUUGAGAAUGAAAGCUACUUUAUUGGUAUAAUUUGUAAGGAUUUGCGAUUAAUUUAAACAUAGCCGCUCGUAACCCACCAUAGAACCCUUUUUUAUUUUUUUUUCAAAUUCUUUAUUUGUGAAACUAUUUCAUUGAAAACAAGUUUUAUAAAAUUCAAUAUGGUUUUUGGGAUUUCUCAUCUGAUCGCUCCCGUUAAGCCAAGUUUGAGUAGGUGAUUAUGUUAUUAGAAUUCUUAGGUUUAGGACCGACAAGAGAUCCUCGUGAGUCAAGCUAAAAGCGGUAAGAUGUUAUUUAAAUUGACUUUUGAGAAUUAAAAAUUAUUUUUUAAAUUUAAUAAGAAUUUUUAUGUUUAUUUUGUUAUUUUUAUUUAAAACACUUAGUAGAAACUUAAUUUUAGGUUAUAAAAAAAGCCCUUCUAUAUUUGAUAAAAUCUUUAUAAUACCAAUACCAAAAUUUCAAAAUUAUCUUUUACCUUGUGAUGAAAGCCCAAAAAAAAAAAAGGAGUAAUGCCAUGUGAGGCAUAAGAGGCCUUAGCCCACACCCCACCAUUUACAAAGACAACAAAACCUUGGACCUGGGCCUCGGAGCACAGGCCCAAUGGGAGAAGAAUGGGUGGUCCUCUAUGAAUUUGUACGUUACAAUACUUCAUAUAUGGACUUGAAUGAUGUUCUUAAUUGCUGGAUUUUUUUAAAGAUAAAUGGGAUGGGAUAGUCUCAACAUCAUCAACUUCAAAUCAAUAUUUGUUGAUUCAUUUUCCUUUUUCAGCCUCUUGAAUCCCCAUGCACGUAACGGAUGUUGCUCUCACGAUUUCUCACUAUAUAUACAAACCACAGCAUACAUGCUUCCGCACUCGAUCGACAUGGCUCUGAUGCUGAAGCUCUUUCUUUUCACUCUUCUCUCUGCAUGGAGCCUGGGAUCCAUGGCUUCCGCACGGUACCUGGACAAGAGCUUCAGCCUUGCUGCUCGAUUACAUGCGGACGACGACUCAUCAUCCAAGUGCUGGGAGUCUUUGCUUGAGCUUCAGGCAUGCACUGGAGAGGUUGUCCUGUUCUUCCUCAAUGGUGAGACUCACCUUGGGGCCGGCUGUUGCCAAGCCAUUCAGACCAUUGAGCACCAAUGCUGGCCUGCCAUGCUUACUUCCAUUGGUUUCACUGCCGAGGAGGGCGACAUCCUCCAAGGUUACUGUGAUGCAACCACAUCCUCUUCGGCUCCCCCACCACCACCACCACCACCAUCCAUGGAGCCUAAUGACGUGGUUACCUUGGGUGGCUUUUUCCUCGAUCCUUAGUAGAACGCGUUCUUACUAGCAGUUAUGUCUUUUACAUAUAUCUGAUCCGCUAGUCUAAAUAUAUACAGAAAAGGGUGUUUGGAAUUAAUGAAUGAUUUCCUAUAUAUUGCCCCAUAUUUGUUGCAAUUAAAUUCCAUUUCUUGCUUGAAAAAAAGGUAUAAUAAUUUCCCAUCAUUGAUAGCACUAGUAGUUGUCUUUUAUGGGCUGGACGAGACACACAGAUCGACCCACAAUUCUGCUUACCCAGCCCAUGCUCAGUGGUUUGGACUAACAUAAUUGGAGGCCCAAAAGGGAUAUCAAUAAUAAGAUAAUGUUUGGAAGAUGAGUCUAUUUUUGUAUCUAGAUAAGACCAACUCAUCCCCCUCUAAUUAAUGGAGAGGUAACGGCGUGAAGGGCAAGAUUCUCAAGGACUCAAAAGCCUUUUUGCUUUGAUUUUCCAUCAAGGCAUCAGUGCCAUACACAUAAGUCCAUAAGGUAAUGAAUAAGGAGCGUCAAAUCAGGGUGGGAUGCGAAUAUGCGGAUUGAAAGCCAAGUAUUGAUUUUAGUGGUAUGAGGUGGGUCGUGUAUGGAUGGUGACAUCUAACUAUAAGUCUCUCAAAAGACUUCAAACUUCCCCCCAUCUCCGCCUUCUUUCAUGCUCUUUCCACUCUUCUUUUAACGUAGUAAUUUUUUUUCCCUUUGGGUAAUUAGGAUCUAAGCAUGGAAGAAGAGAAUAUUCGGAUGAGUGUUUCAAGAGUUCUUGGCUUUCUACACAUUGUUACUUCAUUUUCAAGCUGAGGAAUCAAUUGGUCAUUUGUUAUGUGCUUGUUUGUGAUCAUUGGGAAGCAGAUUUAGGGUUUUGAAAGGUCAAAUGCUAAUCAACAGAAGAAGAAAUUUACACCCCAUGCCAACAUAAAGAGAUAAUUGUGGUUAGGAUAGAUUUCAUAUAAUUAACUUCAACUAACUUCUCAUGACCUGCCAUUCCUAGUCAUCAUUCAGUUAGUUAUUUCCUUGCUAUGCCCAUGAUCGAUGCAUCGACCGUUUGCCACUUGUUUUCAUCCAAAAACCUGUCAUUUUCUCUCCGAUCUCGAUCCACUAGAAUGGAUCAAACUGGAUUCUUUCUUCCUCUGGAAUAAUGUAAAGCUAGACUAAAAUUUUAUACAUUCCUCUAUUGGUUGAUGGUUUAUUAAUGGUGAGAUAUCUUGUACAAAUUGAAUCAUCAAGGUCAUUGGAGUGGUGUCCUUGUUGACUAAUUAAUGGGUCCAUGUUUCAUGAUCAUAAGGCCAUCUUGCAUGAUUCAAAUAUACCCUAUUGAAAUGGUAUACAUACACAUGCACAUUGUUCAAAAACGCCCUAGAAAAAGGAAAGGAGGAUAAAAAGAAAUACAAGUCGUCCACUAGUGCCAUAUGUGGAAAAGUAGUGAGCAUACAGAUCUCAACUCCCCUAGAGAAAAUUGUCCUCGUAUGGAACCUCAACAAUGAAUUCUAGAGAAAGCUGUCAAGUGAUCACAGUCCAGAUGAAUCUUGAUUUAGAAGUUAGAAAAAUGAAGGGUUGUUAGGUUAGGGUAGUUAGUCAAUGGCACAAAGAUGUUAUCUUAAAAGUUGUGGAGGAGAGGAGAGGAGAGGAGAGAGUCAGAAAAAAGAAUGAACCUAUCAGAAGAAAGUAAGAAACAUCAAACUAUAAUCUUAUUAACAUGGAACGAUAAUCAUGAUAAAGCCACACAACAAGGGUUUCACAAGGACACACAGAGAGACCCAGGAAACAAGACACAAACUCAUCCAACAUAGCUCAGACAUAGAAAUUAUUUAGCAUAGUUGCUCACUGGCAAUUGUAAAUCUAAUUACACAACAAGCACACAUGCAUGCGUCUAGAAAAGAUGGUGAUGCUUCUUUCCAUGAGCCUCUUCAUCUUCUUCCUUGGCUUCUUUCUUCUCGUGAUGCUCGUGGAACGCGAACCCGCCAGCUCCCACUGCAGCAGCCGCGGCAAUCUCUUCUUCUAUCUUGUGCUUGUGGGCAUGCUCAGGGUCUUUCUCCGACUUGUGCUUCUCAUGCUAUAAUUCAAGCAUCAUCAAGACGAUAAGAAAUAGUUCCUUUGUAUAAAAUUAAUUAAAACAAAAAUAUUUUCAAACUUCAUGACACACGGGGCAUUACCAAGGCGUAAGCGCCAGCAGCAGCGACGCCGAGCUCGCCGAGGUGCUCGAGAUGCUUGUGGUGCUUCUCCUCCUUCCUGUAGUCAGGGCCUGGGUCAUCUGCUAACACUUCGGUGGUUUCGGCAGCGUAGCCGCUGACACCAUCGGUAGCAUAGCUGGUGUCGGAGUAGGUGGUGUCGGAGUAGGGAACGGCGUCGUCAACAGGCUUGUCCUUGUGGUGGAAGAGGUGGUGGUGAUGCUUCUCCUCCGACAUGGUGGUGGUGAUCAAAUUAGCUGCAGAAACGAGAGAGGAAGAUGGUUUGUGAACUGUGAAGGUGUGAUGUGGGAGAGUGCAGUGGUGGGUGGUGGGGUAUUUAUAAAUGCUGGUUGCGAAGGUGUCCAAAGAUCGUGGGAGAGAUGAAUGGGUAUUGGGAAUGGCCCGAAUGGGUGGGGCCUCACCAUUCACCAUUCUUAUCUACAUUUUUCAAAUCUCGAUGGCUCCUACUCUGUCGAUACUUUGUUUUUGUGUCGGCAAUUUCAUUGGAUCUUUAACCACGACAUUUUUUAACCACAUUUUUAGAUUUCCGUGAUAUUAUCAUAAUUGUUUUUGUUAGUCAUUCGUUGGAUUUAUUUCAAAAGUAGGAAAAUGUUUGAAAAAUAUACAUCAUCAUUUGCGUCUUUGAUCCACUCUCAAUAGGAAAUAAAUAAAUAAGAAAAGAAAACCACAAAGUCUCAGGUAGCAAAGAGUCCAUAUCAAAGUAUCAAACCUUUUUAUCGAUGAAUAUUUUUAGGAAGAACAAUCUAUUAUUUGUAAAAUAAUUUUUAUAUAUUGAGUGAUAACCCUUCAAUUCGAUAUCGUUAGAUCAUUAAGGUCGGCUUUUGUCCCUAUUCGACGGGUGGAUCUUGUAGUCAAACUCCCUUUUACCUUUGCACUCAAGGUCCAUCUUUGUUUUGCUUGAGAAAACCUUUGUUAAUUUCCAUUACCUUUUGAGAGACUUACGCUCUAUAAAAAUUAUUUAUCUAUUCCUUGACGAGGAAAUUCAAAUUCUUUUACUUAAAUUUAUUUUAUAAAACAUUAAAAAAGGUUAAAUAUAAUAAAAUUAUUAAAAAUUUGAAUUUAAGAAAUCAUUUAUUUUUUAAAUUUUGACAUGAACAUAUAUGGGUAAAAAACAAAAAGAGACAAAAACAAAAUAUGUUUUUUUGUGCAGUAAUCAAUUAAAAAAUCACUUUCAAUUUAAUAAAAGAUGUAAUUUUUAAUAUUAAAGCUUAGAGAAAAAAGAAUUGACUUGAUUGGAAUGAAUUACAAAAAUCACACCCCAAUGAAGAGGAACCCCAUACAGCACCUCCUUUCCUUUUCAUAAAGCAAAGACCUUUCAUCAGUAGGCAUGUGAAGGAGGGAAAUGAACUUGGCAGAUUCCACCUUAAAGUGCUAAAACAUGGCACUUGCCCCUCUUUCUAAUCAAACUUAACCCCACCUACAUUAUCUACAUUAUUUAUUGUACAUUAUCUUUCUCCAACUAAUACUAGUAUUUCACAUCUCACAAUUUUUUUAUUCUAUUGGAUGUGAGUCUAUUAUUGCAGUUAGGUCAGCUAAUCAGGAUCCCAUGGAUAAGGUGCCACAUAUUAAUAUUUUAGCCUUUUAGGUGUUGCUAUUCAUCCUCCUUUAUGACUUGGGCUCCAUUUCUUUGCUUGAACCUCACUUUUAGGGUAAUUUCUUUUCUUGGACUAUUAGUUUAUUUGUUGCACAUAAAAAGGCCACUUUAAUGGCCGUCAAACUUUGAUAAAAUAUGUCUUAUUUUGUACUUUAAGGUGGUGUUUAUUUUUUAAUUGAAUAAAAAAAAAAUAAAAAUAUUUGAUUUUUUCUAUUUAAUUAAAAGUAAUUUGUUGAGAUCGUUCAAUGUAACUAAAAUGAACUUGUUAUCAAUAAAUUUACUUUAGUUAUGUUAGACAAUAUUAAUAGGUUACUUUUAAUUGAAUAGAAAUAAAAGUCAUUUUAAUUAUAUUGGACAAUAUUAACAAGUUAUUUUUAGUUGAAUAGAAAAAACUAAAUAUUUUAAUUUUUUUUAUUCAGUCAAAAAACAAACAUCACCUAUAAAAAUUGAUAACUUUUAUAUAUUUGUACUAUGGUAGAUGGGCUUGGCCCACUUGGGCGUAGGGUAGAUAUUUGAAUUUUGAACAGAAAAAAAAAAAAGGGAAAAAAGGAAAAAAGGAAAGGGGAAAGAGAAGGAGAAGAUAAAUCAAUAAAUCAUAAAAGCAGGAAGGAGAGGUGGAAAAUGGUCCUCUGGUCUGGACCAGGAGAAAGUGGCCGGUGAUGGGGCCCAUUGGGUCUGUGUCGGCAAGGCCCCAUUUAUUUCGGCAUCAAUAUACCUGCCUGAUUGGUUCCAUGCCUGCCAUAUGUUUACGCUUUUGUCAAUUAUUAUAAAAAACAACUUCUUUGUCAAUAAACUCUUUAAUUUUUACUUCUCUAUCGUCUUUAAUGGGUGUGAAAAAAGUCAUACAUGCCUAUUGUAUUCUUCUCCUUUUUAGUAGGUAAAAACCUACAGGCUAUCCCUAAACUGAAUUUUAUAAUAUUUCAGAAAAUAUGAAAUUUAUUUUUAAUUAAUAAAAAUUUGGAUUAAAUAUCAAUCAUAAUUUCAUAACUGAUAUGGCCGGUGAUAAAGAACGAGUGAGUCACGCUAGGGCCACGGAUGUAUCACAUUCAUGGUGUGCCUGGGCUUAGUGGUUGAUGUGAAAUAGAUAUAGGUGUAGCGCAUAGUGUAAACGGGCCCAGGGAAAUUCAAAAUCGCGUUGCCACGUUCCAUAGAAAGGACAAGAAAUUAGAAGCUGGGAGUGGUCCACGUCUUCCAGGUAACCCCCACGCUGCUAACGAUUAUUCAAUGCCUUCCUACUCCAAAUCAAACCUAAUGUUCAACAUCGACAUGUCUCAUAUGACACAUCCUUAUAGAUGAAGUUGGUGAACUGUGGAGAAGAGAGAGUAAGGGCGUGUGAGCGGAGAUAAUUCACAAUUGAUUGGCAGGUUUCGGAUAUUUUCUUCGGCUUUGUCCUGGGUUUUUGGAAAGGUUUGAUUGGCCCGACCCAAUCCUACAACCCAUACUAAACCACACAAUCGAAUCCUACGAGAGACCAAACCCAACCUUAAAUCAAGUUCCUCAUUAUGGGCUUCAUAGCCCAACUUAGCACUCCAGCCCAUCCUAACAUUGGGAAAAAUAAAUUAAUGAAAAUUAAGACUAGAUAUGAAUAAUUUCUUUUAUUAUCUUAAACUGCUGAAAGGGAUUAGUUAUCCUACACAGCUUGAACAGAAAAAGAGCCCUCUAAAACUCACCUACUUGAGAUUUAAGGCAUAAAAAAGUCCUUACCUUAAUAAUUGUAAGAGAUCGUUGGAUCAAAUGAUUCAAAUCUGGGACUUGCUCACACAAUCAAUCCAUUUCAUGAGACGAAUUACCAGUGAGGCUCUCUUCACCAUCUACAAGAUUUCGGAUGUAGCGAGUCAAGUAAGAACUUGGACCAUAGCAAAUGCUUGAUAAAAACCCUCCAUACAGUAAGCAAUGGAUGCCAAGCUUAAACAGAUUUUUCCUCUCUUGGUUGGUGUCUCUCUGUGCUUCAUACCCACCAGUACUUUCUUCAUCCCAACUCGAAGAAUCCAUGGCAGUGCAGCCUGAAUGAGCCUGAAAACCCCAGAUCUUGGAAGUUUCCAUCUUUUGCAGCCAGUUGGAAUCAAUGGGAUCUUUAAAUUUUUUACAAAGAUGGUGUCCCUGGAUCAGAAAACUCCAAACUUUUGGUGUAAUACUUGAGACACAGUUAAGGAACUGCUUAGAUAUGUUCUCCAAUCCUCCAUUAUGAGCUUGACUCCCAAAAAAAUUGGCCUCGAAUUCAUCUGCUAGUGAGCACUCAUUGCAUUUAUGACUCUGAAGAGACGAAAGAUUUAGAACAGGCAACCUCCCUUUCACAAAGGAAUUCAAUAGUGAGCUUCUAGCAAGACUUAAAAGGGACUCCCCAGCAUUCAUCCAGAAGUUUGCAAUUGAUGCGAUCAAAGAAGAGUCAGAGAGGAAAAUACGGUGGGUUGCACCUGCAAGCAACAAGGAGUAUGCUGCACUGGUCUUGAUCAAGCUCAAGGCUUCCAGCUCAUCUCCGUCCAUUUCAGAAUGCAGAUCCAGUAAUUGACUAGCACGGACUCUGUAUGCAGAAGCCAGUGUUGUGUAGGCGGCCAAAGAGAGAUGGUGCAGGGGGUGCAACUUGAAAUUUGCUUGUGAUUUUCCCUCAAUUGGUUCUAACUGCUCAUCUGGAAGACCUUGAGCAAUAACAUUCUCAAGCUUCUCACAGCAAGCUUCAGGGUUGCCAACUGACAAAUAGUCAGCUAUAGCAUCAUCUACAUAAUCAGUCAACUUUCUGAUUUCCUCCUCUCUACACAUGUUAUCAUCUAUGUAAUUGAGACUAUGAGCCAAAGUUUCCUAUAGGGAAGAACAGAGAAAUGUCAAUCCUUGUUUUAUGACAGUACUAGAAUUCAGGCACUUCAAUUGCAGAUUAAAAAAUGCUUGUGAAGUUCAGACUUCAGAGUUGAUACAGAAAUAUUGUGAGUACUUCACCGUACAAAGUGGCCCCCGAAAAAUAACCAGAGUGGACAAGGGAAAGGAUAAAACAGGAUGAGAAAAGCUACUAUGAAUUACUCAAUAGCUUUUCCUAGUUCCAAUUGAUAUGGAGAAAAAGACUCCAACUGUCUGUCAGCCUUUUGAGAAGGAAAAAGCAGAUGUAACUAAGGGAGACAACUUGAAGAAACAAAAGAUAUGAAAGGCAAAGAAGAAAAUAAAUAGCACACAUACAGAUUCUGGAUGCAGCUCUAAUUGCAAAUGACGCAGCUGACUCAAGGGAGAGAAGCUCUAGGGCUGGUUUAGUUUGCAAGUUGGACAUAUGUACUUUGGUGUGCCCCUUUUGGCAUUUUAAUACAAUUUGCACUUACCUAUCAAAAAAAAAAAAAAGUUUGCAAUUUGGACAUAGAAAAGGCUUAUGACCAUGUUGAUUGGAAUUUUCUCCUCCCAGUAACGAAAAAGAUGGAGUUUGGUCUAAAAUCGAGAAAGUGGAUUCAUUUUUCCAUUGUAAGGAUGUCAAUCUUAGUCAAUGUUUCUCCUUCAGAUUUCUUUCAGACAUCUAGAGGAUUGUGGCAGGGUGAUCCUCUCUCACCCUAUCUCUUCAUGAUUGUCAUGGAAGCUCUACAUUGUAUACUCUCAAGGGCUGACUAGGGAGUGUUCAUUCAUGGCUUCAAGGUCAGGGGCAGAAGGGGUGAAGGUUUCCAAGUAUUCCAUCUCCUGUUUAAGGAUGAUAGAAAAAUUUGGAUCAACUAAGAUACUGGAGGUGGAUUGUAAUAGGCUUCAAGGUUGUGUUAGGUCUGAAAAUAAACCUGUAAAAAAGUAACUCAUUCUAAUGGGGAAAGUGGAGGAUGUGGUGAGAUCAUCAUCUUUGCUUGGGUGUAAGAUUGGAAGGCUUCCCACUUCUUAUCAUGGUUUGCCCUUUGGAGUGCUUCAUAAGUAUUGCGUUGUAUGGGAUGCUGUCAAGGAAAUGUUUGGUAAAAGAUUGGCUUCUUGGAAGGUGUGGUAUUUGUCAAAAAGAGGAAGAUUAGUUCUUUCAAAGAGCACUUUCUCAAGCUUAUCAAUCUAUUUUAUGGCCUUUUUUUCUAUUUCCAGGAAAGUGAGGAUCAAAUCAUAAAGGAUUCAGAGAGACUUUUUGUAAGGAAAUCUUUGGUAAACCAAUAAGAUGCAUUNNNNNNNNNNNNNNNNNNNNNNNNNNNNNNNNNNNNNNNNNNNNNNNNNNNNNNNNNNNNNNNNNNNNNNNNNNNNNNNNNNNNNNNNNNNNNNNNNNNNAGGAAGAACAUCCAAAGAAAGUGCAGGGAACUGGUCAAGGGGUGGAACAUUUGUGAGGUGAGGGAGACUUCUGGUAUAAGCCUAUGGAAAGACUUAAGAAAAGGUUGGGAGGAAUUCAACCACAGGAUAGCUAUCCAAAUUAAAAAUGGUAGCCAGACAAAAUUUUAGAGGGAUGGGUGGGUGGGUGGGGGGGAACUGUUUGAAAGAAGCAUUUCCUCUAUUGUUUAGUCUAGCUUCUCAAAAGAAUGCCAUUGUUGCAAACAUGUGGGAUGGGAGAGGUAGUGGAGGCCAGUGGGUGCAUUUCAAAAGGCCAUUCCAAGAUUGGGAAAUGGAGGGGGUGUCCUAAUUUUUAGAACUUAUUUAUUCAUACAGCAAAAGUGCAAGAAGAAGGGAAAGAUAUCUUAGUUUGGAAGGAGGAUAGGAAGAGAAUCUUCAGUACUAAGUUGUACUACAGUUCAUUGUGUGCCGAAUUUAGAGUGGACUUCCCAACCAAAGAAAUUUGGGGGCUCCCAAGCUCUUACGAGAUCAUGUUUUCUCACUUGGGAAACAGUAUGGGAGAAGAUCUCAACCAUAGAUUUGUUAAUGAAGAGGGAUGGACAAUGUUAAUAGAUAUAGUCUUUGCAAAGAGAGUGAUGAGUCUGCUGAUCAAAUUUUCAUUCACUGUGCAAUGACAAAGGUAUUAUAGAUGUUUGUUUUAUCAAUUUUUAGUUAGAAAUAAGUUUCUAGCUACAGUGAGGAAUAUGCUUCUCAAGUGGAAGUUUUUAAGGUAUUGGACAAGAAGAGUCACCAUCUUUGACAAAUGACACCCCUCUGCUUAUUCUGGUGUAUAUGGAAAGAGGGAAACCAUAAAAUCUUUAAUGGGGAAGAGCUUGCAUAUUAGAGAUUAAAAGAGAGCUUUAUUAAAUCCCUCUUUGAUUGGUCCAAAGUUCUGUUAGAAAUGGGCAAUUCUGAAUGAUGGCUUUCGUAAAUGGUCUUAGUUGUGGAUAGUUUGGUUUUGAGUUGAGGUUGUUUUUUUAUUCGUUGUUUUGUUUUUUUUGUGUUUACUCCCAGUAUAUGUAAGGUAUGCCCCCUUUCAUUGGCAUGCUCUUUUAAUAUAUUAUCCUUUUGCUUAUCAAAAGAAAAAAAGAAAAAAGAAAAAAGAAAAAUAAAGAGAACACAUAAAUCAGGGGAAGGAUGAAGGAAUUAAACCAAUAGGAAUGAGAAACAGUUGGGUAUAUUUUUUCGACAGAUACUUCAUGCAGCAGGGGCAAGAUGGGGGAAAACCUUACCACUCCUGGUGCCAUAAAUGUGGCAUAUAUGCAUCGUGUUCUAACUCCACACCUAGUACUAUAAUUUUCACAGAAGACGAUCACCCUUCCCCACCCAGCAAAUCUAAAAUCAAGUUGCAAAAUGAAUCUUCUAGACUGCUUUCGGAUUUCUCCUAAACAUCAAAAUAAACAAAUGAUAGGCAUACUGUUCCAUAGAAGUCUUACUUGCAAAACAAGAUCCACAUAAGUAGGGGGCGAUGCAUUACAACGGUUACAGCAACAGGAAAACCAAUACUUCACCCAUAACUCUGCAUGUCUAAUUUCCUGGAAAAUCAAAUCAGUGCAAAUAAAAGCGUAUAACGUGAACUCAAAAAACUAAAAAAAAAACAGAGUAUAGAAGGAUGAGUUGGAACACAUUUUAGCACAAUGCCACUGAGUUCACUUACACUAUGGUGAUUAUGCAAGUAAUAUAAAAUCAUGCAACUUCUCAUUAGGUCGACUCCUUGUCAUUUUUCGCAAUCACUUCAAACAUAAGGCACAAUGCAAUAAUCUAAAAGCUUAAAAGUAAUAGCAGAUAUGCCAAAUUUACAAGCACAUUUUGCACAUUCAAUCUCUUAACAGUGGAACUGUAGAUACUGAAAAUGAAGAUUACCUUAGGCUGCAACAGGUCUAUGUAUGCAACCCACACCUCCUCACCCUUUUUAAUUGCCUUGAUGCUCCGAACGAUGAUUCUUGGCCCGUGUAUGUUGCAUCCUUUACUAGAGAAAAUCAAUUACAAGUAGAUAAUCAAAAUAUCCAAUAAAUUCACAACUGAUUUUUUUGAGAAACCAAAUUGAAAAAAACAUAAAAUAAUUAAAAUAAAAAAGAUUCAAUCACCUUCUAUUGAUUCACUUUUGCUACGAACAGCAUUCUGUAUCUGAAAAACAUUUCGGUUUCAUAAUUUUCAAAUCCUUUGAAUAUGGUUAAAAUUAAAGAAACAAUUCAGAAUUUAGGAAUAGUGAUCUAUUUUUCUUUACUUCAAUUUCAUCAUUGCCUCCAGGGAUAAUCUGGAGCCUCGACUCGCCAGAAAACUGGGGCGUCUCAGGUGAACGGAGCAAGAAACGGUAACAAGCAUUGGGAGAACAGCUGUGAUUGAUCCAAGAGAAGCACCAAUCGUAGACGGCUAUCCCUAGGGCGGACCCUCCAUUAACCUGCACUUCAACUGCAUUGGUGAGGACCAGGCAGAGCAGGGCCUCCUCCAGUUUGGAGUCCCCGGAGAAUUCCGUACCAUCUCGCAUACAUCGGGCAACGGCCAUGGCCUUGCCGCCGUCUCGGAUUCUCGUCAGAGUCUCAUCACUUUCCGAGUUGUGGGAGGGUGAGAUGAGGUGGUGGAGGUUGGUGAGUAGGCCGCAGAUUCGAUGGAGCGGUUGGGUAUGGAGGGGAGGGAGGUGGAGGAUGUGGAGGAGGCGGAGGGCAGCACGGAGGUCGGAGGAGUGAGCGGUGGAGGGGUGGGAAUGGCGGAGGAGGAGGAAGAGGUGGUGCUCGGCGCUGGAGAAGUGGAGGGGGGAGUCGGAGGCGGAGCAUGGUGGAGAGCAGUAGCAGAGAAAGGAGGAACUAGGGUUGGUAUUGACGAGAACAGUGGGCGGUAGAGGUGAGAAACAGGCGGAGCAGUGAGAGCGAAGGUGAGAGUCGUGGAGAGAGGAGGCUAGGGGUGGGAGUGGAUGGGUCAGGUCUAACCCCAUUUCUGUGUCCUCUCUCAUUCUCAUCUCCAUUCUUUACCAUACGGAUUGCAGGCAUUCUCAAUUCUAGUUCUUAAUACUGCUGCUCCCUUCUCCCCCUUCCUAAACCAUCCAUUUAGGAAAGCAGAAAUAUAACCACAGUUUAUUUACUUAUUUAUGAUGUUUCUAAUACACAACACCUGCAAAAAUUAAUGACAAAAUCUGUCCCAAUGGAAGGUAGACAAGAGCACAGACAUCUGAGCACAUAUUUACCAGCCUUAUCAUAUCAACAAACAAUAGUUGAAAUGCCAUUCUUCCUGAGAGUUUGGCCCCUUGAUCAAGACUGCCAUGAAGCAAACCCAUAAUUCAUUAGAGGAGGAUACCAUGUUUACUCUCAUUGGCAGUGGGCGGACCUGGGAAUGAGUCAAGUGACAGAACUCUGAAAACUUGCCUUGAGGAAAUCCCUCAACAAAUCCAAACAUUACUGGGUUGCCUUCAUAAUAAUUAUAAAGAAAACAAAUUCUUCCCAUUGAAUUUCCAGGACAAGUGCAACAGCUGUGCCAAUUUCCAACAGCUUAAACAAUUGAGUAAUCAAAAUUGUUUGUCUCUACAUCAACUGAUGGAGUCCACCGGACCAUGAUCAAAUUUCAUCAUAUUUUACAGAUAAAAUACCAGUUAUUUAGAAAAGCAUGGAUUGUGAUCUUCCUGUGCAGUUUUCCUUCAUCACAUCCCGUAUGCGACUUCAGUUGCUUCAUUACAUCAGUUUCUGAUUUCUAACUUGAACAACUGUAUUAACACCCAAAAGGAAAAAAAGGAACUAAGGGACUAUUUAACAGUUAAGACUAGAAGGGUUUUAGAAUUGAACUGGAAAGGGUUCAAAUAGAGGAAGAAGGAAGAAACUCACCAAAAGAACUAUUGUUUCACUUUUAGUGUGGUCUCAAUGCGCUGGAUGAGCUGAUCUGCAGUCAAAGCACCUUCCUGGAAUUCAUCAGACAGGAAUAGUAACAAAGAAAUUAGAACAUAAAAAAUAAAUAAACUAGUGGCAAUAUAACAACCAAAAGAAAAAUACAAUCAAAAGUACAGUGAAAACCAAGAUAAACAAUUGACUAAGGUGCCACUGUACAACCAGAGGCCCAACCAUGCAUUGUAUAAAUGCGGAAGAAAAUUCUGUAGACAUCAUCUCCUAUGCCAAGGAGAAAACCUUCAUUGGCUAAUCCCAUGAAAAAGUAUAAUUCAAUAGAGUCAAAGUGUGUGAAAACCAAGCCAGUGCUACAAGCAGGAAGCCUAAGAACUGAGUCAUUGCCAGUGUAAGCUUUGCCUGUAAGUAAAGAAGGCAGUUAACAAUCAUGUUACAGGGGCUGCCCAUUCACAGGCACGUGCAAGAUGAAAAUCAUGUGGGCAAUUCAUGACAAUUUCCCAAAAAGGUUUUUUUGUACAAGUGCAUACUAGAUACGAAUUCCACUUACAAAGCGAUCAUAUGGCUUCCCAUCUUUAAAUAUGAUGAAAGUAGGCAAUGCCUCUAUUCUGUACUUAUCAGCAAUGCUCGGGUAUUUCUCAGUAUCAAUUUUCACCACCUGGAUCUUGUCUUUCAGAGAAGCACCGACUUCGUUGAGGAUAGGAACCAUGAACUGACAAGGGCCACACCUGGAAACCAGUACUUCGUUACUUCUAGUUUUAUUUAGUUCCCUCAAUAUCUCAUAGAAAUAGAGACUCCUUAGAACAGCACACCCUCAAGGAAACACUUUAAUGAGGGACUGCCCUACUGAGUAGCAUGUCUUAUUGAUGGAAUAUAAUUUGGCUUAAAAACUCACAUUUUGCUGCCAAGACAGCUAAUUCAGGUUAUCAUCUAGCUUACAACAAAAUAACAAACCAUCUCAUAUCAUUUUCCUUCUAUUUAAAGAGCAAAGAAACGGUGGCAAGUAUGGGAUUUAUUUUAUUUCAUUUUUUUUUUUUAAAAAAAAAAAACUCACCAAGUUGCAUAGAAGUCUACCAGAACAGGUUUUUCAGAAUUUGCUAGCAAUUCAUCCAAGGAAGAAAAUGUUUGCUUCUUUGCUUCAACCUAAAGAAAUCACAACAAUGUGGAAGUUACCCAUUAAUUUAUAGACACAUUCAGAAUUUGGUAGUCCAACCAUGCUUAUCUAAAUAUGCCAAUAUAACAGAGUCAAUUAGGAAAAUGUCCCAAACUCCUAAGAUAUAAUAUUAACAUAAAAUGUUUGUUCAGAAUGCAGAGAAACAAAAACCAAGAUACCUGUAAUCUGACAUUACAAAAAAAUGAGUCAAUUUACUCUGAGUCAAUUUAAAUUGGAAUUUAUGAACAUUCCAAUAUACUUUACUCUGGGUAACAGGCAGUUAGUAAGCAUGUCAAAUCAAAUAUUUAAGCACCAGUUAGAUAUCUAGAUUACAACUUUUCAUGACUCUUUAACUUUGAAAUCAUAGCUUCCAACUUGGAAGGUUAACAGGCAAAGCAGUGCACAAUUAUAUGGUCACUAUGACACCUUGUUUCUAGAUUAACUACUAGUCUAUCAGAUGACAAUUGAGUGCUCGUAUGCAGCGAACAAUGGUAUAGAGCUAAAUAGCAGAUGAAGUACAUUAGCUGGUUUACAUUGUCAAAUUGGAAACUAUGGGUAUGUUUGGAAUUUGCUUUCAAAAACAGUUUUAUGUUUUUAAGAACAAAAAUAAAAUAAAAUAAAGGAAAACAUGUUUGACAAUCAGGAAACAAGAUGUUUUAUGAGAAUAUAUUUUAAUUGUUUUCAGUCGUUUUCACUUAAUUUUAAAUAUGUUUUAAAGGAUAAUCCUACAAAUAUGGAGAAUGAUUGAAAAUAAAGCACUACAACAAAAGUUAUUUUAAAAAACAUAGAAAUUAGGUUGACAACAUUUCAAGUUCCAAUGAAAUGUUUUCAAACAGACUUCCAUUCUAGAAAACAUUAAAAAACAAUUUUCAAAAACCAUUUUUCAAAACUGUUUUUGAAAACACUUCCAAAUAGAGUCUAUAUAACUCUAUUAUUUCCUUUUAUUUUUCUCUAUUAAGAAAACCAUGUGUUGUCUGUCUCUCAUUUACAUGACCUAACAUUUCUCCUCAACUCAAGCGUUCACACCCUCAAUUAAGCAACCCAAACGCACUUAAUCCCAAAGGUUGUGUUUGUGUUUGGCCCUCGCAACCAACAAAUGCAACGACAUGAAAAUGCUGAAAUUAACUUCAUUCUCACUAACCAAUCUUAAUUUUUCCAGGAAUGACUAUCCUCUAAACAAACAUAUGCGCAAUCAACAAGAAAAACGCACGAGAAAAUAAAAGGCGAAUCCUUGCAUCUAGCACAAAAUGUCUCCACCAACUGAUCCAACACACCACAACACAUUCCCAAAGCAGAAUAUACAAACACCGUUCACAAGAAUUCGGAAAAUUCCAAUAAAAAAAAUCCACAACAUUCUGAAUUUUAAUAAUAAUAAUAAUAAUCAUAAAAAAGGCACCGAAGCAAAACAAAUUACCACAGGAAGGGUUCGAGGCCUAGACGGGGAUGAAAUUCCGUUGUUGCCGAUUCGAAUAGGGCGGAGCUGCCUAGGAAACUGCAAGGGGGACGAUGAGAAGAGCUUGGAAGAAGGGGAGGAAGAAGAAAAGGCUAAAGGAGUGGGGCGUUGAGAAUUCAACGCACGAACUGUAGAGAAAGUGAGCGAGGUGGCCAUUGGAGAGAAACCCUAGAACCAGAUGUUUUGGAUAAAAAUGGAACUGGACCAGAAAAAUCUGCUGGGAAGGGAGGAGAAAAAGAAGUGCGGAGACGAAGAGAACAAGAAGAGAGAUGUUAAGGUGCGGAGGUAUAGUAGAAUAAUAAAUAGGAGGACCAGAUCCGCGGGUGUGGGAGUUUCACAGCUAUGAUCCGACGGCCAGCAUACAUUAUCACACUUGGAGAUCCCAGCAGCCAGAUGCGUGUACUCUCCAUUUUUUUAUUUUAUUUUCACGUGAACCCCAAGGGAAAAUGACUACUCCAAUAAUUUACAUUUUCUUUUACCAAAAAGAUUAAAAAUCGGAUUCAGUAUCCAGAAAGGAUAAAAGAUUUUAAAUAAUUCAAUAUAAAACAUAAUGAGAAAAUCUUUAUAGAAUCAAUCCAACCACGUUCUAGUAAGAAACACCAGUGGGGGCAAGAAGUGGAACUACCGGUAAGCCAACAAGAUCCUCUUCAAAUUCAUGCUACAUUUUAUUAGACCAAUGUCUAAGGCCAAAAAUGAAGACUACAUGUGAGGAAAACGGUUGAGUCUAAAUCCUACAAACUUAAGUUUUUUUAAAAAUCGAUUAUUCAAUGGAAUGAAGAUGUAAAUAAUAAAACAAUGAGACCGGACAUGGUAUAAAACAAUAGGAUCUAAAUGCAUGUAUGAUACGACCUGAUUGAUCAUGCUUUUUGAUAUCGAUUUGGUAAUGUAAGGGGACCUUUUUUAACAUUACGUGAGUUUGGUAAAGGAGGCUGACUUUAUGGGCUGGAUGAACACGUAUGACUGGAGAUGAGAGGAGCAGCAAUACAAUGUUGAUCAUCACUUUACGUAGGCUCCUGCAUGCCACAAUGUUGAUCGUCACUUUCCAGAACACUAAAACCAUUUCAGGGUUCAGAGAAAAUUCGUAAGAGUCCGCACUCAAAACAGCUCUCUUAACAAUAAACUUGAAACAUCAAAUAAUGUUAAAUUACAACGUGGAAGGUUGAUGUCGUGGCAGUAAGUUAUGGCCAAACCUCAUCCAUCACUAGUCAAUGUGAGUGCCAGAAAAACUACUGUAAGUGCAGAGAAUAUGGUUGCACAGGCAAAUACCCACAUCGCCCUGCUCCUCACCCUGCCACUACUAUGGCUUGCCGGGCUGCCCAUCUCGACCUCUUUUAGAAGCUCCCUCACCUCAUCCAUAUUUGAGUCUUUUGCAGCUUGGGUUAGUCUACCAUGAAUUUUAUCAAGCCUACUCAGCCUUUUACUUCGGGAUGCAUCCUUGGCUGACCAGAUAAAACCCGUCAUCUUCCACAGAAGAAUGCCCACAUAGAUGGCCACAACACAGUCCACAGUGUAAUGGUGGCGUUCCCGUAUUUCCCUUUGGGCACUGUGCAAUACAAACAGCCAUAUGACAGCCGAGCUGAAACCUCCAUAAGCUUCCUGCAAACAUUUUUUUUGACACAGAGAAAGACACAAAAUUUAGUAUUAUGCAUUUUAAGCCUCAGUGCUACUGAUCAAUAAAUGUCAAGAGGAGGGAUUGCAAGUGUUUAAUAAAUAUACCGUCCAAGCCAUAGCAGUCAGUACUGCUACAAGAAUGUGGCCACUGUAUAUGAGGUCAUUGCAUCCUCCUCCAGCUUUCUUUAGCAGAUUGUACCAUGACCCGUCAGUAGUAGUUGGUCGCAGGAAGUCUAUAAGGAAGCUCAUUGAACCCCAAUCAGGACGAAAGUCACCAAGGUAAUUUCCAACAUCAGCUGAGAAAGAGGAAGAGAAUUAUUAAACCCACCUCCCUGUAAAACAGGAACCCAUCUGUAGUAGUUCUUAGGGUAGAUCUAAUAAUGGAGAACAUAGAACUCAUGAAGGUUACAGAAUUUAACCCUUUUUCCAACAUUGAAAACUAAAGAAAACUCUCUCAGGGCUUCUGUACAUGUCAACAAUGAAUUUAGAUUUCCAGGAGAUUGGAUGUUGAUUGAAUUGAAGAUUCACUAAAAUCUUGUAAGCACCUUAGUUAUUCCAAACCCAAUAGGCAAGUAGAAGAUGCGAACCUAAGAAUUAAUAGGACUUAUAAAGAAAUUUCAUAGAGAAAAUUGAGAUGAAACAGUGAAUCUGGACAAUAUGAUUUUUGCCAUGGGUACUCUAGCAGUAAUCAAGCGAAUAUAGAGCUUAAAAUCCCUUUUUCUCGCCUCAAGGCUCCACUACAAAACCCCUUCAAAUGCAUUAAACCCAUAAAAUGAGAGGAAAUUAGUUGGGUACAAAACACAUACCAUAGGCUAUAUCACGUUCUAUUACUUGACGAAUAGCAGCUGGAUCCGAAGCAUAAGGGACAUAAUAUUUUUGAGCCCAAUGAUGUGGGUGUGCAGGAACUCUGAAGCGGGCAAAAGCACACCAAGGCCGGGCCGAUGGCAGAAUUGUAGAUACAAAAGUUAUGGCCCGAAGAAAUCGCCCUAUUGCCAUGGUGAACAUGUACCUAGCACCUAGCCCAAGGCCAGGAGCUUUUACAGAGUCGAAUAAUACUGAGAAAGCCAGCAUCAUGAACAGCAUCAAAAAAUGGUGCAAUCCAAUAAUAUGCGCUCUAAGUAUCUCAACCACCGUAGGAGGAAGUUUC
rnacentral:lncRNA from 1 species